rnacentral:lncRNA from 1 species
UAGGCGGAGCCCGGCCACGGCGGGCGGGGACAGCACGGCGGCGGUGGAGGUGGCCAUGGUCCUCACUCCUCCUUCGGAGCUGGAGCUGUGUGGGUGGGUGGGUGCUCAGGGACCAACGCGCCGCGAGUCCUUGAUCUCGGUAGGGCGGGCGAUACGUACGUGGUGGUUGGCGGUGUGGGUAUAUAGGGGGGUGGUGACGUGGGGGAUAUGGUGGGGGCGCGGGAAUGCGAGGUUAGUGGUGCAGGGGAGCGGGAUUUCGUGGUGUGCUCAUGGCGUGUGGCCAUUGGAGGGUGCUGGAUAAGGUAUCUGAGCCAUGCUUUUUUCCUUUCUUCUCUUCUCUUCUCACGGUAAGUCAGCAAUGCAUCGUGUCACUUGUGUGCCCCUCGAAAGUUACAUGUGUAGAGGAACCAGAUGCAAUUCUCGAUGUAUUAAUCGGGUGCAAGCACACGUAUAUAUGAUGUAUAAAGUGGGUCAUAAUCUUAACUAUACAAGAAACUAGAAGGGGGUCAGGUAUACAAGAGACAUGUGAAACAUACUCCCCCCCCCCCCGGCAGUCGAAGCGUCACCGGUGCUGACGCAAAGACUAGACCGAAAAUCUUCAAACGACGCCGUAGGCAAACCCUUGAUCAUGAUAUCUGCAAAUUGUUGGAAAGUAGGGACCUCUGAAACACGGACAUGGCCAAGGGCCACCUGUUCCUGAAUAAAAUGAAUAUCCAGCUCAAUAUGCUUGGUCCGACGAUGAUGAACGGGGUUAACAGAGAGGUAGACGACAGACACGUUGUCGUAGUAGACCACCGUGGCCUUAUCAACAGGACACGAGAGCCCGAGAAGUAACGGGCGAAGCCACGAACACUUCGGCGACGACGUUGGCCAUGGCGCGAUACUCAACCUCCACACUGGAACGGGAGACUGUAGGCUGUCGCUUGGACGACCAAGAGAUGAGCGAUGGUACAAGGAAGACAUAAUACCCCGAGGUGGAGCGGCGAGUGUGUGGGCAGCCGGCCCAGUCGACAUCUGAGUAGGCAGUGAUGUCGGUGACGGUGGAGGCGUGCAACGUGAUGCCAAGAUCCAUAGACCCCUAAAUGUACCGAAGAAUCCGCUUCACUGCAGUCCAGUGAGCAUCCCGGGGACAUGCAUAUGAAGGCACACCUGCUGGGCUGCAUACUGCAGCUCCGGUCGAAUGAGGGUAAGGUACCGAAGAGCACCAACAAUAGUCCGGUAGAAAGGUGCAUCGGGAGCAAGUGACCGUCAGCUACAUGGAGCUUGGCCUUCGUAUCGACCGGCGUAGAUGCAGGUUUGCAAUUAAGCAUCCCGAGUGGUCUAGAAGCUCAUGAGCCUACUUCCGCUGAUGGAGAAAGAAGCUGUUGUCGCGACGCACCACCUCAAUACCGAGGAAGUAGUGCAAAGGACUGAGGUCCUUGAUGGAGAACUCAACGCGAGGAUGAUCAGUGAGCUAGCGGAGUAGGCCAGGCGUGCAUGCCGUUAGGAUGAUGUUGUCGACGUAGACAAGCAAUAUGCCAUGUCAGCGCCCUGGUGGUAGACAAACAACGAAGCAUCGGAGCGUGUGAGACGGAAGCCAAGUCGGUGAAGAAACGCCGCGAUGCGCUAGUACCAGGCACGGUGAGCCAGCUUGAGCCCAUAUAGUGAGCGUGAAAGCACGCACACAUGAUCCGGGAGGGUCGGACACAGAUCCCCUUAGGCUGCUGACAGAACACCUCCUCGUCAAGAUGACCAUGAAGGAAGUUGUUGGAGACAUCCAUGUGAUGCACUGGCCAUGCACAAGACACCGCAAGUUGUAGAACGGUCCUGAUCGUCGCUGGUUUGACAACGGAGCGAAGGUGUCGGUUAAGUCGAUGCCAACACGCUAUCGAAAACCACGGACAACCCAACGCGCCAUGUAGUGGUCCAGAGUGCCAUCCUGGCGGAGCUUGUGCUAGAAGACUGAUACGUCUCCAUCGUAUCUACUUUUCCAAACUCUUUUGCCCUUGUUUUGGACUCUAAUUUCCAUGAUUUGAAUGGAACUAACCCGGACUGACGCUGUUUUCAGCAGAAUUGCCAUGGUGUUGUUUUUGUGCAGAAAUGAAAGUUCUCGGAACGUCCUGAAAAUUUACGGAGAAUUUUUCUAGAAAAUAUGAAAAAUACCUGCGCAAAGAUCCACCAGAGGGGGUGGGCCAGUGGGCCACAAGCCCUGUUGCCGCGGCCACCCCCUAGCCACGGCAACCAAGCUUGUGGGGCCCACGUGGCUCUGCCGCCCCCAAUCUCAGCUCUAUAAAUUCACUUUCGCCUAGAGAAAAAUAAGAAGAGAAGAUUUCGUCACGUUUGCGAUACGGAGGCGCCGCUACAUCCUGUUCUUCAUCUGGAGGACAGAUCUGGAGUCCAUUUUGGGCUCCAGAGAGGGGAAAUCGUCGUCAUCGUCAUCAUCAACCUUCUUCCCUCUCCAAUUCCAUGAAGCUCUUCAUCGUUCGUGAGUAAUCUAUUCGUAGGCUCGCUGGGCGGUGACGAGUAGGAUGAGAUCUAUCAUGUAAUCGAGUUAGUUUUGACGGGGAUUGAUCCCUAGUAUCCACUAUGUUCUGAGAUUGAUGUUGCUACUACUUUGCCAUGCUUAAUGCUUGUCACUAGGGCCCGAGUGCCAUGAUUUCAGAUCUGAAAUUAUUAUGUUGUCACCAAUAUAUGUGUGUUUUAGAUCCGAUCUUGCAAGUUGUAGUUACCUACUAUGUGUUAUGACCCGGCAACCCCGGAGUGACAAUAACCGGAACCACUCCCGGUGAUGACCAUAGUUUGAGGAGUUCAUGUGUUCACCAAGUGCUAAUGCGUUGUUACGGUUCUUUAUUAAAAGGAGAACCUUAAUAUCCUGUAGUAUCCUUUUGGACCCCGCUGCCACGGGAGGGAUGGACAAUAGAUGUCAUGCAAGUUCUUUUCCCUAAGCAUGUAUGACUACACACGGAAUGCAUGCCAACAUCACAUUGACGAACGGGAGCUAGCCACAUAUCUCUCCGUGUUAUAACUGUUGCAUGAUGAAUGUCAUCCAAACGAAUCACCGACCCAUUGCCUACGAGUUUGUCCCACUGCUGGUCUUACUGCUGUUACUACUGUUGCUGCUACUGUUACUUGCUGCUACUGUUACUUGCUUUGCUCUGCUGCUGUCACUAUUGUUUCUACUUGCUACUGCUGUUAUUACUGGCGCUUGCUACUGUUGCUACUUGCUACCGCUGUCACUAUUGUUUCUACUUGCUACUGCUGUUAUUACUGGCGCUUGCUACUGUUGCUACUUGCUACCGCUGUCACUACUGUUGUUCCUUGCCACUGCUGUUACUCGUUACACUGCUGCUACCUGCUACAAUUUUGAUUCGCUGGUCGUUGACGGGAACAUACAAUUUCCGUCAACGGGCAACUUCUGGCGCCAUUGAUACGACAGUUAGGAAUAGUCUACCAUCAACAGAUCGUUUCUGACACCGUUGUUAUCAUACUACUUUGCUGCUGACUCUUUGCUUGCAGAUACUAAUCUUUCAGGUGUGGUUGAAUCUGACACAUUCAGCUGCUAAUACUUGAGAGUAUCCUCUCACCUCCUUUUGGCGUAUCAACAAAUUUGGGUCGAAUACUCUACCCUCGAAAACUGUUGCGAUCCCACGCGCUGGUGGGCCAUCAACAACAUUCUUCUAGUUUCGUUGCCGGGGAGUGCUAGCAGCAUUCUUCUGGUGCCGUUGCAGGGGAAGGUCUGUUGUCACAGAGACAANNNNNNNNNNNNNNNNNNNNNNNNNNNNNNNNNNNNNNNNNNNNNNNNNNNNNNNNNNNNNNNNNNNNNNNNNNNNNNNNNNNNNNNNNNNNNNNNNNNNAAUAUAAAUUAAUUAAUUAGCUAACUUAAUUAAGACUAAUUAAGUAAUUUUUUUUGACCGGCGACUAAUUAAGUAAUUGAUUAAUCUGUUAAUUAGCUUAAUGAAAUUAAUAAGGUUAAUACGUAAAUCAUGUUAAUUAGUUAUUUUAGUCAGUGAAUGACACGUGGGUCCCCCCAUUAAUUAAAUUGUUUAAUUAAUUUUUAAAACUAAUUAAAACGGUGUCAAUGACAUGUGGGGCCCACUGGUCAGUUGACCAGUCGACAGAUCCUGUUGACUGCUGAUGUCACAAUGACAUCGUGAUGAUGUCCUAAUACAAAUAUCUAAAUUAAUUUAACCUGUUUUAAUUUCUGAAUAUUGAUUAAAUCUUUGAAAAUUAAUAUAAAAUAAACCGUAUCUCAUAUGAAAAUACUUUGAACAUGAAAGUUGAUCAGCACAACGAGACGAACCCGGAUACGCUAUCCGUUCGUCUGUCACGCGUCCCUAGCACAGCAAAUGUGGAACCUUUUUUUUCUCGUUUGACGGGUAGUAGCCAAAGACCCAGGAAAUAUCAUCUGACAUUUUGCCGACCCGUCUAUGACGGAUAGCACUGCGUUAGCUCAUGCCUAGACCUGCAUAUUGCCAUGUCAUGCAUAGUGUUUCAUAUAUUUUUGUUUUAAUUGUUUCUUCCCCCCCCUCUUCUUACCGGUAGACCCCGAGACUGACGUUGUUGUCGGGUUCAUCUACCCUCCCGACGACCAGCCCUUUGCCGCAGAGCAACAAGGCAAGAAAACCCCCCUUGAUCAUUCCGAUAUCGCCUAUUCUUUCUCCCUGAUGUUUGCAUUAGAAUUUUGCUACUGUUGUAGUUAGCUCCUAUAUCUCAUGCAUAGCCUAUUUUUGAUGAACUGCUACUUUUAGUACCGUACCUUUAAACUAUUUAGUAUAGGUGGAGCAUUCAUCCCCAGUCCAGUUGCCCCGCUUUAUUGUCGAGUCUCGAACCCUGAUCAACGAGCCAAGAUCCAACACAGCACUUACACCCCCCUAAGUUGUAAGACGCUGCAGGGCUACUAUCGGGUACCGAGGGUGACACCUCACGAAGUACUCAGGAUGAUAUCUCUUUAGUACAGCUAGUCGGUCGUGGUUAUCGAGGGUGAUUCCUCCUUCACCUCUCCCGACGAUGACUCUGUCGCGCAACCCCUAAAGUGUGAGACUCUCGAGGGUGAUUCCUCUAAGUCCACCUUGACGGUUACAUCGUUCGGGAUCCAACAAGGGUGAUACCUCGGAUCCCCCUGAUGUUACAACCACAGAGUUACUUGACCAUGUGACUGGGAUCUUUGAUGAAUAGAUGUUAGGUGGGUGGUUUCCCUCAUGGAUGUGUCGAUGACUUAAUUAAAAUGAUAAUGGAUUUGGGUAUUUGAUCUAGGUUGGACGAAAGGCCUUAUUAUGCACUAAUAGUCUGCGUGGGAAGAAUUAUGGGUACUCGACGUCGUAGAAUCAGCCGAAGCUCUCCAGACGUCAGCAAUGGAGCGGCGCGCGCCCGAGUGGUCCCAAGAUGCAUCGCGCUUGUAUUAAGGGGUGAUAGGGCUCACAUCGGCUGCCCUUGCAUCAUGCAGGAGCGUAGAGGGCAAGUGGGCUAAUGACCCCUUUGUGCUUAGGAUUUGGACCGGCGGGCUGGCCUCUCUGUUGAACUUAGGUGGGACAGUGACGUGUCGAUAUUCCGAGGCUAGGCAUGACCCAGAAAAGUGUGUCCGGCCAGAGUGUUAUCGAGCGUAACGGGGAAUAUGUUGUGCACCCCUGCAGGGAAGAACUUAUCUAUUCGAAUAGCCGUGUCCAAGGUUACAGGACGACUUGGAGUUGUGCCCUCAUCUUAUACAAAUAGAACUGUUACUUAACUGGAUUGUUGCCCUGGGAUUGCUUCCUCGCAGGGAGUCGAGGAAGGAUCUCUGGGCAUGACCUCAUAUUAAUAUUGCUGCAACAAUAUGACUAUUUUUUGUGUUAUUUGUUCGACUCUCGUCUAUUGCUGCAAGACCCCCUGAAGAUGCUAGUCUUCAAUAGGACUAGGCUUUUCCUCUCUUUCUCGCGUUGCUGCAGUCAGUCCACAUAUAAACCCCUUCUUUGAUACUGAUGCAUACUUAGCAUAGUAAUGAUGUCAGUCUUGCGAGUACUUUGGAUGAGUACUCAUCGUUGCUUUGCUCCCCCUUUGUCCCCUUGAUCCGUUGCUGCGACCAGAUGAUGGAGCCCAGGAGAUGGAGUAUCCCGCCGACGAUGACUGCUACCCCGACGAUGCCCUACUACGUGGAGGCCGCUGAAGAACAGGAGUAGUUAGGAGGUUCCCAGGCAGGAGGCCUCGCCUCGUUCGAUUGUUGUAUCUUUUGUGCUAGCCUUCUCGAAGCCACCCCAUGUUUAAUGUUUGUACUCAGAUAUUUGUUGCUUCCGCUAACUCGUGUGUUUAUCGAGCUUCUGUAUUCUAUCCCUCGAGGCCCCUGGCUUGUAAUAUGAAGCUUGUAUGUUUUAUUUGUGUCUAGAGUUGUGUUGUGAUAUCUUCUCGUGGGUCCUUGAGCUUGGUCAUACGCAUUUGUGUGUAUGUUUAGUGUACGAUCGAGAGUGGAACUACCCGAGAUGCUUGGUAGAUACGAAGGUCGUCAAUGUCAACAAAAGUAUAUUUGAUAUACAUGUUAUUGAUGUGUGCCUUACUAGUGCUCGUUGUAGCUCCUGAGUAUUUGAUGCCGGUUCAUAUGCUGAUAUUAGUAACUCAAAACAGGAGUUGCAGAAUAAACGGAGACAAGCUAAGGGUGAGGUGUCGAUGUGUGUUGGAAGUGUUUCCAAGGUUGGUGUGAUCACCAUCGUACGCUUCAUUGACCUUCGAGAUUAGUGAUAAAACCAAAUAAAUGUUAGUUGAUGUCUACGUUGAGCAUGAACCUUAUAUUGAUUUUCUUUAUUGCGAGAUGAUUAUUCACGUAAGUUAGAGAAUAAUCGGUUAUUCUAUUUACAUGAAUAAUAUCUUUUAUGAUCAUGCACCGAAUGUGAAUAGUUUAUUCAAUCUCGAUCAUAGUGACACACACUUUCAUAGUAUCGAUGCCAAAAGAAGUAAAGUUAGUAAUGAUAGUACCACUUACUUGUGGCACUGCCGCUUAGGACAUAUUGGUGUAAAAUGCAUGAAGAUACUCCAUGCUGAUGGAUCUUUGGACUCUCUCGAUUUUGAAUCACUUGAGACAUGCGAACCAUGCCUCUUGGAUAAGAUGACCAAGACCCAUUUUCCAGUAAGAUGGAGCGGGCAAGUGACUUAUUAGAAAUAAUACAUUUUGAUGUAUGUAGUCCAAUUUGUGCUAGAGCACACGGUGGAUAUCUUUAUUUUCUUACUUCACAAAUAAUUUGAGUAGAUACAAGUACAUUUACUUGUUGAAUCACAAGUCUGAAAUGUUGAAAACUUCAGGCAAUUUUAGAGUGAAGUUGAAGGUCGUCGUGAUAAGAGGAUAAAUUGUCUAUGAUGUGAUCGUGGAGGUGAAUAUCUGAAUUACAAGUUUGGUAUACAUUUAAGACAAUGUGGAAAUUGUUUCUCAACUCAUGCCACCUGGAACACGAUAGUGUGAUGGUGUGCUCGUACGUCGUAGCCGUGCCCUAUUGUAUAUGGUGCGUACUAUGAUUUGUCUUACCGGUUUGCCACUACCGUUUUGGGCUUAUGCAUUAGAGACAACCACAUUCAAUUUAAUUAGAUGGUAACCACAUUCACUAUGGUUUGGCAACAAACCUAAGUUGUCGUUUCUUAAAGUUUGGGGCUCCGAUGCUUAUGUCAAAAGGCUUCGGCCUGAUAAGCUCGAACCCAAAGCAGAUAAAUGCGUCUUCAUAAGAUACCCAAAGGAAACAGUUGGGUAUACCUCCUAUCUUUGAUCCGAAGGCAAAGUGUUUCUUGCUAAGAAUGGGUCAUUUCUCGAGAAAGGGUUUCUCUCGAAAGAAUUGAGUGGGGGAUGGUUGAACUUGAUGAGGUUAUUGAAUCGUCACUUCAACUAGAGAGUAGUAGGACGUAGGAAGAUGUUCAUGUGGCGCCUACACGAGUUGAACUGGAAGCUGGUGAUGGUGAUCAUGAAGCUUCAGAUCAAGUUACUACCAAACCUCGUAGGUCCAAAAGGACACGUACUACUCCAGAGUGGUAUGGUAAUUCUGUCUUGGAGAUCAUGUUGUUGGACAACAAUGAACCUACCAGCUAUGGAGAAGCGAUGGUGGGCCUGGAUUCCGAUAAAUGGUUGGAGGCCAUGAAAUUCGAGAUAGGAUUCAUGAAUGAAAACAAAGUGUGGACUUUCGAAGAACUACUUGAUGGUCGUAAGGCAAUUAAGUACAAAUGGACCUUUAAAAGCAAGACCGAUGAUGAUGGUAAAUAUUACCAUUUAGAAAGCUCGACUAGUCGCAAAGAGAUUUCCGACAAGUUCAAGGAGUUGACUAGGAUGAGACAUUCUCACCCCUAGCGAUGCUAAAGUCUAUUGGAAUUAUGUUAGCAGUUGCUGCAUUUUUCAAUUAUGAAAUCUGGCAGAUGGAUGUCAAAACAUCGUUUCCUUAAGAGUUUCCUUGAGGAAAGGGUGUAUGUGAUACAACUAGAAGUUUUUGCUAAGGAUGCUAAAAGGCAUGUGAGUUCCAUCGAUCAAUUUAUGGACUGGUGCAAGCAUCUCGGAGUUGGAAUAAGCGCUUUGAUGAGUGAUCAAAGCUUUUGGUUUAUAGAUAUUUUAUGAAGAAACUUGUAUUUACAAGAGAGUGAGUGGCAGCACUAUAGAAUUUCCGAUAAGUAUAUCUGGUUGACAUAUUGUUGAUCGAAAAUGAUGUAGAAUUUCUGGAAAGCAUAAAGGGUUCUUUGAAAGGAGUUUUUCAAAGGAAAACCUGGAUAAAGCUAAUUAAAAUAUUGGGCAUAAAGAUUUAUAGAGGUAGAUCAGGACUCUUGAUAAAACUUUCAAUGAAGUCAUACCUUGACAAGAUUUUGAAGGGGUUCAAAAUAGAUCAGUCAAAGAAGGAGUUCUUGACUGUGUUCUAAGGUGUGAGUUUGAGUAAGACUCAAAGCCCAACCACGGCAGAAGAAAGAGAAAGGAUGAAGGUCGUACCUUAUGCCUUAGCCGUAGGCUCUAUAGUAUGACAUGCUGUGUAGCGCACCUAGUGUGCCUUGCCAUUAGUAUCUCAAGGGGUACAAGAGUGAUCCGGAAGUGGAUCACUGGACAGCGGUAAAAGUUAUCCUUAGUAACUAGAGGACUAAGGAAAUACUUCUCAAUUAUGGAGGUGAUCAAAGAGUUCGUAGUAAAGGGUUAGGUCGAUGCAAGAUUUGACACCAAUUCGGAUGAGUCUGAGUAGCAAACCAGAUUCGUAUAGUGGAGCAGUCAUUUGGAAUAGUUCCAAGUGGAGCGUGGUAGCAACAUCUACGGUAUGACAUAGAGAAUCGCAGAGUACACACGGAUCUGAAUGUUGCAGACCCAUUGACUAAAGCCUCUCUCACAAGCAGAACGUGAUCAAACCCCGAAACUCAUUGGGUGUUAAUCACAUGGUAAUAUGAACGAGAUUAUUCACUCUAGUGCAAGUGGGAGAUUGUUGGAAAUAUGCCCUAGAGGCAAUAAUAAAUUGGUUAUUAUCAUAUUUCCUUGUUCAUGAUAAUCGUUUACUAUUCAUGCUAUAAUUGUAUUGAUUGGAAACACAAAUACAUGUACGAAUACAUAGACAAAGUGUCCCUAGUAAGACUCUACUAGACUAGCUCGUUGAUCAAAGAUGGUUAAGGUUUCCUAGACAUAGACAUGAGUUCUCAUUUGAUAACGGGGUCACAUCAUUAGCAUAUCAUUUGACCGUAUCCAGUUUACUGCUAUUGCUUUCUGCAUGGCAAUGUAUGUGUUCCUAUGAUCAUGAGAUCAUGCAACUCACUAACACUGGAGAAAUGCCUUGUGUGUAUAAAACGCCACAACGUAACUGGGUGAUUAUAAAGGUGCUCUACAUGUAUCUCCAAGGGUGUCUGUUGAGUUGACAUGGAUCAAGAGUGGGAUUUGUCACUUCAUGUGACAGAGAGGUAUCUUGGGGCCCACUCGGUAAUACAUCAUCACAGUAAGGUUGCAAGCAAUGUGACUAAGGAGUUAUUCAUGGGAUCUUGUAUUAAAGAACGAGUAAAGAGACUUGCGAGUAACAAUUAUGAACUAGGUAUGGAGAUACCGAUGAUCGAAUCUCGGGCAAGUAACAUACCGAUGGACAAAGGAAACUCCAUACGGGAUUAACUGAAUCCAUGACAUCGGGGUUCGACCGAUAACAAUCUUCGUAAAAUAUGUAGGAACCAAUAUGGGCAUCCAGGUCCCGUUAUUGGUUACUGACCGUAGAGGUGUCUCGGUUAUGUCUACAUAGUUCUCGAACCCACAUGGUGUGCACACUUAACGUUCGGUGACGAUAUAGAUAUAGUUGAGUUAUUGUGUUGGUGACCUGAGGUUGUUCGGAGUCCCGGAUGAGAUUCUGGACGUCACUAGAAGCUCCGGAAUGGUCCGGAGGUAAAGAUUUAUAUAUAAAAGUGGUAUUCGGGUUCCGAAAAAGUUUUGGGUUUUUACGGUAUUGUACGUGGUGUGUCGAAAGGGUUCCGCGGGUCCACCGAGGGGGUCCACCCACCCCGGAGUGGCACAUGGGCUUAGGAAUGAGGCAACCCAGCCCCUGAUGGGCUGGGCACCCCACCCAAAGAGGCCCAUGCACCCAAGAGGUAGCUGGGAAGGUGCCUUGAGGAGGAGCCCCCCCUCCUUGGGCGCCCACCUCCCUUGUGGGAGGUGGAUUCCUCCCCACUUGGCCGGACAGCCCUCCCUUGGAGGAGGGGCCAAGGAUGCCAACACACCAAGCCUUCGCGGCGUGUUUCAGCACAUCAACUUACACAAGUUCAUAAUCCUGAAUUUGUUUAUGCGGGUCCUUGUAAGCAUUCAACCAAGCCUUCUUUAUAGUGUUCAUGUAUCUUUUCAAAUGCUCAAUAAGAGAAGGACUAUCUUGUUCGCGAAAUGAAUCUAGAACUUUGAACCAUUUUGCCCUGGGAUUUAGUGACAACACAUACCAAUGCCCAGAAGGCGGCUCAUGGGAGGGCCGCCUCAGAGAGAAGGCCAAAGAAGAGGAAAGACUCCCCCGAAAAGUAAACAAGGCCCCGAUUUGGAUUCAAGAGAGACUAGUCCUAGUCCUACUCCUAGUAGGACUCUACAUGUAAACCUACCACUUCCACUUAUAUAAGGAGGGGUAAGGCACCCCAAGAGGGACAAGUCCAAGUCAUUAGAGAUAGAAAAAUUGGACACCCUCGAGAUUAGAGGUAGCGAUUCCGCACCCUUGUAAUCGAGAUCAUCAUCUUCAUCAAUGAAACACAAGCACGACAUAGGCUUUUACCUCCAUCGUAGGGGCCGAACCUAGGUAAACUCGCGUCUCUCGAUUCCGACUAACCCCUCUCAAGACGCCACAUAGUUGCGAUGGACUCACACCUAAGUUCUCUCACGAGGACAUAUGCCGUGAUAAAACUACGACACUAGGGUAAAAAGAUACUGAAUUUCACAUGCAAAGCAACUAAAAAUUAUAUGGGCAUUAAGGUUAAAAUUGAAGUUACUAGUGUGGACAAAUAGGUAAUCAUGACAGAGAGAACAAAAUUACCAAGAUAAUAAAAUACAGAAAUUAACAUGAAAGCAAAAAUGAAAAAAAAUAAAAAUUAGCAGGACAGUCAUUGUUAAAUCAGGAUAUUUAUAGAAGGGUUGCCAUGUUUGGGAGCAAUACAACAGAUUAAAAACAGAUAACAUAUGAGGAAAGAGACAAAUUUUGAAAAAAGACAGCAAACAUAACAUACAUGAUCCUGGUGACUUGGAAUGUAAAACUAGUCCCGUCGGAAAUGCUUCAAUACUGACUUGGAGUUGAAGUCUCCUACCAACAAAUACACACACAGCAGCAUAGGGAAGAUGACCCUUUUGGGGGUUUCCUUAUACUGAAGAAUAUGAACAUGUAACUUAGCAAUGCUGGUUGAUAGUUGCCCGAUUCCCUUCACAUAGUCGGCAAGCUCGCCAAGAGUGACCCACCUCCCAUCAAUGUCAAUAACCCUAACACUACAUUGCAAAAAAAUACAUUACAAAGUGGCAUGAAAAAUGUUUUACAUUGCAAAUGACGGAAAAAGAGAAAAGUUCAUUGUUACACCUUAAUCUUGGAGUUAGAAUCAGUAGUAUCCUUGAUAACUUCAUUGUAAAUAACCUCUUCCACAUCAGUGGGUGAGAGGCUAGCACAAGCCCCCCCCCCCCCCCCAUUUGGACGGGUGGCUGACCCUAACUUUCUGAAUAAAGGAUUUAGGGGUGGCACUGCGUACUAAGUGCUCUGUGCGAGGUGGCAAUUCUGGCGUAGCAAACAUUGGACUUUGAGGAUGGUCUGGUAAAAAACAAACAACCAAAUUAAGAUGUAUAUUGCAACAAAAUAUAUGAUUUAGCAAGGUAAAAACAUUGAACAUAAAUUAUCAACAAAUGGAUAAAGAACUUAUCAAGUGGUGAGGCAUAACCUAUCGGCUCUCACAUGUUUUGCAUUGUUGAAAGAACGAAAAAAGGUAUUUAUACACGGGUUGCAAUGUAUUGGCAGAAGAAAAAUUUUCACCUUCUAGAACAUUGGAUUUCCCUUUUUAUGUUGAUUUGUCACGCUCAAACUCUUCCCACCGCAUGAGAACCUCAUCAGCAUCAAUUUCAAUAUCAUACACUUGCACACGACGAUCUUUCGGGAUUACAAAAAGAAGAAGAAAGGAGGGAUAAGUACAUGAACAAUAGUGAUAAGCAACGUAAUAUGUUGAAAGAAAGUGGUAAAAAUGAGUAAAUGUAGAUAUAAGGGUGAAGUUACCAAACCAACAUUAUAGAAAUUAUCAGGUAAGGUGACUGUGGUUUACCAGCACACCGGUAUGGACUUUUAAGCACAUAUUAGGAAAUAUUAAGUUGGGGCAUACUAAGAAUCAAGAGUGAUAAUCGAAAAGCAUGUAUUAAAAGAUGACCAAAGAACUUUAUGGGGUUCUCAUGUCCAUAUUACAGAACUUACCAUGCAAUGAACAAUUGAGUUACCAAGAUAUUGGCAGGGAAUUAUCAGGAUAGUUAAAAUGAAAAAAAUGAGGGGACAAUAACAAAUUACAGAGAAAAAGAGUACACAACUACUGGUAAUAGUGCAAGCAUGUUAGCUAAGCAUGACAAUGUAACGAAAAGAACUACAGGAUGAUAGGAGAUGUAUGUAUCACACGCUUACAAUAAUUAGAAAUAGAAAAAAUGGUCAUUUACGAGGCCCAUAGCAUGUGUGAUAUCAAUAGCUUUCAACACUGACAAACUUAUCCGGGGGAGAGGUUUGAGUUAUCACCAAUAUGGUAGGCAGUUUACCAUAAGAAAAAAAAUCGUAUGAUAUCAUCUUAGCUAGCGUCGUACAAUAUGACAUGGAUCACGAUAAAACAAAUAUUCAUGGAACUGAAAGCACGAAUGAUCUUUUUCACACCACACAAGCAUAGAAGUCAUUUUACAUUCAUCCAUAUACACACCACACAACCACAAAAGUCGUUAUAAUUCAUCCAUAUACACACCACACAAGCAUACAAGCCAAAACAUAAAUAACGAAAACACGACCAACCGAAAAAUAAAAGGUCUUCAGUGACAUAAAUCCAUACAUCACUCUCGCUACAAAAGCAAAGACACAAGGUCUUCACUUACCAGACUUGCGUGGCGCAGCCCGAGCAUCCGGUUGCGCAUCGAUAACUUUCCCUCCUUUAUUACCCCUGAAGUCGGAAGCACCGGGGGACGCAAGCCCAAUAACCGCGAUAGGGCCAGUUGCUGCAAGCCCAAGAACUGUGUAAGGGCCAGUUGCUGGUGCUGGAGGUGGUACUUCUAGUGCUGGAGGUGUAGCUUGACACGUAAGAGCCGAUGGUGAUGCAGCUUCACCCGUUGUAGAUGCUUCACUCGAUGGUGGUACUUGUGGCGUCGCACCAAAAAUGGCAUCAAGCCCAAGAGAGCAGCUUGGCGGUGUAAAAUCACCAGGAGCUUGUUGGAAUUAUGCCCUAGAGGCAAUAAUAAAUAUAGUUAUUAUUAUAAUUCCUGUAUCAAGAUAAUCGUUUAUUAUCCAUGCUAUAAUUGUAUUGAAUGAAGACUUAUAUACAUGUGUGGAUACAUAGACAAAACACUGUCCCUAGCAAGCCUCUAGUUGGCUAGCCAGUUGAUCAAAGAUAGUCAGUGUCUUCUGAUUAUGAACAAGGUGUUAUUGCUUGAUAACUGGAUCACGUCAUUAGGAGAAUCACGUGAUGGACUAGACCCAAACUAAUAGACGUAGCAUGUUGAUCGUGUCAUUCUAUUGCUACUGUUUUCUGCGUGUCAAGUAUUUGUUCCUAUGACCAUGAGAUCAUAUAACUCACUAACACCGGAGGAAUACUUUGUGUGUAUCAAACGUCGCAACGUAACUGGGUGACUAUAAAGAUGCUCUACAGGUAUCUCCGAAGGUGUUCGUUGAGUUAGUAUGGAUCGAGACUGGGAUUUGUCACUCCGUGUGACGGAGAGGUAUCUCGGGGCCCACUCGGUAAUACAACAUCACACACAAGCCUUGCAAGCAAUGUGACUUAGUGUAAGUUGCGGGAUCUUGUAUUACGGAACGAGUAAAGAGACUUACCGGUAAACGAGAUUGAAAUAGGUAUACGGAUACUGACGAUCAAAUCUCGGGCAAGUAACAUACCGAAGGACAAAGGGAAUGACAUACGGGAUUAUAUGAAUCCUUGGCAUUGAGGUUCAAACGAUAAGAUCUUCAUAGAAUAUGUAGGAUCCAAUAUGGGCAUCCAGGUCCCGCUAUUGGAUAUUGACCGAGGAGUCUCUCGGGUCAUGUCUACAUAGUUCUCGAACCCGCAGGGUCUGCACACUUAAGGUUCGACGUUGUUUUAUGCGUAUUUGAGUUAUAUGGUUGGUUACCGAAUGUUGUUCGGAGUCCCGGAUGAGAUCACGGACGUCACGAGGGUUUCCGAAAUAGUCUGGAAAUGAAGAUUGAUAUAUAGGAUGACCUCAUUUGAUUACCGGAAGGUUUUCGGAGUUACCGGGAAUGUACCGGGAAUGACGAAUGGGUUCCGGGAGUUCACCGGGGGGGCAACCCACCCCGGGGAAGCCCAUAGGCAUUGGGGGUGGCGCACCAGCCCUUAGUGGGCUGGUGGGACAGCCCAAAAGAUCCCUAUGCGCCAUAGGAAGAAAAAUCACCCCCCCCCCCCGAGGAGGUGGGAAAAGGGGGAAGGACUCCUCCUUCCAAACCUAGUUGGACUCGAUUUGGAAGGGGAGAACUCCCCCCCUUGGCUCGGCCGAAGCCCAUAGGGGUCCUUGGACCCCAAGGCAAGGCUCCCCCUCUUCCCCCUAUAUAUACGGAGGUUUUAGGGCUGAUUUGACAAAACUUUGCCACGGCAGCCCGACCACAUAUCUCCACGGUUUUACCUCUAGAUCGCGUUUCUGCGGAGCUCGGGCGGAGCCCUGCUGAGACGAGAUCAUCACCAACCUCCGGAGCGCCGUCACGCUGCCGGAGAACUCUUCUACCUCUCCAUCUCUCUUGCUGGAUCAAGAAGGCCGAGAUCAUCGUCGAGCUGUACGUGUGCUGAACGCGGAGGUGCCGUCCGUUCGGCACUAGAUCGUGGGACUGAUCGCGGGACAGUUCGCGGGGCGGAUCGAGGGACGUGAGGACGUUCCACUACAUCAACCGCGUUCACUAACGCUUCUGCUGUACGGUCUACAAGGGUACGUAGAUCACACAUUCCCUCUCGUAGAUGGGCAUCACCAUGAUAGGUCUUCGUGCGCGUAGGAAAAUUUUUGUUUCCCAUUGGACGUUCCACAACAGAGCUCUAUAUACAUCGGCUUCAACUCCAGCUGCAGGGGUGCUCGACUCUAUGACAUGGUCAUCUUGAACUCGAACAUGAAGAUCAACAACUCGAGCAUCCGCUUCCACCCUAGGUGAUGUAUCGGAUACUUCUGCAAAUACAGUAACACCGAUAGGGACAACAAAAUGGAAAAGGCAUCAUAUAAUUGUAUUUGUUAACAUCAGAACAAUAAUAUAAGUUCUCAUGACCAUAGAGAGACAAGUUAUCAACAGAGAAUGGACAAGUUACCAACCUGGGAAUGCUUCCUCUUCAUUAGAACUUUUGGCCACCAGAGGGUUCUGCUUAUCAAGCUCUUAACCAUCAUAUAUUGCCAUAUCACUAGGCACAUUGACUUGGGUACCCACAACAACAUAUUCAAUGACACGAAAGGAUGCAAUGGAAAAAAAUGAACAUAACGUCAACCUAAAAUCAUCAGUAUUAUAGAAAAAAAAGUAACAGGAUCUAGAUAUAACCUAUACCUUCAUAUUCAUCAUGUCCCAUAGUGGCAACAUCUUCGGAUUCAACUACAAUGGUCGCGCUAGCAAUAUCAUCUACAACAGCAGGAAUAGUGGCCGCUGCAGUAGUUGUUCUACAGGGUCGACGAAAACACUAAUGGAGGUCGUCGCAACUGCAUCAGAUGCACCCGAGCUAGCUCCUACAGCUUCAGCAGAAUCUGAUGAAGCACCCGACGCAUCAAGUUCUCCAAGCGCAAUCGGAGAUGUUGUUGUGGGCGUUACAUCAAAAUGAAUAACAUAUGUUGUCUGCGAUGAAGUUGUCUGAGAUGAUGCUGCUCCCAGCCGCGGAGAAGAUCUGGUCUUGUAAAAUCACACCUUUUUUACAGCGUUUUUCUGACUUGAACGACUGGAAAAGGGAUACACAUGAUGAGGUGUGAGAUUACACAUGUUGGUAAACUCAAGUUACCAGAUGUUACCAACACGCAAAAAAGUUAUGACAUGAUUCAGGCAUAAAAACUACCAGGAAAUUAUUACUAAGAUCUCAAUGACUAAAUAAUACAAAGUUAUUGGAUGAUAUGAAAAAACAAUACCAGCCUUUUAUUUUCAUUAACUUGACACAUAGAAUAAUUCAGUGCAAAAAUAAUAAUCUACACGGAAAAUGCAAGCAAGAAAGCACUGUGAAUAACUUGUUCCUGAUACACUGGGUGAAGCCUUAGCCAUAGCAACUUGUUUGCUAGCAUCUUGUUUCCGAGGUGCCCUGCAUAAAAAAAAUAUCAGAAGUUACAAGCACAAAGAAGUUAUCAAAUGAUGUAGGAAUAAAUUAUCAGGAAAGUCUAACUUAGUUAUGAAUGUUCAACAUCAUAAGUUAUCAGAUACUAAAAAACUAUUGAAAAGCUAAUUAUCGGGAGCUAAGUACUGAAACUAACAUACAGAAACAACUAGAUAUACCAUGUAAUAUCUGGUACAUCAAAAAACAUGGAAAAAACAAAUUCACCUGUGUGGCGCCUCCUUCCGUUGGGUGGAUGGUGAGAUGGUGACACGAGUGCCCUUUUCAGCGCAACGGAUACCAAGCUCUUGGACAACAAUUUUCUUCAUAGAUAAGUGAAUUUCAUCUGUUGACGGCACAUAUGGUGAACUUGGCCUUCACGAUGGGCUUGGCGGUAGAACCGGUGAAGAAGGUCGUGGUGGCACAACUGGUGAAGUUGGAUGGGAUAGCACAACCGGUGAAGCUGGACGUGUGGGAGAUGGAAGCCUCAAUUUGUUGCGCCUCUUGUAAGCCAAGUUUUUCACAAGCUCAGAAGCACGUCGUUUCACAGAAGAUUCAGUAGCCGCCUCUGAUGAGUACAUCAAUACCAUUGUUACACCCACAGCCUCAGUUGCUAUACAUACUGGACCAGUUACUAGAGCUCGUGCAUGCCAAUUGAAUUAACACGUACUUUCGUUUCUUGGAAAUCCUUCUAAUGUUCAUGAACAUAUGAUGUUGCCUAAGUUAGAUACUUGUGUUGUACUUAUGAAUGAAGGACCUAGCAUGGACAAGAAGGAUUUCUGUUGGAGCGGGAUCAAACAUGGGGAAGAAGAUGCAUGCGCGGGGAAUAACAAUGGAGCUUCGGUGAUUUUCGCACUUUGAAGCCGCCAUAAGUAGAGCAUGAAGGCUUGGACGAAAUAUUCAAUAUGCCACUUUAUAAAUUUCGUCCAUAGGUUAUUAUAGGUGAUGUGUCACCUUAUUUUUGGUCCAGGCCCAUGUAAUUUCGAAAUACUAUCAUGUAGGUCGUUUUUAGAGUCCGUAUGUGUGGGGAAACCGAGUUUAAGGUAGUUUUCGGGCCCCUCCUCCGAGGGUCACGAAAAUCCCUCUCUAUUCCCUCAUAUAUACAACCCUUAGGGCACCGUUUAGGCUUGGUUUUUGUUUAGAUUACAAGUUCGCCAUAGCUGCAACUUCCAAUCGUCAAAGUUCUUCAUUUGUGUUCCACGACCACGCAAAGGCGUCAUAGAACCCCAUCUUCAACAAUAAAUAUUUCCUCUUAUAUUCACAAUAUCCAGAUUGUAAUCUUAGUUUCUUUCUUGUUCUUUGUUUGCAUGCAGGAAACAGACCCUCGUGGUCAGGUUGAUCGUGCUCCGGCAUGGUCAAUAACCUAUGGAAAUUGGUUUAGCGAUUUCUAAGGCGCGACAUCCUCACACGUUCGUAGUCGGAUCGUCAAAGUCCACUCCACCAAAAACGAUAACCAUAAUCUCAUCGAAAGAUAGGGACAAUUUUGCCUCUAUCAAGUCGGAUCAGAUUUCCAGGUUGCUCGGUGAGAUUUAACCAGUUUUCAUAGUUAGAUCGCAUUUGUUCUUCAUACCUAUAGUCCAUGGAAAAGCCACAAAAAAUUAGGGUUAUAUCAUCAUAUCCGAACCAAUCUAAGCCUUUGCAUAGUCUUUUCAGUAUUUUGCUUUGUUGAAUUUGUGGUUACAUCAUCCUGUCGAGUUGCUCGUCUUAGUGUCUAGUCCUUUAGGGUUUUGAGUUCUAUUCACAUGUUGUCACGCUGCCACCACGCCAUCUUUCGUCGCUGCCAUAUACCACCACCACGCUACCAUCAUCACGGCUGCCAUAUCCCACCACCAUGCCACCAUCAUCCUUGCUGCCAUAUAUCACCACCACAUAUCCACCACCAAUCCUAGUUCGAGUCCUUUUCGUAUUAGGUUAAUUUCGAGACCCUCUUCUUUUCGGUUUUGCGCUUCCUUACCUGAGUAGUUUUGGGAAAAAAACACAGAAAAAGAAAGAAAAUCAGAGUAGCUCUUCCAUUGAUCGCGUGCAGCGUCGUGCUUUUGUUGGUGUUCUAGGCUCACGUCUCUAGUACGGUCUAGCCUAAUACCAACACAAUAUUGUCGUUGAGCGUUCUUUCAACUUUGCAUCUCUGAACUGAUUAUUGUUGACCCUUUUUUCUACCAUAUUAUAAGUCUUCCCAGCUCCACAUACAUCUACAUCAUGUGUAUGACACCACCUGGCAAUCGCUCUAUCCAAGCUUUGAGACUUUUGACUACACCGGUUGCCGAUCACCACCUGAUGUUGGUUAAGAACUGGUAAGAAUUUGAGAUUCGCUUGACAAAUUUGUGACACAACACCACCACCACCACCACUUCAUAGUAAUCUGUAGGUUCAUAUUCUUAUGUGUUCCUAUUACUGCUAACCAUGCCAGGAUCACAAGGCGACGAGAUCGACUGGGAGAGUCUCACCAACAAGGAGCUUCAUGCUAAAUUUCAGCAAAUGAUGGCUGGCCAGGUACAAGACUUCGUGGCCAGCAUUGGAGAGGCCAUGGAGAAGACAUUCGACGCAAACAUGGAUGCCAAGUUCAAUGAGGUGCUUUCCCGUCUACUACCACCAGCUGCAGCUUCCGUCCCUCUCCAAUAACAACAACAACAACGAGGACAGCACCGAGGCCCGUACAUGGUGGAACGAGUCCGACGUGUGCCUUCCGGCCAAGUUCAGAAUUCCCCCCCCGCUGCUCCUGCUCCUGAUACUACUACUUAGGUUUCUGUGGCUGAGAAGAAUAAGGAUUAUGAUGGUGAUUACGACGAUGAGGGAGAGGUUGCUCCAAAUCAGCACCAGGGACAACAACCACCACCAGAAGCCGCAGGUCGCCCACAUGGAUACAAUCACAAUGGUAGGGCUGCACUACCCCCUCGGGUACGGGAUCAUGACCAUCUCCCUAAACUUAAAUUGAAUAUUCCUACAUUUGAUGGUCAAUAUGUUCCUGAUAUAUAUCUUACCUCGGAGUUAGAAACAGAGCAACGUUUUACAUGCUUACAAUUUCCUGAAGAUAGAGGUGUCACUGUUGUUGUUUCUUCAUACACUAGUUUUGCUUGUGCUUAGUGGUGUGAACAUUGUCGAAUACAUCAUGCUAAUAUUCCAACUACUUGGGCUCUUUGAAAACUGCUAUGCGUACUCGUUGGGUUCCACCAUAUUAUCAACGAGAAUUAUUUCAAAAAUUGCAGCAUUUCAGACAAGGAAAAAAUUAUGUAGAAGAAUAUUAUCAGGAAUUACAAUCUGGCAUGAUCAGAUGUAGUAUUGUUGAGGACAAUGAAGUUAUGCUUGUACGUUUUAUGGAUGGAUUAAAUAGACAUAUUCAGACUAUCCUAGAAUAUAAGGAUUAUAACACUACCACUCGUUUAUUCCAUCUUGAUUGCAAAGCUAAAUGUGAAGUGCAAGAUCGACAAGCAUUGGCGAGAACUAACUUUUCUGCAAGACGCACUUACUCAUGGAUGCCCCGGAUCUCAUCUACUUCUACACGUCCUCCUGCAUCAGCACUGCCUACUUCAGCCACCAAUUCCAAUAGAGAUACCAGGAAACAGGCCCCUGCCCCACCCUUCGCCAAGAGCACACCUUUCGGGCCAGCAUAGAGCUCUUCUUCAUCCAUGGCACCCACACGGCAAACACAUGAGGUUAUCUGUCAUCGUUGCAAGGGUGGAGGUCAUUAUGCGAGAGAGUGCCCAUCCAAGCGUGUGAUGAUUAUUACUGAGCAUGGUGGAUAUGACUCCGCUAGUGAUUAUGACGAGGAGACUCCGACUCUUAUUGAGAGUGAAGAACAGGGUGUAGAUGAUGCUGAACAAGAGACACAAUACAUGGUUGCUGACUACGCUGAUAGGUAUGAAAGCUUAGUUGCUCAACGUGUUUUAAGUGUGCAGGUAACACGGGCUGAGCAAAAUCAGAGGCACAACUUGUUCCAUACAAAGGGAGUUGUGAAGGAACGUUCUGUUCGUGUAAUCAUCGAUGGAGGAAGUUGCAAGAACUUAGCUAGCAUGGAUAUGGUGGAGAAGUUGUCUCUCAUUACAUCUAGUCGUUCAACAACAGUGGCAAGGUUAAGGUAACACGUAAUGUUUGUGUGCAUUUUAGCAUUGCUACAUAUUCUGAUUUUGUUGAUUGUGAUGUGGUACCCAUGCAAGCAUGCUCCGCUUUACUUGGUAGACCAUGGAAAUUUGAUUAAAAAAAUGUACACCAUGGUAGGACAAAUCAGUAUACUCUUGUUCAUAAGGAUCAAAAUAUAACUUUGCUUCACAUGUCUCCUGAACAUAUUAUUAAAGAAGACAUUGCUAGAUCUAGUAAAGCAAAACAGGACCUACGUAAGAGUGAAAACUAGAUUGUAGCAAAGGAAUUUGAGCAACACAAUAAGCCUAAUAAACCAUCAUCUAGUGUUGCAUGUGAAAUAAAACUGAAGAGUGGUUUUUUACUUGCCACUAAAUCUGAUAUUACUGAUUUGGAUGUUACUACAUCUAAUUGUUAUGCUUUCGGAUGCAAAGAGGUAUUAUUUUCAUUCGAGGACAUGCCUCCCUCUUUGCCUCCUAUUGUUAUUAACAUUUUGCAGGAGUUCACUGACGUCUUUCCACAAGAUGUGCCACCGGGAUUACCACCUAUUAGAGGGAUUGAGCAUCAGAUUGACUUAAUUCCCGGUGCAUCGCUACCCAACCAUGCACCAUACCGCACCAAUCCAGAGGAGACGAAGGAGAUUAUGCGUCAAGUACAGGAGUUGCUCGACAAGGCUUAUAUACGCGAAUCUCUUAGUCCUUGUGCUAUUCCUAUUACUCUAGUGUCGAAAAAGGAUAGUACAUCGUGUAUGUGUGUUGAUUGUAGAGGCAUUAAUAAUAUUACUAUUCGUUAUCGUCAUCAUAUUCCUAGACUAGAUGAUAUGCUUGAUGAAUUAAGUGGCUCUACAAUUUUCUCCAAAGUUGAUUUGCGUAGUGGAUACCAUCAAAUGUGCAUGAAACUGGGAGGUGAAUGGAAAACAACAUUUAAAACUAAGUUUGGAUUAUAUGAGUGGUUAGUUAUGCCUUUUGGGUUAACUAAUGCACUAGCAGUUUCAUGAGAUUAAUGAAUGAGGUUUUACGUGCUUUCAUUGGACGAUUUGUGGUAGUUUACUUUGAUGAUAUACUGAUUUAUAGUAGAUCUUUGGAGGAACACUUGGAUCAUUUGUGUGUUGUUUUAUUGCUCUACGUGAUGCACGUUUGUUUGGUAACCUUGGUAAGUGCACCUUUUGCACCGAUCGAGUAUAUUUUCUUGGCUAUGUUGUUACUCCACGAGGAAUUGAAGUUGAUAAAGCCAAGAUUCAAGAUAUUGAGAGUUGGCAGCACCCCAAAAUGGUCACACAAGUGAGGAGUUUUCUUGGACUCGUCGGGUUUUAUAUGUGUUUUGUGAGAGAUUUCAGCACCAUUGUUGCACCUCUCAAUGAGCUUACAAAGAAGGAUGUGCCUUAUUGAUACGUCCAUUUUGCAUCAUGAUUUCUUGUCCCUUUUUACUUUGUUCUUGUCCAUUAUUCUGAAUUGUUAUGCAAUUCUUAUGCUUUAUUCUCUCUGAAUAUGCAAGGAACAUCACAAUGAGGGAAAUAUCUGGAAACUGGGAUUCUAGACCGGAAAACGGAAGAAUAGGCAGAGAAAUCACCACACUCCAAAUGACCUGAAAUUUCACGGAGAAUAUUUUUGUAAUAUUUAAGAAUUUCUGGAACAAAAAUACACCAGAGGAGGGCUUCUAGCUAGGCACAAGACAAAAGGGCGCGCCCCAGCCCCUAGUCGCUCCCUCAUGGCUUGUGGGGCCCCUGUUGUCACUCUGACGUCCAUCUUCUCCUAUAUGGUUUGUUUUACCCUAUAAAAAAUCAAGAGAUUACUUUCGAGAUGAAGCGCCGCUAUCUCAAGGCGAAAACCUGGGCAGAGGCCCUUUUUCUCUCCGAUAGUGCGAUUCUGCCAUGAAAAUUUCCCGUCGGGAGGGGCAAAUCGAAGCCAUUGUCAUCACCAACGCUUCCUCCUUCAUGGGAGAACCAAUCUUCGUCAACAUCAACACCAUCACCAUCUCAUCUCCAACCCUAGUUCAUCUCUUGAGUUUGAUCUUUGUCUCAAAACCUCAGAUUGGUACAUGUGGGUUGCUAGUAGUGUUGAUUACAUCUUGUAGUUGAUGCUUGUUGGAUUAAUUGGUGAAACAUAUUAUGUUCAGAUCCUUUGUCACCAUCAUUAUACCUCUGAUCUUGAACAUGUUGAUGAGGUGUGAGUAGUUACUAUUGUUCCUCAGGACAUGGGAUAAGUCUUGUCACAAGUAACCAUGUAAAAUUGGCAUUCGUUCGAUAUUUUGAUGAUAUGUAUGUUGUUGCUUCUCUUAGUGGUGUCGUGUGAACAUCGACUACACGACACUUCACCAUGUUAUGGUCAUAAGGGAAGGCAUUGUUGAUUAACAAGUAGAUGAUUGUUUGUGAGAGUGACAGAAGCUUAAACCCCAGUUUACGCGUUACUUCAUAAGGGGCUGAUUUGGAUCCACAUGUUUCUUGCUAUGGUUAGAUUUGUCUUAAUUCUUCUUUCGUAGUUGCAGAUUCUUGCAUGAGGGGUUAAUCAUAAGUGGUUGUUUGUUCAAGUAAGAACAACACCUUAGCACCGGUCCACCCACAUAUCAAUUAUCAAAGUAGCGAACGUGAAUGAAUUCAACAUGAUGAACAUAACUAGAUAAAAAUCCCCAUGUGUCCCCGGUAGCACUUUCUUCAUAUAAGAACACUUUCCGGCAUGUCCUUUGCUGUAAAAAUGAUUAGGCUACUGUAACGACCAAGAUGCGGUCCUUUCCGAUCUGGGGGUCGAGGCCCCGAAUAGGAAAGAAGCGCAUCUAAGCAUUUCGCAAGUAAGUAACAUAGCACAAAUAAUAAUACAAGUAGACAAUUCGGGAUUCAACUGUCUUCUUAUUAAUAACUCAGAGUACAACACAGAUACAAACAAGGUAGUUCCGUACGGACUACAAAACAUGGAAAAUGCUAUGCUACCCUGCCUGCAGGCCCACGAUCACGACCAUGCCUCAGUCCUCUCGAUAGUUCACGUAGAGGCGGUAUGUCUCCUCGUCGUACUGCCACGCCAGCUGGGUGCCGUCGGGAUCAUCUGUCUCUGGGGUACCUGUACCUGUUGGGAGUUUCGGAGGAAUCCGUGAGCACGGGGACUCAGCAAUCUAAGACCUUGGUGCCAGAACUAGUCAUGUCAUUGGGUAGGGUAAGGGAGAAGUGUAUCAGGCUGCAGCAUCCUAUGUUUGAUUAAGUGGCUAACUUACGCAAGGUAGAAGGGGAGAUGGUCUACGUUAACGGUCGGAUUUACUUGAUCAGUAAGUGAUCCUGUGCACCUACCUACGGCAUUCAUAACCCCACCGUGUUCCCGAUCGAAGAGAGAUCUUCGAAGGGACAGUCACGGUUACGCACACAGUUGGAAAUUUUAUUAGCUUAUGUUUAAGUUCUCUAAUACCGGAUGUUAACAAAAUAUUCCAAGUUGCCACAUAACCGCGGGCACGGCUUUCCGAAAGAUUAAACCCUGCAGGGGUGCUCCAACUAGUCCAUCACAAACGAACACAGGCCGCAAAGACAUCAUCUAUCACGAAUCUCGUGACCUCGUCGGAUUCCUUAGAGGAAAACAUCAACUCUGGGAAAAACCAAAGCUUCACUGGGAUUCCUAUACGCAAGAUAUACCGCUAAGGUAAGAGAAGGCUAGCAGGACCUCCCGUCGUGUCCACGACCCUGAUAAGAGCCGUGUAUCUCAGUCUCAGGACACGACAGAUGAGCUAGACGUCGGGAUGGCUAAACCUCUGGGUGACCAGUGGGGCCCUGGACAUCGCUCAGGUGGGGCCAACACUCAUGAGGAGCACUCGCCCGGUUGUUGAUUAAUUCCUCGGGGUAUCUAUUCCCUAUGCAGAUUAUUAUGUGCUUAGCCGAUUAAAACCAAAGUUGGGUCCUGCCGGACAAAUCUUAGCACUACGCGAUUUAUCAAGGGGGUCCCCAUAACAACCCCGAACGUGUUAGGAGCGAUCAUUAUGGAAUCAAACACCGGUAACCGGUAACUAAUGCGGCAAGGACGGAACAAAGCACCCGGCAAAAGCCUAGGCCUCCCGUCAUUUACCAAGUAUAUAGGUGCAUUAAUUAAAUAACAUAAUUUAAGAUAAUGAUAUCAAGCUCAUGUUAUCACAUGAGGCAAAGCACGUGCAACUAACAAUGCUAACAUUAGUAGCUGAGCAAGCCUACUUAGCCACACAAGUUUGCUAGGAAGGAGAACGGUGUUUGGGCUCAUGGCAUUUCAAGAGGCAAUUUAAUUUCAGUGGUAGGCAGCGAGCAAUAUGACAUGGAAACGAAACUAAUCAUAACAAGUCUAGAGAUGGAAUCAAGGUCAUAUCAUCUUGCCUAUGAUAUCCUCAGCUUGGAAUGGUUCUGGUUCGUCCUGCACGUACUCUCCUGACUCCACGUAUUUGCUCUCCGAUCCCGGUGCUACCCAACAUAAGAACAACAGCCAAUGAACAACAGCACCACAAGAUGCAACAAUCACAUGAUGCAUGAGAUGAAAAUUGAGCAUGCACCACUAUUUCUAUCACUAGCACAAGCAAAAUAAACUACUGCAAGUUUCUGGACAGAACUGUACACUAAGCUAUUUUGACAUGCAUGAGAAUGACAUGAACAGAUGCGGCUCAUGAAAACGGUGAAAAACCAUAUAAAGAACAUUGCAAACGGAGCUACGGAUCAACGGGAAUCAACGAAACAAGAUAUGAAGCUCUACGUGGAAAAAUCAACACCACACUCACAAUUGGCACAAAUCUGGUAUUCCCAGGUUUCCAAGACAUGUAACAACCCAACAUGAACGGAUUGGAGCAAGGAAGAACACUACAACAUCAACUAAGUACACACAUUGCCCAAAAUGACAAAACUACAUAAUCUGCCAUAAUCUGCAUCUUAGCUCUUUGGGAGCUGCAUGCAACAUAGCUACAGGUCUUCAAACAUGACAAAUAAUAUAUGUGGCUGUUUCCAACCAAGAACACUACAAGCACCAGCAAGAAUCACAGCAAAAGGAAUUACACUCUAGAAGAUACAAGGUCACAAACUUUCCCAAAACCAUCAGAUCUCAGGGACUUAGUGAAAAUUCCUGCACCUGAGUUUUUGUCUCUGUUCUGAAGCUUUUUGACAGCAAUCAAAACACAACCUACUGGACUCCAAAUGAUUUGAAAUUUUACAGGAAUCUUCACAAACAUACCAGGUUCAUAAUCCUAGCACUGAACUAAGGCUAGUUCUCAUCAGAAUGACCAGCACAUCCUCAUCUAUAGGGGAAGAAAAUGUUUCCAGAAUCCCAGACUUGGUGAAAUUUCAGAUUUCACUAAUCUGGAAUUUUCCAGCCACAUGCCCACUUUGUCUAGGCAUAGUUUGCACACACAUUGCACCAAGUGAUAAUUGACACCACUAUAGUGUAGAGCAAAACCCCUACUACUAUCACACAAAAACUCAUGCCCUUGGGCUCCACCUAUUCAUUGGAAUCAAGGCUCAAACUUGCAACAAAACUGAAUAUGUUAACUCCAUAAGGUUUCCUACUAAGACAACAACUACAAAGGUUGGGUUCAUGUGCACAAUGACAAAGUAACAUGGGGGUUUGAACCCCAUGUUUGUGUCAUGCACAUCAACAUCACAAGCACAUCUACCAAACUAUCCCCACACACAAACACCAUGCCCUCUCACAUAUAGACAUGUGAAGGUGCAUAGUUUUGCAAAGGUGGGGAAGUUCCACACACACACAUAUACUCCACAUAAUUCACAACAACAUCAUGCCCUUAAACCCAAGAACAACAUGAGGGGGAAAAAUACUAAGCAAGUAACUUGGAAGCAUCACCUCUCAAACACUUUUAGUAGGAACCACAAGUGGUGUGCACUCACUACAAACACAUCUCCAUACCUACACCAUCAACUUCACUUACAACCCCUAUGCACACAUGCCUAUUUGCAAUCACACCAUCAACAUAAACUAACAAGACCACAUACACACACAUAUCACUUAAGCCACCAACACCAUCUAUCACAAUACUAGUGUGUGCAAAACACACACACAAUACAAUCUGCACCCAUCUACACCAGCAGGAAAAAAUAUUACAUAGGACACCUUGCUAUCUAUGCAUAAGAAAAAGGAAGUAACAAAAUAACAGGAAAGCAAAAAAAACAGAAAUAAGCAUCAGGGCUCCUGGGAAUCGAACCCAGUACCUCCUGGUACACAGCAACAGAGCCUACCACUACACCACUGCCACUUCGUCGACAAGGUAGGGGAGGCAAUCAGGCUAACAUGUCCCUGUUGCUACUGUGCAGGAAAAUCAGAAAACAAAAAUAGCGCCGAGGGGGGAUCGAACCCGCGCCCUCCAACAGGCACGCAACGCUAGUUACCACUGGGCUACGAAACGGCGUCUGAACCACUACGCGUUGCGAAACAGAAGAGGUUACACCCCUGCUCAUCUGCUACCGGCGACUGACCGGAACAGGGUAGGGGUCUCGCCGGCGAUGCGAGCCAAAUACAGCUCCGGCUCGUGGAGGGGAGGAGGCCCACACCCACAUGAACCCAUUCCAAGUCCUAACUACUCUCGAGGGGCGCUACAACGGCGUGUCGACGGUGACCAGCGGCUCCAGCGACAGAGGCAACGCACGCAACAAAUCUACAGCUACGAUGCUUGAUCUAGCACAGGGAGCAGGGGGAGGAGUACUACCUCACGUACGGGUCGAGGAAGAAGCGACCGUAGUGGAAGUAGCAGGAAGAACGGCACGUAGCGGCGGAGCUCGUCAGAGAAGGAGGGCCUCCGGGAAGAAGACGAAGCAGGGUCGGGGAAGCCGAUCUAGCGGCGGCAACGAGCCCGUGGCGAGGCCCGCGAGCUCCUGGACCUCUCGCCGUGGAGGAAGAGGUACCACAGCGACGACGGCGACCUCCUUCAACCGUCGGCCAUGGUGGAUCCGCCUCGCUUACCUUGCUGCGACGAUGCAGAGAAGAGGGAGAUGAGAUUUGGGUGGAGCGGCGGCGGAAGGGGGAACCCUAGCCGAGGCACGGAAGCCAAGGCUCUUUAUAGGGCGAGAGGGGAAGCGACGGGCGCGCGGUGGCCAUGUGCGCGGGCUCUCUCCGGUGGAACAGAGGGGAAUGGGAGAGAGAGAAUGACAGAGGGGACCCACUGCCUCGCUGGAAAGGAGGUGAACGACGACGGACGCGCGACGGGCUGCGAGGGAGGAAGGGGAAGUGGGCCGCUAGGUGGGAGGAAGCCCACUUAGCGCGCCAGAUAGGGAAAUAGACCCCUCUGUCUAUUUCCUUUUAAAAAUUAAAACAGAGAAAGAAAAAAUAGGCAUAGGACAAAAUAAAAGGGAUAAAAUAAAAUGGAAAAAUGCCCUGGACCCGAAAAUGAACCAGCUAUUUAAAUAAAAUACUUCCAGCAUUUAUGGGGCUACUUUCAUAAACCAAAACAGCAUUUAUUUAAUCUGUUUUGUGAUUUAUAUUCACCCCCAGCACCAAGAAUAAAAUUCCAAAUCAUCACAUCAUCAUCUCCACAAUAACCUCUAAGCACAAGACAUUUUAAAGUUGCUUUUGGGAAGAUGGAAUUUUGAACAAGAGAUAAUAGGAAAGGGAAAGGGUUUGAAAUUGCAAUGAGCUUUGACAAAAUACCUAGCACCCACUCCUUCACACCACACACCAUCAACACAAUGAAACUUCAAGACCCACUCUAAGACAUGGCAAGGUAUAGAUGCAAGCAACACAAGGCAUGGUAAGAAUGGUAUGACAUGGAUGCAUGCAUGCAAAAGAAGAACACAAGGUGACACAUGAAAUCACAUAUGCAUAGAUAACUCUCAUGAAAAAUUCAAGGUGGUCCCACAUGGAAGGUUACAAAAAGGAAAGCUUUACAACUGGGGCACUACAAACUCUCCCACACUACAAAGAAGAUCUCGACCUCGAGAUCUAAGACUGAAAGAAAUCGGGAAAUUCGGAACGGAGGUGAUCCUCGCGUUCCCACGUAGCCUCUUUAUCGGAAUGGUGUGACCACUGCACUUUGAGAAACUUGACAGUCUUGUUACGGGUCUUGCGCUCAGUCGCCUCGAGAACCGCAACUGGAUGCUCAUGAUAAGAAAGGUCAGGCUGAAGGUCGAUAUCUUGAAGAUGCACAGUGCGCUCGGGGGUCUUGAAACACCUCCGGAGCUGAGAAACAUGGAACAUAUCAUGGACAUUGGCAAAGGUUGACGGAAGCUCGAGGUGGUAUGCAAGGUCGCCCCUCUUGCCAACCACUCUGAACGGACCAACGAAACGAGGCGCAAGCUUGCCUUUGAUGCCAAAACGUUGCAUACCCUUCAUAGGCGACACCUUGAGAUAGACAAAAUCAUCAAGCUCAUACGACAUGUCAUGGUGCUUGCUAUCGUAAUAGCUCUUCUGACGAGACUGAGCUGCUCUGAGGUUGUCUCGAAUGAUCCGACACAUCUCCUCAGCUUCUUCUAUCAUAUCAUUGCCAAGGAUCUGACGCUCGCCUGUCUGGGACCAGUUGAGCGAAGUACGGCACUUCCUGCCAUAGAGAAUUUCAAACGGAGCCUUGCCAGAACUAGCUUGAUAACUGUUGUUAUACGAGAACUCCGCGAAAGGCAGACAAUCCUCCCACUUCAUGCCAAAAGAGAUAACACAGGCUCUCUGCAUAUCCUCAAGAACUUGAUUCACUCUCUCCACUUGACCACUAGUCUGAGGAUGGAACAUUGUGCUGAAGCGGAUCUUCGUGCCCAUAGCAGACUGAAAGGAGUCCCAGAACUUGGAAGUGAAGAUACUUCCGCGAUCUGACGAGAUCAUCAUAGGUACACCGUGCAAAGAGACAAUCCUGAAGGUGUACAACUCUGCCAGCUGAGCUGCUGAAAUGGACUCCUUGACUGGAAGGAAAUGCGCUACUUUACUCAAUUUGUCGAUGACGACGAAGAUAGCAUCAUUGCCCUUCUUGGACUUCGGAAACCCGGUGACAAAGUCCAUCUCAAUGUGAUCGAACUUCCACUCGGGAAUCGGCAAAGGCUGCAAGAGGCCCGCUGGUCUUUGAUGUUCUGCUUUCACCCUUCGACAUACAUCACACUCGUUUACGAAUUGUGCAAUUUCGCGUUUCAUACGAGUCCACCAGAAAGUCUGCUUCAAGCCAUGGUACAUUUUGGAACUUCCAGGAUGAAUAGAGAGCAGAGAGUUAUGAGCUUCUUCCAUGAUCACCUUCCUGAGAUCACCUUUCGGGACGACAAGGCGGUCCUCGAAAAACAAAGUGUCCCUCGCAUCAACAGUGAAACACUUAUACUUGGGGAGACUCUUUCCCACACCAAUCUUGACCUUCUUCACCAUGGCGUCAAGUAGCUGAGCUGCUCUGACCUGAUCUUCCAAGGUAGGAGAGAUCUGAAGGUUCGCAAGAAAACCCUGAGGAACCAGCUGAAGAUUGAGCUUCCUGAAAGACUCAGAAAGACCCGGCUGGAGAGGUUGCAGAAUCAGACUGUUGCAAUAUGCCUUCCUGCUCAAUGCAUCUGCCACAACAUUUGCCUUGCCUGGCGUGUACUCAACACUCGGAUUAAAAUCCUGGAUCAUUUCCACCCAACGUGUUUGCCGAAGAUUCAAGUUAGGCUGAGUGAAGAUAUACUUGAGGCUCUUGUGAUCGGUGAAAACUUCAACCUUACGUUCCAACAAGAGAUGUCUCCAAGUCAUCAAGGCAUACACAACAGCUGCUAGCUCGAGGUCGUGCACAGGAUAGUUCUUCUCCGCAGGCUUCAGCUGCCUGGAGGUAUAAGCAACCACCUUCCUAUCUUGCAUCAAGACUGCACCGAGACCCUGGAGAGAAGCAUCGCAAAAUACCUGGUACGGCUUGGAAUCAUCCGGAGGGACCAAUACCGGAGUGGAGAUAAGCUUCUCUUUGAGUGUAUCGAAAGCCAGCUGACACUCUGGAGACCAAACAUACUUGACACCCUUCUGAAGAAGACUAGAGAGCGGCUUGGCGAUUUUGGAGAAGUUCUCAACGAAUCUUCUGCAAUAUCCGGCAAGACCGAGAAAGCUUCGAAGCUGCUUCACAUUCUGCGGUGGUUCCCAUUCAACAAUGGCUUGAACCUUGGACGGGUCAACCUUAAUGCCUUCGGCAGAGAUAAUAUGCCCAAGAUAAACCACUUCUUUCAGCCAGAACUCGCACUUGGAAAACUUGGCAUACAGCUUGUAUUCUCUCAGUUUAUCAAGCACCAACCUGAGAUGUUUCUCAUGUUCUUCCUCAUCCUCAGAAAAGACCAGAAUGUCGUCGAGAUAGAGCAAGACAAAUUCAUUCUUAAAUGGUGAGAAAAUAUAGUUCAUCAAACGGCAAAAAGUCGGAGGAGCAUUAGCCAGACCAAAAGACAUGACCGUAUACUCAUACGAGCCAAAACUAGUCCUGAAUGCCGUCUUCGGAAUGUCUUCCUCGCGAAUGCGAAUCUGAUGAUAGCCCAUUCUGAGAUCAAGCUUGGAGAAUACUUUAGCACCUUUCAGUUGUUCGAACAACUCAUUUAUGUUCGGAAGUGGAUAUUUGUUCUUGAUUGUCUUCUUGUUCAAUGGGUGGUAACACACAGCCGGUCCGAACCAUCCUUCUUCUUGACAAAUAGAACCCCACAUCCCCACGGAGACGAGCUUGGUCUGAUCAAACCCAAACGCUCCUGCUCAUCAAGUUGCCUCUUGAGUUCCUUCAACUCUUCUGGACCCAGCUUGUACGGCCGUUUGCACACUGGCUCUGUGCCUGGCUCAAGCUCAAUGACAAACUCAACUUCACGGUGCGGAGGCAUGCCUGGCAGCUCUUCAGGAAACACAUCUUGAUAUUCGCAGACUACUGGAACUUGCUCAAUGGGAUUGAUCUCACCCUUUUCAUUCAAGGAGAACAAGCGGAUUGUGUCAUCGCGCGCCGCGAAUAUAAUCACAUCCUCCGAAGAGUGGGUAAGUUUCACUUCUUUAGCUUCACAAUCAAUUGACGCCUUGUUCAUGGCCAACCAGUCCAUACCAAGAAUCAAUUCGAUGUCGGACUUGCCCAAGACAUACAUAGAGGCCAGAAAAGAAUAGUUGCCCAUCUUGAUAGAAACAUCGGGAGCACGGGUACUAGCAUGCAUGAACUUGCCUGGAGAAACUACUGACAACGGACUAGGAAGCUCUUCAACGGGAACAUUAUGCUUGGAUGCAAAUGGAAUGGAGAGGAACGAAUGCGAAGCACUAGAAUCAAAUAACACUUUAGCAGGACUAUCAUUGACAAGGAGGUUACCCAUGAUCACAUCAGAGGAGUUGUCUGCUUCAGCUGCAUUCACCAUGUUGACUCGAGUUGAUCUGGGGUUGAACUUGACAAGAGCGUUGCUUGGAGGUUUGCCUGGAGGAGGAGGCGGCAGACGGAGCUGAGAAGUGCAUUUGUUGGCAUAGUGACCCUUCUGCCCACAUUUGUGACAAGUGACAUCUGCUGGCUGCCGGAACUGAAUCCGAGGAGGCCCUUGCUUCUGAUGUUGGUAUCUCUGCUGGAAGCCAGGGUUGGGUGGGUGGGAAGAACCACGUCCACCUGAGUGCUUCGGAUGCUGUGAGUGCCGAGGAGGAGGAGGAGAAGAAACCCAAAACCUCUGUUGCUUCUGAACCACCUGAGUCGAGGAAGAGCUGGAAUCUCUGAAGCGCUUCUUGGAGUUCUCCACCCUGAGCAAGGCUGCCUCUACUCUGAGAGCUAAGUUGUAGAACUUGUCAAACUCCUCAGGAUCGUGCAAAGCAAGUGCUAACUGCAAAUCCUCCUUCAAGCCACCCCUGAACUGGUAGAUCUUGCUCUUCUGAUCCGGGACAUCCUGCAACGCGUAACGGGCCAGCUCGUGGAACUCGACGUCGUACUUGUACACAGAAUUGCUGCCCUGCUUCAAGCGCCUGAACUUCUCACGCAUCUCCUCAACAAAACUGGAAGGGAUGUAGUGGGACCUGAAGUCACGACAAAACUCGUCCCAAGACAUCACCCUGCCACCUCUGGAGUCCUUAAGCUGCUGCCACCAAAUAGAAGCCUGCCCCUUCAACUGAAACAUUGCAAACUUGGCAUAGUCCUCUAGAUGCACAUUGCCACACUCGAAAUGCUUGUUCAUAUCACGGAUCCAAUCUUCCGCAUCAAACGGCUGGUCGCAAGAAGUGAACGUCUUAGGCUGGUUUGACAGGAAUUGACUCAGACUGGCGAAGUGAUUGCCACCAUGCUGGAAAUUUCCCUGCUGAUGAUUGGCUCUCUCCUGGAUCAACUGCAAUAGCAUCUGAGUGUUUGCAUUAGUAGUUGCCAUCAUUGCCUGCCAGGCCUCUGCAGGAGGAGGCGGAGGAGGAGGUGGAGGCGGCAUAUCCUCACAUGCUGGGGUCUGACGAGUCGGUGGAGCCAUCCUGAAGAUGGACAGCAUAUUAGUCCACAGAAUAAUUGAAGAUAUUGUUGAAUCAAAAGACAGAAUAUCUGAAUAGAAUUUAGCAUUGCACUCGAACAACAUAGCAAGAGUGCAUCCUCAAAGUAACAGACGACAAAAUUCCGAUAAGGACCACUGCAAACAAGUGUGAGCUAGAACUGCUCGGAACAAACAUAUGACCAAGAUUUCCCAAACCUCAAUCAAGCGUCUGUAGGAAGAUAGUCCUAUAAGAUACUACUAGAUAUCCCACCUACGAAUUCCCGAAAUAACCGGUCAUGCAAUCAGGUACACGGAUACAAGGAGUAUUUCACACAACUCCUAAACUAACCCGUCACCUGUAUCACAUCCUUCAACACACAACGAGCAUCUCGGACCUUCAUCUAUAACAGAUCCUCGUGAUCACAAUGAUACAAAGUGUGGUAAUACCCCCGAACAAUCUACACCAGUACUGGGGACAUUGGGGUUAUCUCACCACUACCCGUAUUGAAGCAAUAACGAACACCCUCCGUUCUUAGAUACCCAGAAAUCUGAAUGAUGGCGAUGUGCGCGAUAAUCCCUGGAGCUCAACUCCCCUAAUACUUAGAGCAGAUAAGAGGCACCAGGACAUGACUCCGUCACAUCGAAAUCAUAUAGAUUUCACAAAUACCCGCGUGAUCCUAAAAAAAUGAGCGAGAAAAGGAGUAGAGUUAGAGAUUUCCUAAGACGGGAACCUCACCAGAGCAUAGAAGAGGAGAAAAAGAAUCCUACUCUCCGAUAUAACUAAGACUCAAAACAUUUUCUAGACUCGACUCGGCCAAAUACAAUCACACAAAGGCUCCUAUGGUCGUAAGGCUCUGAUUACCAACUUGUAACGACCAAGAUGCGGUCCUUUCCGAUCUGGGGGUCGAGGCCCCGAAUAGGAAAGAAGCACAUCUAAGCGUUUCGCAAGUAAGUAACAUAGCACAAAUAAUAAUACAAGUAGACAAUUCGGGAUUCAACUGUCUUCUUAUUAAUAACUCAGAGUACAACACAGAUACAAACAAGGUAGUUCCGCUACGGACUACAAAACAUGGAAAAUGCUAUGCUACCCUGCCUGCAGGCCCACAAUCACGACCACGCCUCAGUCCUCUGGAUAGUUCACGUAGAGGCGGUCUGUCUCCUCGUCGUACUGCCACGCCAGCUGGAUGCCGUCGGGAUCAUCUGUCUCUGGGGUACCUGUACCUGUUGGGAGUUUCGGAGGAAUCCGUGAGCACGGGGACUCAGCAAUCUAAGACCUUGGUGCCAGAACUAGUCAUGUCAUUGGGUAGGGUAAGGGAGAAGUGUAUCAGGCUGCAGCAUCCUAUGUUUGAUUAAGUGGCUAACUUACGCAAGGUAGAAGGGGAGAUGGUCUACGUUAACGGUCGGAUUUACUUGAUCAGUAAGUGAUCCUGUGCACCUACCUACGGCAUUCAUAACCCCACCGUGUUCCCGAUCGAAGAGAGAUCUUCGAAGGGACAGUCACGGUUACGCACACAGUUGGCAAUUUUAUCAGCUUAUGUUUAAGUUCUCUAAUACCGGAUGUUAACAAAAUAUUCCAAGUUGCCACAUAACCGCGGGCACGGCUUUCCGAAAGAUUAAACCCUGCAGGGGUGCUCCAGCUAGUCCAUCACAAACGAACACAGGCCGCAAAUGCAUCCUCUAUCACGAAUCUCGUGACCUCAUCGGAUUCCUUAGAGGAAAACCUCAACUCUGGGGAAAACCAAAGCUUGAGUAUUCUAUNNNNNNNNNNNNNNNNNNNNNNNNNNNNNNNNNNNNNNNNNNNNNNNNNNNNNNNNNNNNNNNNNNNNNNNNNNNNNNNNNNNNNNNNNNNNNNNNNNNNUUAAAUAUAUUUGAUGAGGGUAAUUAUUGACAACUCGGGUACGAGAAUUGUUUGGUGGAACCAUCUCGUUAACAACAAACAACGUAGUAACAUUUUGCUUUUAGCCCUCUCUUGAUGUAGGAGAAAACUUGCUUUUCGCUAAAAAAAACUUAUAGCCCACCUGUCAUAUAUGCAUAUAGUAUAGAUGAUUACUUUUCACCCCUCUCUUAUGUGACUUGCCGGCAUAUUCAAUAUGCUGACCUACACGGCUGCAAUGUCUUAUGUUGCAGAUAUUUUUCUUCGACGAGUAAGAGUUCGAUUCAGGGUUACGGUCUACACUCAACUUGCCAUUGGUGUUUAUUGGGACUCCACUCCCUUGACUGCUUCCGCUGAAAUAUUUAAGGUAUAUAUCAGUUUUACGCUAUUUACAUGUGAUUGCACUUUGAUAUAUACAUUGAUGUACUGUGUGUGCCAGCAUACUGAUCCAGGGAUGGCACAGAUACACAGAGGCUUGACUCGUCUUGAGUCGGGUCGCUACAGGAUUAGGCGAUGGUUUACACCUACAAACCCUUCCCCUCGGAGUAUGCGUUUAGCACUUUGUUUAGAUUACUAAUAAAAACUUUCGCAACAAGUAUGUGAGUUCUUCAUGACUAAUGUGAGUCCAUGGUAUAGAUGCAUCUUCACCUUCCACCAUUGCUAGCCUCUCUAGUGCUGCGCAAUUCUCGCCGGUGCACAAACCCACCAAAUUCCUUCCUCAAAACAGCCACCAUAUCUACCUACAAUGUCAUUUUCAUAGCCAUUCCGAGAUAUAUUGCCAUACAAAUCCCACCGUUCCGUCUCAUGACUUGUGCCAUCACUCUCAUAUUGCCAUUGCAUGAUCGUAAGAUACCUAGGGAGAUGUUUCAACGUCAUACACCAUGUUAGAUCGUUGCACAUCCCGGUACACUGCCGGAGGCAUUUCCUAUGGAGUCAUCAUCAUUGUGAUCAUUGAGCUGUGAGUAAAUAAAAGUGUGAUGAUCAUCAUUAUUAGAGCAUUGUCCCAUGUGAGGAAAUCAAAAAAAGAGGCCAAAGAGCCCAAAAACAAAAAAAACAGAAAAGAAAAGAAAAGAGAAAAAAGAGAGGCCUAAGAGCCCAAAUGAAAAAAGAAAAGAAAAGAGAGAAAAAGAGAGAAGGGACAAUGCUACUGUCUUUUUCCACACUUGUGCUUCAUAAUAGCACCGUGUUCUUCAUGUUUGAGAGCUUCUUGCUUUGUCGCUACCAUAUGCUAUUGCGAAUCUUCAUUAUAUAACUUGGCUUGUAUAUUCCAAUGAUGGGCUUCUCAAAAUUGCCCUAGGUCUUCGUGAGCAAGCAAGUUGGAUGCACACCCACUAGUUUUCCUUUUGAGCUUUCACAUACUUAUAGCUCUAGUGCAUCCCUUGUAUGGCAAUCCCUACUUAUUCACAUUGAUAUCUAUUAAUGGGCAUCUCCAUAGCCUUUUGAUACACCGAGUCAAUGUGACCAUCUCCUCCUUUUUGUCUCACAACCACCACCACACUCUAUUCCACCUAUAGUGCUAUAUCCAUGGCUCGCGCUCAUGUAUUGUGUGAUAGUUAUAAAAAGUUUGAGAAAGUAACAGUGCAAAACAAUUACUUGGCCAAUACUGGGGUUGUGCAUGAUUUACAUUAGUUGUGUGAGGAUGAUGGAGCAUAGCCAGACUAUAUGAUUUUGUAGGGAUAACUUUCUUUGGCCAUGUUAUUUUGAAAGUUCAUGAUUACUUUGCUAGUUUGCUUGAAGUAUUAUUGUUUUCAUGUCAAUAGCAAACUAUUGUUUUGAAUCUUACGGAUCUAAACAUUCAUGCCACGUGAAAGAAGUUGCAAAGUACAACUAUGCUAGGUAGCAUUCCACAUCAAAAAUUCAUUCUUUAUCACUUCCCUACUCGAGGACGGGCAGGAGUUAAGCUUGGGGAUGCUUGAUACGUCUCCAACGUAUCUAUAGUUUUUGAUGGUUUCAUGCUAUUAUCUUGUCAAACUUUGGAUGUUUUGCAUGCCUUUUAUAUAUUUUUCGGGACUAACUUAUUAACUCAGUGCCAAGUGGCAGUUCCUGUUUUUUCCAUGUUUUUGACCCCCUUCAUAGGAGAUUUGAAACGGAGUCCAAACGGAAGAAAAUCCCCGAAAAGAUUUUUUCUGGAACGGAAGAAGAUUAGGAGCCAAGGCAGGGGAGCCUCAGGGGCCCCACAAGCCCCCAGCCUGCGGCCAGGGGGUAGGCCGCGGCCCACUGGCUUGUGGGCCCCCUGAGCGCCCCUGACCUAGGGGUUGCGCCGCCGUCGCAAGCUUCUGUCUCCGCAAGAUCCCAUCUGGGGCACAUCCUGGUGCCCUGCCGGAGGGGGAUUCGGAUACGGAGGGCUUCUUCAUCAACACCAUGACCUCUCNNNNNNNNNNNNNNNNNNNNNNNNNNNNNNNNNNNNNNNNNNNNNNNNNNNNNNNNNNNNNNNNNNNNNNNNNNNNNNNNNNNNNNNNNNNNNNNNNNNNGAGAAGGAGGGCCUCCGGGAAGAAGACGAAGCAGGGUCGGGGAAGCCGAUCUAGCGGCGGCAACGAGCCCGUGGCGAGGCCCGCGAGCUCCUGGACCUCUCGCCGUGGAGGAAGAGGUACCACAGCGACGACGGCGACCUCCUUCAACCGUCGGCCAUGGUGGAUCCGCCUCGCUUACCUUGCUGCGACGAUGCAGAGAAGAGGGAGAUGAGAUUUGGGUGGAGCGGCGGCGGAAGGGGGAACCCUAGACGAGGCACGGACGCCAAGACUCUUUAUAGGGCGAGAGGGGAAGCGAGGGGCGCGCGGUGGCCAUGUGCGCGGGCUCUCUCCGGUGGAACAGAGGGGAAUGGGACAGAGAGAAUGACAGAGGGGACCCACUGCCUCGCUGGAAAGGAGGUGAACGACGACGGACGCGCGACGGGCUGCGAGGGAGGAAGGGGAAGUGGGCCGCUAGGUGGGAGGAAGCCCACUUAGCGCGCCAGAUAGGGAAAUAGACCCCUCUGUCUAUUUCCUUUUAAAAAUUAAAACAGAGAAAGAAAAAAUAGGCAUAGGACAAAAUAAAAGGGAUAAAAUAAAAUGGAAAAAUGCCCUGGACCCAAAAAUGAACCAGCUAUUUAAAUAAAAUACUUCCAGCAUUUAUGGGGCUACUUUCAUAAACCAAAACAGCAUUUAUUUAAUCUGUUUUGUGAUUUAUAUUCACCCCCAGCACCAAGAAUAAAAUUCCAAAUCAUCACAUCAUCAUCUCCACAAUAACCUCUAAGCACAAGACAUUUUAAAGUUGCUUUUGGGAAGAUGGAAUUUUGAACAAGAGAUAAUAGGAAAGGGAAAGGGUUUGAAAUUGCAAUGAGCUUUGACAAAAUACCUAGCACCCACUCCUUCACACCACACACCAUCAACACAAUGAAACUUCAAGACCCACUCUAAGACAUGGCAAGGUAUAGAUGCAAGCAACACAAGGCAUGGUAAGAAUGGUAUGACAUGGAUGCAUGCAUGCAAAAGAAGAACACAAGGUGACACAUGAAAUCACACAUGCAUAGAUAACUCUCAUGACAAAGUCAAGGUGGUCCCACAUGGAAGGUUACAAAAAGGAAAGCUUUACAACUGGGGCACUACANNNNNNNNNNNNNNNNNNNNNNNNNNNNNNNNNNNNNNNNNNNNNNNNNNNNNNNNNNNNNNNNNNNNNNNNNNNNNNNNNNNNNNNNNNNNNNNNNNNNUUAGCCCUCUCUUGAUGUAGGAGAAAACUUGCUUUUCGCUAAAAAAACUUAUAGCCCACCUGCCAUAUAUGCAUAUCGUAUAGAUGAUUACUUUUCACCCCUCUCUUAUGUGACUUGUCGGCAUAUUCAAUAUGCUGACCUACACGGCUGCAACGUCUUAUGUUGCAGAUAUUUUUCUUCGACGAGUAAGAGUACGAUUCAGGGUUACGGUCUACACUCAACUUGCCGUUGGUGUUUAUUGGGACUCCACUCCCUUGACUGCUUCCGCUGAAAUAUUUAAGGUAUAUAUCAGUUUUACGCUAUUUACAUGUGAUUGCACUUUGAUAUAUACAUUGAUGUACUGUGUGUGCCAGCAUACUGAUCCAGGGAUGGCACAGAUACACAGAGGCUUGACUCGUCUUGAGUCGGGUCGCUACAGAAAUGGUAUCAGAGCACCUGUUAACUGUAGGACGUGACCCUAGAAACUGGAAAUUUCUUAGGAUAUGAUCUCUCAAAAAUAUUAUUUUCGAAAACACCUUUCACUUCUCAUCUCUUCUGAUUUCAUCAAAUGUUCUCUCUCACAUCAAAUAGUUAGACAAUGCCCUUUCCCCUUUGACCACGUGAAGGAUCAACCGACUCCCACUUCAAAGUAAAGAGGAUUUCAUCAUGCAUUUGAAGAAUUGAAGCUGCGCCAAUUGAAGACCCUCAAGACCCGAAGAAUUCGAAGACCCUGAAGCGUUCGAAUGUUUAUAUGACCAUUAGAAGUCCAAACCCCUGUUAUAUACCCACGUUAGUUACGAUGAUUUGUGAGCCGUCAUUGGUGUGUGUUUUCCGACGGCCACAAAUAAAACCUAUUCUCAAAAAUAUUGUUUGUAUUGUGUGUAUCUCCCUCCCUCUCUUAUCCGUCUCAUCCCUAAAACCUCAACCCUACCAGAUGGAGUAUGAAGCUGGACUUGUAGUCUCUGGACCAAUGACCCAGCUGGAAGCUGAGAUAUGGAUUCAGAACAUGGAGAACCACUUCGGGAGCAACUUGAUCUCAAGGAAGUACGAAGUGGAACACGCUCUUCAGUACUUUACACAAAGUGCUGCAAUCUGGUGGAAAAUGCAUCAUGCCAUACAAGGAUUUAGUGGAGCAGAAACCUGGGACGAAUUCAAGAGGACUCUGUUAAGAUCCCGUCUCAUUCGGAAGUGCUAUGAUUAUCCGAAGGAGAAGACUUGUGCAUGCAAGAUCUGUGGAGAAAUAGGACACACCCAGGAAGAACACAAGGAUGGAUGCACUCAAUGUGAAGAAAAUCACCCAGCUGAGGAGUGCCCAACUAGUCAGGUGACUUGUUUCUUGUGUGAAGGAACCACCCACUACCCAGCGGCAUGUCACAUUUACCCCAAGUAUGCCUGAAACCCACAGACCCCGGGACUAACAAGGAUCAAGUACUAUCUUUUUGGAGAAGGAAACUUGUAUCAGCAAACGUUUUCUUAGGAUCAUACGACAACUUGAGAGUGGUGAAGAAACGAUAGAUGUUUUGUUCAGCUUGCAGAACCAAUGGUUUAUCCGAACUUCGUUCGUGGACAAGAGAAACUCUGCAACGCUUGUGAGGAUGUCCAAGUGUUAGAAUACGAGAUUCACUAAGCCUUAUACAAGGUAAUGAUUUCAGUGCGACAUGGCUUGGCCACCAUGAUGACUUACUAUUGUCAUUCUCUUGCUAUUCGGAAUGGUAAAUCUAAGAGACUUACCCAUAGUGAGAGACGACGUCCUUUGAAGCUUUUGUUUGAGCCUUAGAAUGGUAUAAUGAAAGCCCAUGUACAUGGCACUUGUUGUCACGCGUAGGAAAUUUUACGGUGAGGAUGAAGCCAAGACCCUUCUCUCCGCAGGAUAACCACAAAUGGUAGACCACCAUGAGAACCAUCGAUAUGUUAUUUAGAAUUGGCCACGAGACUGUCAGUUAAGGAGACCCAGUAACGGAAGAAGCUUAUAUCAACGGAAGAGCACUCGAUUUUGAUGGAAAACGUUAUGAAUAUAAAGGGAGAGCAUCACCAAAGGAUUUAAUAUGAAGACUGUGAGGAGUCAGAUGCCAAAACCCCAGAGGAUUGUUAAAAUCUUAAGGGACCAGUAUCUCUCAUUUUAAGUGUGGUAGCAUCCCACCUUGCCGGAGAUUGGAUUUGUUAGAAGACCCCCAAACCCUAACCUUUCUUUCUAGCCUCUUCGAAUCUCGAGGACGAGAUUCAUUUUAAGUGUGGUAGUUUGUAACAUCCCAAAAUUAUAAAUUUUGGAAUGUUAAUACAAUUAUUAUUAGGUUGUUUGUUGGUUGCCUGAGUGAUUGAAACUUGUGUGAAAUUUGAAACUUUUCGAAACUUUUGAAUGAGAGGGAAUAAAAUGACUUUCCCCUUCUCCGGUGAAUUCAAAUUCAAUCUUUUAAAAGCAAAGAGAGAAGAUGACAUGACUUCUUCAACUAUAAAGAAUUUGAACGGAGAUAUUUGCAUUGAAUUCUUUUGCAUUUCCAUUCGUUUUCUUCGUGCAAGAAAUGCCGGGAAAUACAUUCUAGAGAGGAGGAACAUGACCCUCGAACCCACGGNNNNNNNNNNNNNNNNNNNNNNNNNNNNNNNNNNNNNNNNNNNNNNNNNNNNNNNNNNNNNNNNNNNNNNNNNNNNNNNNNNNNNNNNNNNNNNNNNNNNAUGGGAAACAAAAAUUUUCCUACGCGCACGAAGACCUAUCAUGGUGAUGCCCAUCUACGAGAGGGAAUGUGUGAUCUACGUACCCUUGUAGACCGUACAGCAGAAGCGUUAGUGAACGCGGUUGAUGUAGUGGAACGUCCUCACGUCCCUCGAUCCGCCCCGCGAACUGUCCCGCGAUCAGUCCCACGAUCUAGUGCCGAACGGACGGCACCUCCGCGUUCAGCACACGUACAGCUCGACGAUGAUCUCGGCCUUCUUGAUCCAGCAAGAGAGAUGGAGAGGUAGAAGAGUUCUCCGGCAGCGUGACGGCGCUCCGGAGGUUGGUGAUGAUCUCGUCUCAGCAGGGCUCCGCCCGAGCUCCGCAGAAACGCGAUCUAGAGGUAAAACCGUGGAGAUAUGUGGUCGGGCUGCCGUGGCAAAGUUUUGUCAAAUCAGCCCUAAAACCUCCGUAUAUAUAGGGGGAAGAGGGGGAGCCUUGCCUUGGGGUCCAAGGACCCCUAUGGGCUUCGGCCGAGCCAAGGGGGGGAGUUCUCCCCUUCCAAAUCGAGUCCAACUAGGUUUGGAAGGAGGAGUCCUUCCCCCUUUUCCCACCUCCUCUUUUUUUUCUUUUCUCUUUGAUUUUUCUUCCUAUGGCGCAUAGGGAUCUUUUGGGCUGUCCCACCAGCCCACUAAGGGCUGGUGCGCCACCCCCAAUGCCUAUGGGCUUCCCCGGGGUGGGUUGCCCCCCCGGUGAACUCCCGGAACCCAUUCGUCAUUCCCGGUACAUUCCCGGUAACUCCGAAAACCUUCCGGUAAUCAAAUGAGGUCAUCCUAUAUAUCAAUCUUCAUUUCCAGACUAUUUCGGAAACCCUCGUGACGUCCGUGAUCUCAUCCGGGACUCCGAACAACAUUCGGUAACCAACCAUAUAACUCAAAUACGCAUAAAACAACGUCGAACCUUAAGUGUGCAGACCCUGCGGGUUCGAGAACUAUGUAGACAUGACCCGAGAGACUCCUCGGUCAAUAUCCAAUAGCGGGACCUGGAUGCCCAUAUUGGAUCCUACAUAUUCUAUGAAGAUCUUAUCGUUUGAACCUCAAUGCCAAGGAUUCAUAUAAUCCCGUAUGUCAUUCCCUUUGUCCUUCGGUAUGUUACUUGCCCGAGAUUUGAUCGUCAGUAUCCGUAUACCUAUUUCAAUCUCGUUUACCGGUAAGUCUCUUUACUCGUUCCGUAAUACAAGAUCCCGCAACUUACACUAAGUCACAUUGCUUGCAAGGCUUGUGUGUGAUGUUGUAUUACCGAGUGGGCCCCGAGAUACCUCUCCGUCACACGGAGUGACAAAUCCCAGUCNNNNNNNNNNNNNNNNNNNNNNNNNNNNNNNNNNNNNNNNNNNNNNNNNNNNNNNNNNNNNNNNNNNNNNNNNNNNNNNNNNNNNNNNNNNNNNNNNNNNUGGGUUCAUACCGUGCGGUGACCUCACCCAGUGACAGAAGGGGUAGCAAGGCAUGCAUCGUGCUGUCGCCAUCAAGGGUAAAAAAUGGGGUUUUCAUCAUUGGUUUCAGAUUAUCCCUCUACAUCAUGUCAUCUUGCUUAAGGCAUUACUAUGUUCGUCAUGAACUCAAUACACUAGAUGCAUGCUGGAUAGUGGUCGAUGUGUGGAGUAAUGGUAGUAGAUGCAGAAAGUAUCAGUCUACUUGUCUCGGACGUGAUGCCUAUAUGUAUGAUCAUUGCCUUAGAUAUCGUCAUGACUUUGCGCGGUUCUAUCAAUUGCUCGACAGUAAUUUGUUCACCCACCGUGAUAUUUGUUAUUAUGAGAGAAGCCUCUAGUGAACACUAUGGCCCCCAGGGUCUACUCCACACCAUAUUUUCAGCCUUACACUUUUUACUUCGUUGCACUUUCCGCCUUCAGAUCUCACUUUGCAAACAAUCUUGAAGGGAUUGACAACCCCUUUGAAGCGUUGUGUGCAAGCGUGUUUGUGUUUGCGUAGGUACUCUGGACUUGACGAGGCCCUCCUUAUGGAUCGGUACCUUGGUUCUCAAACUGAGGGAAAUACUUACUGCUCCUGUGCUGCAUCACCCUUUCCUCUUCAAGGGAAAAACCGACGCAAACCAGAUAAGUAACAAGAAGAAUUCCUAGCGCCAAGGAAGGACUUUUGUUGCCGCAGCAGGCAUCCCCAAGCUUAGGCUUUUUGGUGUCCUUGAAUUUGGAUUGGGACGCCUUGGGCAUCCCCAAGCUUGAGAUCUAGCCACUCCUUAUCUCUUUGUCCAUGAGAACAUCACCCAAAACUUGAAAAGUUCACAACACAAAACUUAAACAGAAACUCGUGAUAACAUUAGCACAAGAAAACAAACUACCACCUCCUUAGGUACUGUAGCACUCUUGAUUUCUAUUUAUAUUGGUGUUAGAUUACUGUAUUCUCACUUUUCCAUGGCUAGUACCCCCCGAUACUAUCCAUAGUUUCAUCAAAACAAGCAACCAACUCAACAAAAACAGAAUCUAUCAAAAACAAACUAGUCUGUAGCAAUCUGUAUGCUUCGUAUACUUAUGGUACCUCACAAAUUCUGAAAAAUUACGACUGCCUGGGAAAAAGGCAUAUUAACCAGCAGCAAAAAGAUUCAACUCAAAAUCUCUGUCUGAAUAAAAAUGAAAAAUAAUCUCGUGAGCGAAAGGUUUCUGUCUUUUUCCAGCAGGAUAAAACAACCAUCACCAAAACUAGUAAUAAAGGUUUUGCUUGGCUCAAACACAGAAAGAAACACAAAAGACACAAUCAUAACAGAAUUAUGAUGGUAUGGACGCAACAAAACAGAAAGAAAAAGAUAAAUUCAUUGGGUUGCCUCCCAACAAGCGCUAUUGUUUAACGCCCUUAGCUAGGCAUUGAUAAAUCAAUGAUGCUCACAUGAAAGACAAGAAUUGAAGCACGACGAGAGCAUCAUAAAGCAUGUGAAAAUCACAUCUAAGUCUAACAUACUUCCUAUGCAUAGGCAUUCUAUAGGAAAACAGAUUGUCAAGACAACCAAUAGUUACCAUAUGCAAGGAAGAAGAAAGAGACAAUAGCGAUCUCAACACAACGAGAGGUGGUUUAGUAACAUGAAAGUUUCUACCACAAUAUUUUCCUCUAUCAUAAUAAUUACAUGUGGGAUCAUAUUCAAAUUCAACAAUAUAUCUAUCUCAUAGGAUAUUCUUUUCAUGAUCCACAUGCAUGCAAAGUUGACGNNNNNNNNNNNNNNNNNNNNNNNNNNNNNNNNNNNNNNNNNNNNNNNNNUCUUCAAAAAUAGUGGGAUUAUCAUCAACUAAAGUCAUGACUUCUCCAAACCCACUUUCAAUAAUAUUGCAGAUAUCAUAUUCAUCAUGAGGUUUAAACAAAUUUUCAAGAUCAUAAGAAAAAUCAUCACCCCAUUCAUGAUCAUUGCAACAAGUAGAGGACAUAGCAAAACUAGCAUCCCCAAGCUUAGGGUUUUGCAUAUUUUUAGCAUGAUUGACACCAAUAGGAUUUAUAGUGAAACCAUUGCAAUCAUGCUUUUCAUUCAAGGAGCCCUCGUGAAUCACUUCAUAAAUUUCUUCAUCACAAUUUUCAGAUUCACGCAUCUCAAGCAAAACACCAUAGAGAAAGUCAAGUGCACUCAACUCACUAGCAAUUGGAUCAACAUAAUUGGAUCUCUUAAAGAGAUUAGCAAGUGGAUGAGGAUCCAUAUCACUAGAUUUUCAGCUAGCGAAGAUGCAAGCAUAUUGAAGGCACAUAGCACACAAGUGAACAGAAAGCAAGCGGAAGAAAAGGGCGAACGAAAAAGGCAAACGAAAAAGGCAAAUAUUUUUGUAAAUUUUUGUUUUUCAGAAGUGGGGGAGAGGAAAACGAGAGGCAAAAAAGGUAAAUGCAAGAGAUGAGUUUGCGACACUUACUUGCAUGAGUUCUUGACUUGAUCCUCCCCGGCAACGGCGCCAGAAAUUCUUCUGCUACAGUGACAGAAAUCUUCUGUCGUCUCUUGAGCUUGCGUUGGUUUUUCCCUUGAAGAGGAAAGGGCUAUGCAGCACAUGAGCAGUAAGUAUUUCCCUCAGUUUGAGAACCAAGGUAUCAAUCCAUUAGGAGAAUCUUGUCAAGUCCAGAGUACCUGCACAAACACAAAAGAGCUUGCACCCAACGCUAUAAAGGGGUUGUCAAUCCCUUCUAGAUUGAUUGCAAACUGAGAUCUGAAGGCGGAAAGUGCAAUGAAGAAAAAGUGUAAGGCUGAAAAUAUGGUGUGAAGUAGACCCGGGGGCCAUACUGUUCACUAGAGGCUUCUCUCAAAAUAGCAAAUAUUAUGGUGGGUGAACAAAUUACUGUCGAGCAAUUGAUAGAACCGCGCAAAGUCAUGAUGAUAUAUAAUGCAAUGAUCAUACAUAUAGGCAUCACGUCCGAGACAAGUAGACCGAUACUUUCUGCAUAUACUACUAUUACUCCACACAUCGACCGCUAUCCAGCAUGCAUCUAGUGUAUUGAAUUCAUGACGAACAGAGUAACGCUUUAAGCAAGAUGACAUGAUGUAGAGGGAUAAACUCAAACCUAUGAUGAAAACCCCUUCUUUUUACCCUUGAUGGCAACAACACGAUGCGUGCCUCGCUAUCCCUUUUGUCACUGGGUGAGGUCACCGCACGGUAUGAUCCCAAAAUCAAGCACUUCUCCCAUUGCAAGAAUCAUAGAUCAAGCUGGCCAAACAAAACCCACAACUCGAAGAGAAUUACAAGGAUAUGAAAUCAUGCAUAAGAGAGAUCAGAAGAAACUCAAAUAAGAUUCAUAGAUAAUCUGAUCAUAAAUCCACAAUUCAUCGGAUCUCGACAAACACACCGCAAAAGAAGAUUACAUUGGAUAGAUCUCCAUGAAGAUCAUGGAGAACUUUGUAUUGAAGAUCCAAGAGAGAGAAGAAGCCAUCUAGCUACUAACUACGGACCCGUAGGUCUGAAGUGGACUACUCACGAGUCAUUGGAGAGGCGAUGAUGUUGAUGUAGAAGCUCUCCAGCUCCAAAGUCCCCUCCGACAGGGCACCGGGAAGGGUCUCCAGAUGAGAUCUCGCGGAAACGGAAGCUUUUGUAGAACAUGCCCCAGAUGGGAUCUUGCGGAGAGAGAAGCUUGCGGCGACGGAAAAUUACUUUCGAUGAUCACCUGUUUUUUUCUGGAAUUUAUGGGAAUAUAUAGGCGAAAGAUCUAGGGCAGAGGUGGCCCAGGGAGCCCACAAGCCUGGGAGGCGACCCCCUGGCCGUGGCUAGGGGGCUUGUGGGGUCCCUGCUGGCCCCCUGCCUUGGUUCUCAAGCUUCCCUAUCUUCUUCUGUUUUGGAAAAAAUCUUUUUGGAAGUUUCGUUCCGUUUGGACUCCGUUUAAAAUCCUCCUCUGAAAGGGGUCAAAAACAUGGAAAAAACAGGAACUGGCACUUGGCACUGAGUUAAUAAGUUAGUCCCAAAAAGAUAUAAAAGUCAUACAAAUCAUCCAAAGUUUGACAGGAUAAUAGCAUGAAACCAUCAAAAAAUAUAGAUACGUUGGAGACGUAUGAGUGUCCUCCGUAGGCCUCGGAGUGACACUUCUGUAGGAUCUAUCCCUAUUCAUGUUGAGGUACACAAUGUCUAAUAACACCAUCUACUCCUUCCUUAUAAAGGUGAGGAUCAUCCCAAAAGUAAUGUCUCAAGUCAAAGAAGAAUUUCUUCUUUUGCUGGUACGUGAAACUAGGUGGUAUGUAUUUGGCAACGAUAUAGUUCGCAUAAUCAGCAUACCACGAUGCACUACGUGAAGCAUUGAUGACAUUCAAUUGCUCAUCCGGAAAGCUAUCAUCAAUAGGUUGUGGGUCAUCAAGAACGUUCUCCAACCUAGACAAGUUAUCUGCUACUGGGUUAUCAGCACCCUUUCUAUCGGCCACGUGCAAAUCAAAUUCUUGUAGCAAGAGAACCCAUCUGAUAAGUCUAGGUUUAGCGUCUUUCUUCUCCAUGAGGUAAUUAAUAGCAGCAUGAUCGGUGUGAAUAGUGACUUUGGAAUCAACUAUGUAAGACCUGAACUUUUCACAUGCAAACAUGAUUGCUAAAAAUUCAUUUUUCGUAAUAGCAUAGUUUCUUUGGGCACUGUCUAGAGUUUUACUAGCAUAGUGAAUAACAUUCAACUUCUUAUCAACUCUUUGCCCUAGGACAUCACCAAUAGCAUAAUCACUAGCAUCACACAUGAUUUCAAAAGGUAAGUUCCAAUCAGGUGGUUGAACAAUAGGAGCAGUUAUCAAAGCCUUCUUAAGUAUUUCGAAGGCUUCCUCACAAUCAUCGUCAAAAACAAAAGGAAUAUCCUUUUGCAAGAGAUUGGUAAGAGGCCUAGAAAUCUUAGAGAAGUCUUUAAUAAACCUUCUAUAGAAACCAGCAUGACCAAGGAAACUUCUUAUACCUUUGAUAUCUGUGGGGUAUGGCAUUUUCUCGAUCGCAUCAACCCUAGCCUUAUCGACUUCAAUACCUCUUUCAGAAAUUUUAUGUCCUAAGACAAUGUCUUCAUUAACCAUAAAGUGGCACUUCUCCCAAUUCAAGACAAGAUUGGUGUCUUUACAUCUCUGCAAGACUCGAUCAAGGUUGCUGAGGCAAUCAUCAAAAGAAGACCCGUAGACGGAGAAGUCAUCCAUGAAACUCUCGACAAUCUUUUCACAAAAGUCAGAUAAUAUAGCCAUCAUACAUCUUUGAAAGGUGGCAGGUGCAUUACAUAAGCCAAAAGGCAUACGUCUGUAAGCAAAGGUACCGAAAGGGCAGGUGAAAGUGGUUUUCUCCUGAUCAGAUCGUGCAACAGGUAUUUGGGAGAAACCAGAAUAACCAUCUAGAAAGCAGAAGUGUGUGUAUUUAGACAGUCUUUCUAGCAUUUGGUCGAUAAAAUGUAAAGGGUAAUGAUCUUUCCUAGUGGCCUUAUUCAAUUUCCUAAAAUCAAUCACCAUUAUAUAGCCAGUAAUAAUCUUGUGUGGGAUCAAUUCAUCCUUAUCACUAGGGACAACAGUAAUGCCUCCCUUCUUAGGGACACAAUGCACCGGACUCACCCAAUCACUAUGAGCAACAGGAUAGAUAAUACCUGCUUCUAGGAGCUUUAAUAUUUCUUUUCUUACUACCUCUUUCAUCUUAGGAUUUAAUCUCCUUUGAUGAUCAGCAACUGGUUUGGAAUCAGGAUCAGUUUUAAUCUUGUGCUGGCAUAGAGUGGGACUAAUGCCCUUAAGAUCAUCAAGAGUAUAUCCAAUAGCAGCACGGUGCUUUCUUAGAGUUUUUAGUAACUUCUUUUCUUCAUACUCUGAGAGGCUAGCACUAAUUAUGACAGGAUAUAUCUCUUUUUCAUCAAGAUAAGCAUACUUAAGAGUAUCAGGCAACUGUUUAAGCUCGAACACAGGAUCACCUUUUGGUGGGGGUGGAUCCCCAAGCAGUUCAACACGCAAGUUAUUCUUAAGAAUAGGAUAUUGUUCUAGGACAACUCUAUCUAUCUCAUCCCUAUCAUCCAUAUGCAUAUCAUUUUCAUGCUCAAGCAAGUAUUGUGCUAAGGGAUCAGUAGGAGGCACGACAAUAGAAGCUAAGGCAAUAGUUUCAUCCUUACUAGGCAACUCCUUUUCAUGAGGUUGUCUACCAAACUUGGAGAAAUUGCACUCGUGUGACACACCUUCAAAGCCAACAAUGACAGUUUGCUUCUCACAGUCAAUAUGAGCAUUAACGGUAUUGAGGAAGGGUCUGCCAAAUAUGAUGGGACAAAAGCUAUCUUGGGUGGUAGCAAGAACGAGAAAAUCAGCAGGAUACUUCGUUUUACCACACAAGACUUCAACAUCAAUAGGCUCUAUCUCAACAGGUGCAAUCUCGUCUUUCAUUUCAUCAUAUAAGGAUUGAGGUAUUGCACUAACACUAGCACCCACGUCACAUAAACCAUGAUAACAAUGAUAUCUGAUCUUAACAAAAACAACCGACGUGCCAACAACAGGCCUAUGUUUGUCUCUAGCGUGUGGUUUAGCAAUUCUAGCAGGAUCUUCACAGAAGUGAAUAUUAUGGCCAUCAACAUUGUCGGAAAGGAGAUCUUUGAUAAUAGCAAUGCUAGGUUCAACUCUAAUUUUCUCACGGGGUGUAGGUGUUCUAAUGUAGCAUCUACGUAUCACAGUUGAAGCUUUAGAAUGAUCAUUCAUCCUAACAGGGAAAGAUGGUUUCUCAAUCUAAGCACUCGGAACAAUAGGAUCAUUAUAGGCAAUGACUUUCUCUUCAACUGGAUUGGGUUUAACUACAUUGACUUCUAAGGGAGGAUGAUAUUUAAACCACUUCUUUUUAGGGAGAUCAAUAUGAGCAACAAAUGAUUCACAUAAUGAAGCUACUAUCUCAGAGUCAAGUCCAUGCUUAGCGCUAAAAUCACGAAAAGUAUUUGUUUCAACAAAGGAGUUAACGCAAUCAAACUUGAAAUUCAUACCUGACUCCUUACCUUCAUCAAGCUCCCAAUCUUCAGAGUUGUGUUUAGAUCUUUCCAAUAAAUUCCAUUUGAAGUCAAUAUCUCUCUUCAUAAAAGAACCAGUACAAGAAGUGUCAAGCAUGGUGCGAUCAUCAUGAGAAAGCCGAGCAUAGAAGUUCUGGAUGAUAAUUUCUCUCGAGAGCUCAUGGUUGGAGCAUGAAUAAAACAUUGAUUUAAGCCUCCCCAAGCUUGAGCGAUGAUUUCUCUGUCACGAGGCCAAAAAUUAUAAAUAUAAUUCCAUUCACGAUGUACUAGAUGCAUAGGAUAAAACUUUUGAUGAAAUUCCAAUUUCAACCGAUUGUAGUUCCAUGAUCCAGUAUCAUCACAUAGCCUAUACCAUGUCAACGCCUUAUCCCUCAAAGAUGCGGGAAAGACCUUCUUCUUGACCUCAUCCUCGGGAAAACCUGCAAGCUUAAAUAAACCACAAACUUCAUCUACAUAUAUUAGAUGCAAGUCUGGAUGUGAUGUUCCAUCUCGUGUAAAAGGAUUAGCCAGCAGUUUCUCAAGCAUACCCGAAGGAAAUUCAAUGCAAAUAUUUUCAGUAGGUGCAACAGGUUGAGGAGCAACUCUUUGUGCUUCCGUUCGAGGUGAAGAUACCCCGAACAAGCCCCUCAAAGGAUUAGUUUCCAUAGUGACAAGUGACAAUAAAUUUCAGCACACUAUAUGAAUGUUUCCUUACCAAGUUCCGCUUACCAAAGGCGCUUCACUCCCCGGCAACGGCGCCAGAAAAGAGUCUUGAUGACCCACAAGUAUAGGGGAUCUAUCAUAGUACUUUCGAUAAGUAAGAGUGUCGAACCCAACAAGGAGCAGAAGGAUCUCACAAGUGGUUUUCAGCAAGGUAAAAUCUGCAAGCACUGAAAUUAUCGGUAACAAGUAGUUGUGUGGUGAGAUGAUUCGUAGCAAGCAACAAGUAACAAAAGCAGCAACGGUGCAGCAAAGUGGCCCAAUCCCUUUUGUAGCAAGGGACAAGCAUGGACAAAGUCUUAUAGGAGGUAAAAUGCUCCCGAGGACACAUGGGAAUUUUUGUCAAGCUAGUUUUCAUCAUGUUCAUAUGAUUUGCGUUUGUUACUUUGAUAGUUUGAUAUGUGGGUGGACCGGCGCUUGGAUACUGCCCUUACUUGGACAAGCAUCCCACUUACGAUUAACCCCUCUCGCAAGCAUCCGCAACUACGAAAGAAGAAUUAAGACAAAGUCUAACCAUUGCAUUAAACUAGUGGAUCCAAAUCAGCCCCUUACGAAGCAACGCAUAAACUAAGCUUCUGUCACUCUAGCAUCCAUCAUCUACUUACUACUUCCCAAUGCCUUCCUCAAUGCCCAAAUAAUGGUGAAGUGUUAUGUAGUCGACGUUCACAUAACACCACUAGAGGAAAAACAACAUACAACACAUCAAAUUACCGAACGAAUACCAAAUUCACAUGACUACUUAUAGCAAGACUUAUCCCAUGUCCUCAGGAACAAAAGUAACUACUCACCAAGCAUAAUCAUAUUCAUGACCAGAGAGGUAAUGAGUAGCAUCAAGGAUUUGAACAUAAACUGUAACAUCCCAAAUUUUGGAAUGUUAAAAUAAUUAUUAGAUUGUUUGUUUGUUUGAUUGAGUGAUUGAAACUUGAGUGGAGUUUGAAACUUUUCAAAAACUUUUGAAUGAGAGGGAAUGAAAUGACUUUCCCCUUCUCCGGUAAAUUCAAAUUCAUCCAAUUAAAAGCAAUGAGAGAAGAUGACAUGACCUCUUCAACUAUAAAGAAUUUGAACGGAGUUUUGCAUUUGAAUUCUUUCAAAUAUUUGCCCUUGCUUCUAUAUUUUUCUUCCCCGAGAAAUACCCCGAAAAUAAUCCUUGCCAAGCAAGAAAGAGAGGAGGAACAUGACCCUCCAGACCCGGGAUAUUUCUUUGAAAUAUUUGGACCAUAAAACCCAAGGUUUAUUUGAAAAAUAUUUGCAAAAAAGAAAAUAAACCAAUUUAGGGAUUUUCUAAAAAAAACAUUUUUUUGAAGUAUUUAUUUUGGUAGUGGAAAAAUGCCCAUCUUUUUAGAUUUAUUUUUCUGAAAAAUUUAAUAUAUUAUACCUCUAUAUUCCGAGGAUAUUCUAUUUCCUUUUAAUCGUAUUAAUUNNNNNNNNNNNNNNNNNNNNNNNNNNNNNNNNNNNNNNNNNNNNNNNNNNNNNNNNNNUCCUGUUUUAAUAAAAAGGGGAAGAGAUCUCUUAUUUUAGGAAUGUACUUGGGCCACGUUAGGAAACUAAUCUGGCCCAAUCCCACCUUCUUCUUCCUCCUCACGAGCUUCCUUCUGUGGCCAUGGCAGAAGCUUCCCAGGAAGCUUCCCUCCCCCGAUUCGCGGGCUACACUUCCUUCCCGAGCCUCCCACCACCCCUAUAAGAACGCCCCUCCUCUCCUCGUUCCAUUUUCCCCAUCAGCUCGUCCUCUCCCUGCCCGUAGCCACGACGCCCCCACCAUUGUUGUUCCUGCAAGGAGCCGAACAUAAGAACACCCAGGAGCACCUGACGCCCCCUUCCUCGCCUCCGGGACCCCCUCCACCGUUACCCCUCCCCGCCAGCGACCUCCCCACCUUGCCGGAGCACCUACCUCGCCGGAGUUCUUCCUCUCUGUCACCCAUGGUGAGAUUCACGAAAUCCCGUAUUGCAGUUUUUUCAGAAAAUUGCAAUCUUAGAAAAUUCAUAUCUAUUAGUCUAUAACUCCGAAUUAGGUGAUUCUUUUUGCGUUGGAUCAUAAAUUUUAUGUACUUUCUGUAGAUAUAUAAUUUGUCUAUGUUUGGAUUUAUAAAAAUUGAGUUAGAUCAGAUUUGAAUUAAAGCUUGUUUUGCUUAUUUCGGGAGUUUAAAAAUAGCUUUUAAUUUGAUUCUUUUUGCUGCUGCUUCCUAUUGAUCAUAUCUUUCAGUAGUUUAAGUUUCCAUUUUUUAAAAAUAUUUUCUACUUAGGGUUUUAAGCAAAACAGAUUCUGUUUUAGCCUUUUUUGUUUUCUUGCUAUUUCUUUUGUAUUAAUUGUUCUUAAUUUGUUUUUUUUGUAAUUGUGACAAGUUAUAAUUUGUUUUCUGAUAUUUACCAGUAACUUUUCAACAACAACAAAAUUUUAUUUUAUUUAUUCUUAUUUGGUUGCAUGGAAUCAAUUCUAGUUCUAUACUAACUUGCGAAUUGAUUGCAUUGCUAGUUUGAUUUCCUAUUUUGAAAAUACUUAUAAAAAAAUAUUGUUUUGUAAAUUUUACUUCUGUUAUCUUAGUUAUUUUAUAUUUUGUUUUCUGUUAUUUUUUCCAUUUUAGUGUUUUAUUUUCAGUUAGAACAAAAACUAUAUAGUGUUUGAUGUAGUAGAAGACUCCCUAGUCUUAUUUGAAGUUUCCUUCGGAAUUCCUAUUCGCUCUCUCUCUUGUUUUGAUUUCUAGAAUGAUUGCUAGUAUGAGUGCUUAUGUGAAUGAUAUGUUUGUUAUAUAGAUUUCAUCGGAGAGUGACGACUAGUCUAUCAAGUUAUUUCUCGAGAAAUUCUUCUUCGUCAACAUCACCAGGCAAGUCAUUUUGAUCAUACUAUCACCUAUGUUUUAUGCAUCGUAGUUCUACCAUCCUAUGCCCAAUUGCAUGCUGCUUAGGUACUCGGAAAUUUUAGUAAAGGUUGUAGUAUCAUGUGGUAGGCACACAACAACCCCGAUACUUGGCCCCGGGACGACAAAUUUCAUAUUGCUAUGCUUGAGUAGACGGGAUUUCGGUUGAGUGCAUAACACGAGUGAUGCGAGGUUGAUUAAAUAAUCAAGACCGGUUAAGACAAGCUUUUCAAGACCUUGGACGCAAUGCAACUCUGGGUGAAGGACGGUUGAUCAGCUCCCAGAAGAACCCAGUGGAUGACCCGGGAUGCUGGAGAGGCCAUGACAUCAUGCGGAAAGCUUUACCCAGGCUCAAAGGGACGGACGGAUAUUUUCAAGACCAAAGGCUUACCUGCACAGCCACAAGUCAUUAUGGGCUCUGGCUUGGUUGGACAACGCGGCGACUCUGGACAGGCGGUGCUAGCAGAUGUAGAAGAACGGUAGGAUUGGAUGGGCACCGACAGGGAUUCAGAGGGACCUGUUGAAAGACCAUGUUUUGAUCAUCCGGUCUUCAAACACCCUGAAGUGCGAGGACAUACUCGGAGGCGGUCAAAUCUUGUGGGGAACGUGUGCAAAACUCUGCAUAGUACUCAAACCUAAUCGAUUAGCCGUGUCCACAGUCAUGGACAACUUGAGCCAAAGGAACUGAAGUUAUCUGGAUUUCUCAGCACCAUUAAAUAUAUUUGAUGAGGGUAAUUAUUGACAACUCGGGUACGAGAACUGGUUGGCGAAACCAUCUCGUUAACAACCAACAAAGUAGUAACAUUUUGCUUUUAGCCCACUCUUGUUGUAGGAGAAAAACUUGCUUUUCGCUAAAAACUUAAAGCCCCACCUGCCAUAUAUGCAUAUAGUAUAGAUGAUUACUUUUCACCCCUCUCUUAUGUGACUUGCCGGCAUAUUCAAUAUGCUGACCUACACGGCUGCAACGUCUUAUGUUGCAGAUAUUUUUCUUCGACGAGUAAGAGUACGAUUCAGGGUUACGGUCUACACUCAACUUGCCGUUGGUGUUUAUUGGGACUCCACUCCCUUGACUGCUUCCGCUGAAAUAUUUAAGGUAUAUAUCAGUUUUACGCUAUUUACAUGUGAUUGCACUUUGAUAUAUACAUUGAUGUACUGUGUGUGCCAGCAUACUGAUCCAGGGAUGGCACAGAAACACAGAGGCUUGACUCGUCUUGAGUCGGGUCGCUACAUAAACUCUUCCACAAAGUAAUCCAACUAGCAUCAACUACAAAGAGUAAUUAACACUACUAGCAACCUUACAAGUACCAAUCAGAGUCGCGAGACGGAGAUUGGUUACAAGAUAUGAACUAGGGUUUGGAGAUGAGAUGGUUAUGAUGAAGAUGUUGAUGGUGACGAGUCCCCUCCGAUGAGAGGAGUGUUGGUGAUGAUGAUGGCGACGAUUUCCCCCUCCGAGAGCGAAGUUUCCCCGGCAGGAUCGUCCUGCCGGAGCUCUAGAUUAGUUCUGCUCAAGUUCCGCCUCGUGGCGGCGGCGAAUCCUCCGAAAAGCCUCCUCCUGAUUUUUUUCCAGACCGAAACCCUUCUUAUAGCAAAAGGAGGGAGCCAUAGGGCCAGCUGGGAGCCCACAAGCCCCCUAGGCGCGGCUGGGGGGGAGGGUCGCGCCUAGCAGGCUUGUGGCCCCCUGCUGGCGCCCCUCCGGCACUUCUUCGGCCCAGUAUUUUUUAUAAAUCCCAAAAAAAAUCCACGUUGAUUUUCACAGCUUUUGGAGUUGCGCAGAAUAGGCAUCUUGAACUUGCUCCUUUUUCAGGCCAGAAUUCCACCUGCCGGCAUUCUCCCUCUUCAUGUAAACUUUGCAAAAUAAGAGAGAAAAGGCAUAAAUAUUGUACCGUGAAGUGAAAUAACAGCCCAAGAAGCGAUAAAUAUCAACAUGAAAGCAUGAUGCAAAAUGGACGUAUCAGCUGCCUCUACCAUCGAGAUUAGUGUCAAACCUAAAUAAUUGUUAUUUGGUGUUUUGCGUUGAGCAUGAACUUAAUUGGAUUAUGUUUAUUGCAAUACGGUUAUUCAUUUAAAGAGAAUAAUGGUUAUUAUGUUUACUUGAAUAAUACCUUCAAUGCUCUUUCUCCUAAAAUGAAUGGUUUAUUGAAUCACGAUCGUAGUGAUACACAUGUUCAUAACAUUGUUGCCAAAAGAUACAAAGUAGUAAUGAUAGUACCACUUACUUGUGGCACUACCGCUUGACUCAUAUUUGUAUAAAAUGCAUGAAGAAGCUCCAUGUUGAUGGAUCUUGGUACUCACUCAUUUUUGAAACGUUUGAGACAUGCAAACCACGCCUAUUGGUAUAAACGCAUGAAGAAACUCCAUGCAGAUGGAUCUUUUGGACUCACUUGAUUUUGAAUCACUUGAGACAUGCAAAUCAUACCACAUGGGCAAGAUGACUGAAGACCUCAUUUUCAGUGAGAUGGAACAAGAAAGUACCUUUUUGGAAGUAAUACAUUUUGAUGUGUGCAGUCCAAUGAGUAUUGAGGCACGCAGUGGAAAUCAUUAUGUUCUUACUUCGUAAUUGAUUUGAGUAGAUACUACUAUAUUUACUUGAUGAAACACAAGUCUGAAUUAUUGAAAGGUUCAAGUAAUUGCAGAGUGAAGUUAAAGAUCAUCGUGAUAAGAGGAUUAUAUGUCUACGAUGUGAUCGUGGAGGUAAACAUAUAUAUAUGAGUUGCGAGUUUGGUAAACAUUGAAGACAAUGUGAAAAUUGUUUCACGUGAAAAUUGUUUCACAACUCAUGGCACCUGGAACACCAUAGUGUGAUGGUGUGUUUGUAUGUCAUAUUCGUGCCCUAUUAGAUGUGGUGCAUACUAUGAUGUCUCUUAUCAAAUUACCACUAUCGUUUAUGGCUUAGGCAUUACAAACAACCGCAUUCACCUUAAAUAGGGCACAACAGAAUUCCAUUGAGAUGACACCGUAUGAACUAUGGUUUAGAGAAACCUAAGAUGUUGUUUCUUAAAAGUUUGGGGCUGCGAUGCUUAUGAGAAAGAGUUUCAACCUGAUAAGGUCGAACCCAAAGUGGAUAAAGGCGUCUUCAUAGGACACCCAAAACAGUUGGGUAUACCUCCUAUCUCAAAUCCGGAAGCAAAGUGUUUGUUUCUAGAAACAGGUCCUUUCUCGAGGAAAAGUUUCUCUCGACAGAAUUGAGUGGGAGGAUGGUGGAAACUUGAUGAGGUUAUUGAACCAUCACUUCAAAGAAGUGUGUGUAGGAGGGUGCAGUAAGUUGUUCCUAUGGCGUCUACACCAAUUGAAAUGGAAGCGGAUGAUAGUGAUCAUGAAGCUUCGGAUCAAGUCACUACCAAACCUCGUAGGUCGACAAGGAUACUACUCUAGAGUGGUACGGUAAUCCUGUCUUGGAGGUCAUGUUAUUGGACAACAAUGAACCUACGAGCUAUGGAGAAGCAAUGGUGGUCCUGGAUUCCGACAAAUGGCUGGAGGCCAUGAAAUCCGAGAGAGGAUCCAUGUAUGAAUACAAAGUGUAGACUUUGAAAGAACUACUUGAUGGUCAUAAGAGUGUUAACUAGAGAUGGAUCUUUCAAAGGGAAGACAGACGAUGAUGGUGAAAAUUCACCAUUAAGAAAGCUCGACUUGUCGCAAAGAUAUUUCUGACAAGUUCAAAGAGUUGACUACGAUGAAGACUUUCUCACUCGUAGCGAUGUUGAAAGUCUGUUGGAAUUAUGUGCCUAAUAUAACUUUCAACGAAAUGCAUGCCUUGACAAGUUUUUGAAGGAGUUAAAAAUAGAUCAGCAAAGAAGGGGUUCUUGGCUGUGUUAUAAGGUGUGAAUAUUGAGUCGCACUCAAUACCCGACCAUGGCAGAAGAAAGAGAAAGGAUGAAGGUCAUUCCCUAUGCAUUAGCCAUAGGGUCUAUAGUAUGAUAUGUUGUGUACCGCACCUGAAGUGUGCCUUGCCAUGAGUCAGUCAAGGGGUACAACAGUGAUCCAGGAAUGGAUCACUGGACAACGGUCAAAGUUAUCCUUAGUAACUAGUGGACUAAGCAAUUUUUCUCGAUUAUGGAGGUGGUAAAAGGAGUUCACCGUAAAGGAUUACGGCGAUGCAAGCUUUGUCACUAAUCCCGAUGACUCUAAGUAGUAAACCGGAUUCAUAUAGUGGAGCAGUCAUUUGGAAUGGUUCCAAAUGGCAUGUGGUAGUAGCAUCUACAAAGAUGACAUAGAUUUUUGUAAAGCACACACGGAUCUCAAAGAUUUAGACCCGUUGACUAAAAAAACUCUCUCACAAGCAAGACAUCAUCGAACCCCAGAACUGUAUGGGUGUUAGAUUCAUUGCAAUCACAUAGUGAUGUGAACUAGAUUAUUGACUCUAGUGCAAGUGGGAGAUUGUUGGAAAUAUGCCCUAGAGGCAAUAAUAAAUUAGUUAUUAUUAUAUUUCCUUGUUCGUGAUAAUUGUCUAUUGUUCAUGCUAUAAUUUAUUAACCGGAAACCGUAAUACAUGUGUGAAUACAUAGACCACAACAUGUCCCUAGUGAGCCUCUAGUUGGCUGGCUCAUUUAUCAAUAGAUGGUCAUGGUUUCCUGAUCAUGGACAUUGGAUGUCAUUGAUAACGGGAUCACAUCAUUUGAAGAAUUAUGUGAUGGACAAGACCGAAUCCUAAGCAUAGCACAAGAUCGUGUAGUUCGUCUGCUAUAGCUUUUCUAAUGUCAAGUAUCAUUUCCUUAGACCAUGAGAUUGUACAACUCCCAGAUACCGUAGGAAUGCUUUGGGUGUAUCAAACGUCUCAACAUAACUGGGUGACUAUAAAGUUGCACUAAAGGUAUCUCCGAAAGUGUCUGUUGGGUUGGUACGAAUCGAAACUGGGAUUUGUCACUCCGUGUAACGGAGAGGUAUCUCUGGGCCCACUCCGUAAUACAUCAUCAUAAUGAGCUCAAUGUGACUAAGGAGUUAGUCAUGGGAUCAUGUGUUACGGAAUGAGUAAAGAGACUUGUCAGUAACGAAACUGAACAAGGUAUAUGAAUACCGACGAUCGAAUCUCGGGCAAGUAUCAUACCGAUAGAGAAAGGGAAUUGUAUACGGGAUUAAUUGAAUCCCCGACAUUCUGGUUCAUCCGAUGAGAUCAUCGUGGAACAUGUGGGAGCCAAUAUGGGUAUCCAGAUCCCGCUAUUAGUUAUUGGCCGGAGAGGUGUCUCGGUCAUGUCUGCAUGGUUCCCGAACCCGUAGGGUCUACACACUUAAGGUUCGGUGACGCUAGAGUUGUAAUGGGAAUUGUAUGUGGUUAACAAAAGUUGUUCGGAGUCCCGGAUGAGAUCUCGGACAUCACGAGGAGUUCUAGAAUGGUCUGGAGGUAAAGAUUUAUAUAUGGGAAGUCCUAUUUUGGCCACCGGAAAAUGUACGGGAUUUUUCGGUAUUGUACGAGGAAGGUUCUAGAAGGUUCCGGAGUAGGGCCCACCUACACGGGGUACCCACAUGAAUGUGGGUAGUGGGGGAAAAGCCCCACACCCCUGGUCAAGGUGCUCCAAGAUCCCCCCUUAGAAGGAAUAAGAUCAUAUCCAGAAGGGAUAAGAUCAAGAUCCCUAAAAAGAGGGGAUAACAAUCGGUGGGGAAGGGAAAGAAUGGGAUUUAUUUCCUCCCACCUUUGCCAACGCCCCAAUGGACUUGGAAGGAAAGAAACCAGCCCCCUCCACCCCUAUAUAUAGUGGGGAGGUGCAUGGGAUCCUUACCCCUUGUCCCUAGCACGGCCCUUCCCCCUCCUACACCUCCUCCUCCUCCAUAGUGCUUAGCGAAGCUCUGCCGGGGAACCACGACCUCCACCGCCACCACGCUGUCGUGCUGCCAGAGCUCUCCCUCAACUUAUCCUCCCACCCUUGCUGUAUCAAGAAGGAGGAGACGUCCCGGGGUUGUACGUGUGUUGAACGUGGAGGCGUCGUCCGUUCGGCGCUUGGAUCGGAUCUUCCGCGAUUUGAAUCGGUGCGAGUACGACUCCAUCAACCGCGUUCAUAGUACGGCUUCCGCUCUGCGAUCUUCAAUGGUAUGAAGAUGCUCUACCUCACUCGUUGUUGGUCUCUCCUAGAUGUUCUUGGUGUGAAGUAGGAUUUUUUUUGAAUUAUUACUACGUUCCCCAACACUUUGGACUCACUCGAUUUGAAUUGUUUGAGACAUGCAAACCAUGCCUAUUGUUGUAAAUGCAUAAAGAAACUCCGGGCUAAUGGGUCUUUUGGACACACUUGAUUUUGAAUCACUUGAGACAUGCAAACCAUGCCACAUGGGCAAGAUGAUCGAAGGCCUUGUUUUCCAGUGAGAAGAAACGAACAAGUGACUUACUGGAAAUAAUACAUUUUGAUGUAUGCAGUCCAAUGAGUGUUUAAGCACGCAGUGGAUAUCUUAUGUUCUUACCUCACACAUGAUUUGAGCAGAUGCAACCUACAGGUGUAUUUACUUGAUGAAUCACAAGUCUGAAAAAUUGAAAAGUUCAAGCAAUUUCAGAGUGAAGUGGAAGAUUGUCGUGACAAGAGGAUGAAAUUAUCACGCCCAAGAUGCGACCCUAUCCUCAAUUUGGCACGAAGGCCUCGUCAGGGAUAGAAACGCAUCUCGUCGUGUCGCAAGAAUGGAUAUCGUUACAAGUACAUGUACUGAAAAGGAGAGAUAUAUAAAUAGAGUUGGCUUACACUCUCCACAAGCUACAUCAGAGUCACAUCAGUACAUUACAUAUUCAUCAAGAGUAAGAGCAGGGUCCGACUACGGACGAAAAGAAACGAGAAAAAUAAGAACGACGUCCAUCCUUGCUAUCCCAGGCUGCCGGCCUGGAACCCAUCCUAGAUCGAUGAAGAAGAAGAAGAAGAAGCAACUCCAAAUGAACAAUCAACGCGCUCGCGUCAAGUAACCUUUACCUGUACCUGCAACUGGUGUUGUAGUAAUCUGUGAGCCACAGGGGACUCAUCAAUCUCAUUUCCAAAGGUAUCAAGACUAGCAAAGCCUAUUAGGUGAGGCAUGGUUAAGUGGUGAGGUUGCAGCAGCGGCUAAGCAUAUAUUUGGUGGCUAACUUACGAGUACAAGAAGAUAAGAGGGGGAAGAUCUACGCAUAACGGGCGUGACUACUGAUGAUCAAAUGAAUGAUCCUGAACACCUACCUACGUCAGACAUAAUCCCACCGUGUCCUCGAUCGGAGAAGGAACUCACGAAAGAGACAGUCACGGUUACGCACACAGUUGGCAAGUUUUAUUUAAGUUAACUUCAAGUUAUCUAGAACCAGUGUUAAGCAAAGUUUCCACGUUGCCACAUAACCGCGGGCACGGCUUUCCAAAAAGAUUUAACCCUGCAGGGGUGCUCCAACUAGUCCAUCACAAAUUACCACAAGCCGCAUAGAAAUCCUCGAUCACGACACUCGCGAUCUCGUCGGAUUCCUUAGUGGAAAACCUCAACUCUGAGAUUACCCAAAGCAUCACCGGAAUCCCGAUGCACAAGAUAUCUCGACAAAGGUAAAACUAAUCCAGCAAGGCCGGCCGAUGUGUCGACAAUCCCGAUAGGAGCCGCGUAUCUCGUUCUCAGGACACGACGGAUGAGCACAGCGUACAGUGGCCUGAUAGAAAUCUCCCGAGUUGCCCUGGGUUGGCCCCGCAAACGGCUCUAGUUUUGGACUAGCACCAACAGCACUGUCCCCCCUGUAUUAUGUAGAAUUACUCCUCGGGUAGCCCUAACUCCCUAUGCAUUUCAGAUUAACAGAAUUAUUAUGUUGGGCAAAUAGUACCAAUGUUGGACCUUGCCAGACCAGCUUUAAUCUAAAACGAAUUAUCAAGGGGGUCCCCAUAACAACCCCGAUCGUGUUAGGAGCGCUCAAUUAUGGAACAUAACACCGGUAGCCGAAACUAAGGGGGCAAAGGUGGAACACAACACCAGGCUAGGAAGGCCGAUCCUUCCACCUUUUACCAAGUAUAUAGGUGCAUUAAAUUAAAUAGCAUUAAUAUGGUGAUAUGACAAGGAACCCAUGUUUUCACAUGGAAGCAACUGCACCUGCAACUAGCAACGCUAACACAAGGAUAAGCAAGCGGUAACAUAGCCAAUCAGUGGUUUGCUAGGUUGAACAGGUUGAAGAUUUUCAUGGCAUUAUUGAGAGGCUCAUAUUUAACAUGUGGUAGGCAACGAGACAUAAUCGAUAGAAACGGUAAUACUAGCACGGCAAUGAUAGUAAUGGUAUCUGAGGAAAUGGUCAUCUUGCCUGAGAUCCUGCUUGGAAGAAGAAUGCCUCUGUGAAGCAGACGAACCGACGUAGUCGAACGGGUCCUCACAUCCGACACGCUUGCGGAACUUUAUCGAGACGAAGCAAACCGGAAACAAGCAUCAACACACGAUAUUCACCACACGAUGCACAACACAUAUGAUGCAUGAGCAGCUGAGUACAUGCAAGUCACGGCAUGGCAAUUCACCUCAACCAAAUACUACACAUUAAGUGAAGUUCAAUAUGCAACGAAUUGCAUAUUGACGAAAGUCCACAUUUAUUUAUUUAGUUCUAUCCCGAUUAGAUACACGUCAAUAUUAAAUGUGGUUAAAAAUGGCAAGUGGUGAAGCGUAAUUAAACUACCUAUCUAGGCAUUUUAAAUGAGGUCGGAAAUGUCAUAUAGCACCUCCGAGACGACCUCACAUGUUAAUUUACAAUUCUGUCCAGAUCUGAACUAACACAUUUAGUUGGUUGUUAAACAGAAAAACAAAUAGGUUCACAUGAUUCUACGUGUCAUGGCAAGCAAUUUACACAAAGAGAACAUCUCCAACGGAGUUACGGAUCAAAAGUUACAAGCACCGCAAGGUAUGAUGGCAUGAAUGCAAUAUGUGUACAACGGCGGUCACGAGCACUUCAAAACAUACAACCAUCAAGAGAAAAUGAAACUACACGAGAUUCUAAGCAAGUUUCAUGUAGGACACGAUCAAAUCGGAGCUACGGAUCAAAAACUACGAGCUAAACAAGAAAUCAAUACAAUCUGCCAAAAUCAGCCACAUAGCAUUUUCUACGCCCCACAACUACGAGCUACACAACUCCGAUAAACUCAAGCAAGGCAUGUCACGAAAGAGGGCAAGAAGCACUACUACAAACAACUAACAACAUCNNNNNNNNNNNNNNNNNNNNNNNNNNNNNNNNNNNNNNNNNNNNNNNNNNNNNNNNNNNNNNNNNNNNNNNNNNNNNNNNNNNNNAGAAGACACAAAAUGGCAUCUCACACACUAUUUCAGACUUAGUGAAAAUAGCAGUUUUUGAAGCUGCAGUUUUCGAUCUAAAGCCAUAUUGACAGCAGAAAAACCUAUAGCUACAGGACUCCAAAUGGCAUGAAAAUUUACAGCAUCCUAUAGAAACACAAGGGCUACAACUAACACCAUUGCACCAACCUCAAAAGAACUACAGAUCAAAAGAUAGAAGCUAAACAAAACAGCAACAAAAUAUAACAGAUUCCAGACUUAGAAAUAUUUCAGCUCCUCCAAAUCAGCACUAUUUCUAGCAACUUGAGGGCAAUCAAACCACACCUAAAUAUGCAUUUCUAUUGCAACCAAAAAUACCAGGGGCUAGACAAAACAUCCAAGAACAACUCUCUAGUUGACAACUCCGUCAAACGAAGCACAGAAUAAAACCUACGAAAUAAACAAAAGGGCAUCACGGCAAAAUAUCGCGCGAACUAACUUACUCAAAAGCUAAAACUAAUUGCACAGAAAAAUCCCAUGGAUUUUUCUACCCCGAAAGCAUAUAAAAUACGUGGGGUUGCACAACAACAUAAUGCCACACGAAAAUGCGAGAAAAGUAACCUAGACACGGAAAAAUAAACUAGCGCAAUUCCCUAGACGCAAAUAUACCAAUGACCGCUCUAAAAUACAUGGAAUAAUGGUCUCUAAAACAUAGGCAUUAUAUCUAAGGUACUCGAGCAAUCCGGACCGCAAGAAAAAAUAAAUACGGGAUGUAUCCUAUUAAAACAUCACAUUACUCUAGGCAUACGGUGCGCUAAACGACGCCAAACAAAUAUGCAAGUUGUGAAAUCGUAAUCUACGCGAAAUCCUACACGAGAUACAUAUCUAAAUAUUCGCGAUCCGACUUACAGUUUAGAAACUACGGAUAUUUUAAUAUAUCUAUAUUACUAAGAAUAACUAAUUCGAAUCUCUAAUAUAAAAAAACCUAUUGGGCCGAGUUCUACAACAGUGGCGUACAACACACGGGCGCGGGAUAGAGGCAGGGAAAAAAAUAAAAGAAGUGCUCACCUAUGGGCCGGAUCUGGCCUCGGCGCUGGAAGAGGCCCGGCUUGGCCGGCUGCGGGGCGGAUCUGGCCUACGGGCCAAGGUGGCGACCUGGGCUGUUGCGGGGCCCAGGGGAGGAGGCCCAGGCGGGGAGGCUCUCGUCCCUCUCCUCGUCCCCUCGUCCCCAGACCAGGAGCUGCCGGCGGCGCCGGUUGCUGGCGACGGGCACGGCGGGGCUGAGGCCCGGUGCUCCUAGGGCAGCCAGAUCUGAGCGGCGGGCGCCUGCUCUGGCCGGUUCCCGGCAGCUCUCCAAGGCGGCGCCGACCUGCGCGGGAGAGACGAGGCGGCAGUGGCUUGAAUCGGCGGCCAUGGGACCUCCUGGAGGUCACCGGCGGCGGGGACAGAAGGCGGCGCGGAGGACGGCGGCGCUCCGAUGGGUUUCCGUCGAGCGGCGGCCGGAGGCGAGGCCGACGGGGAGAUGCGGUGGCGCGGGCACGAGGAGCUCGGCCAGGGGGAGGCCAUGGACGGGAGCUGCGGGAUCCGGAGGCUACGGCGGCGGAUGGGCCUCGAGCGGGCCUCGAUCGGGCCUCGUGGGCCGGCGGCGCUCGUGGGGAGAGAGGCUGCGGCUAGGGUUUCGGGGCUGGCACGAAUUUCGAGGAUAGAGGGGAGGGGCUGUCUAAAAAUAUGAUGGAGGGGUAUUUAUAGAGAAAAGAGGGGCUAGGUUUAACCGGAAUCGCGUUCCGGAUCCAACCGCGGGGUCGGAUUCGGACGAUUCCGAACGCGGGAACGGUUACGUGGCCGUGUAGAGUGGAUAUCCGGAGACGAGAGGGAGAACGGGUGGCGCGGCAACGAAUUUUAAAACACCGACAGACGUCCGACGGUAGACCGAAUACGGUGCCGCUACGGUCGAUCGUUCGGGGACCGGACGAAAUCCAAUCGCGACGAAAUUCGACACGCGGUCUAGCGUAACUAAUUACGAUCGCAUGCCAAGUUUCACCCCGAUCAGAGAAAGUUUUACACGCACUUUUAAAAUAGGGUUUCGACGGUGUCGCGGGAGCGUGCGUGUGCGGUCGGGCUCAGAACGGACAACGACGAGAACCGGCAACUAACAACGGAUGCAAGUUUCGAAAACUGGCGGCCACGGGAUGCCGAUGCAAUGCAGAUGAUGCGCAUGAUGCGAUGAUGAUGCGACAAAAGAAAAUAGACACACGACGAAAACGGAAUAGAAGGGGAAUCUUCUGGAACGUCGGUCUCGGGCUGGCACAGAAAUGUCUAUGAUGUGAUCGUAGAGGCGAAUAUCUGAGUUGCAAGUUUGCUAUACAUUUAAGACAAUGUGGAAAUUGUUUCACAACUCAUGCCACGUGGAACACCGUAGUGUGAUGGUGUGUCCAAACGUCGUAGCCACGCCCUAUUGGAUGGGGCAUACUAUGAUGUCUCUUAUCGAAUUACCACUAUCAUUCUGGGAUUUUGCAUUAGAGACAACCACAUUCACUUUAAAUAGGGCACCAUAUAUUUCCGUUGAGAUGACACCAUAUUAACUAUGGUUUGGCGACAAACCUAAGCUAUAUUUUCUUAAAUUUUGGGGCUACAAUGCUUAUGUCCAAAGGCUUCAGCCCGAUAAGCUCGAACCCAAAGCGUAUAAAUGUGUCUUCAUAGGAUACCCAAAACAGUUGGGUAUACCUCCCAUCUCAGAUUCGAAAGCAAAGUGUUUGUAGCCAAAAACGGGUCCUUUCUCGAGAAAGAGUUUCUGUUGAAAGAAUUGAGUGGGAGGAUGGUGGAACUUGAUGAGGUUUUUGAACCGUCACUUCAACCAGAGAGUAGAAGUGCGCAUGAAGUUGUUCCUAUGGUGCUUACACUAGUGGAAGUGGAAGCUGAUGAUGAUCAUCAUGAAGCUUCGGUUAAAUUUACUACCAAACCUCGUAGGUCGACAAGGAUACGUACUACUUCAGAAUGGUACGGUAAUCCUGUCUUGGAGGUCAUGUUGUUGGACAACAAUGAACCUACGAGCUAUGGAGAAGCGAUGGUGGGCCCGGAUUCCGACCAAUGGCUGGAGGCCAUGAAAUCUGAGAUAGGAUCCAUGUAUGAAACCAAAGUGUGGACUUUCGAAGGACUACUUGAUGGUCGUAAGGCUAUUAAGUACAAAUGGAUCUUUAAAAGGAAGACAUACGAUGAUGGUAAGUGUCACCAUCCAGAAAGCUCGACUUGUCGCAAAGAUGUUUUUGAAAAGUUCAAGGAGUUGAAUAUGAUGGACUUACUCACUCAUAGCGAUGCUAAAGUGUGCUGGAAUUAUGUUAGAAGUUGCUGCAUUUUUCAAUUAUGAAAUAUGGCAGAUGGAUGCCAAAACAUUGUUUCCUUAACGGGUUCCUAAAGGAAAGGUUGUAUGUGAUACAACCAAAAGGUUUUGUCGAUCCUAAGGGUGGUAAAAGGCAUGCCAUCUCCAGCGAUCCAUUUAUGGACUGGAUCAAAGUUUAUGAGAAACUCGUAUUUACAAGAAAGUGAGUGGGAGCAAUAUAAAAUUUCUGAUAAGUAUACGUGGUUGACAUAUUGUUGAUCGGAAAUGAUGUAGAAUUUCUAGAAAGCAUAUAGGGUUGUUUGAAACGAGUUGUUUAAGGAAAACAUGGAUUAAGCUACUUGAACAUUGGGCAUCAAGAUCUAUAGAAAUAGAUCAAGACGCUUGAUAAAACUUUCAAUGAAUACAUACCUUGACAAGAUUUUGAAGGAGCUCAAAAUAGAUCGGUGAAAGAAGGAGCUUUUGGUUGUGUUGUAAGGCGUGAAUUUGAGUAAGACUCAAAGCUCGACCAUGGCAGAAGAAAGAGAAAGGACGAAGCCCGUCUCCUAUGCCUUAGUCGUAGGCUCUAUAGUAUGCAAUGAUGUGUACCACGUGUGAUGUGUUCCUUGCCAUGAGUCUAUCAAGGGGUACAAGAGUGAUCCAGGAGUGGAUCACUGUACAACGGUCAAAAUUAUCCUUAGUAACUUGGGGACUAAAGAAAUGUUUCUCGAUUAUGGAGGUGAUAAAAGAGUUCAUCGUAAAAGGUUACGUGGAUGCAAGCUUUAACACCAAUCCGCAUGACUCUGAGUAGUAAGCUGAAUUCGUAUAGUGGAGAAGUCAUUUGGAGUGGCUCCAAGUGGAGCGUGGUAACAGUAUCUACAGUAUGACAUAGAGAUUUGCAAAGUACACAUGGAUCUGAAUGUUUGAGACCCGUUGACUAAAAACCUCUCUUACAAGAAAAACAUGAUCAAACCCCAUAACUUAUUGGGUGUCAAUCACAUGGUGAUGUGAACUAGAUUAUUGACUCUAGUGCAAGUGGGAGACUGUUGGAAAUAUGCCCGAAAGGCAAUAUUAAAUUAGUUAUUAGUAUAUUUCGUUGUUCAUGAUAAUUGAAUAUUAUCCAUGUUAGAAUUGUAUUGAUUGGAAACUCAAAUACAUGUGUGGGUACAUAGACAACACUGUGUCCCUAGUGAGCCUCUAAUGGACUAGCUCAUUGAUCAGACAUGGUAAAGGUUUCCUGGCCAUAGACAUUAGUCGUCAUUUGAUAACGGGAUCACAUCAUUAGGAGAAUGAUGUGAUGGACAAGACCUAAACUAUGAACGUAGCAUAUGAUCGUGUCAGUUUAUUGCUAUUGUUUUCUACAUGUCAAGUAUGUGUUCCUAUGACCAUGAGAUCAUGCAAUUCACUGACGUCGGAGGAGUAUGUUGUGUGUAUCAAACGUCGCAACGUAACUGGGUGACUAUAAAAGUGCUCUACAGGUAUCUCCGAGGGUGUUUGUUGAAAUUACUAUUGUAUAUGUUUGAGAUGAUGUCAGGACUUAAAGUUAACUUUCAAGAGAGUGAAAAUUUCACUAUUGGUGGGGAUGAAAAUGUGAUUAGAGAUUAUGCAAACCUAUUAAACAAUGACAUAGGUAGCUUCCCCAUCAAGUACAUGGGUAUUCCUGUGAGCUACUCAAACCUUAGAAACUUGGACUCGGGGUUCAUCCUGGAUAAAUACCUCAAACAGUUUGAGGCUUGGCUUGGUAAUGCUGCCUCUAUGGGAGGUAUGCGCACCCCUGCUGGAUUCGGUUGUUACUUAGAUUUCCCUGUAUAAUAUAUCUAUGUGGCUUAUGAAUAAAACUUUAAUUGCAAAGUUUUAUAACCAUAGAAGAAGGUUUUUCUGGCAAGGAUGUAACAAGAAGAGAAGAUAUUACCUUGUUAAAUGGAGCAUAAUAUGUAGAUCCAAGGAUAAAGGGGGACUAGGUGUUAAAGACCUUCGAAAAUAGAAUAUUAGUUUAAUAAAGUGGUAGUGGAAGCUUGAAACUCAAGAGGGCUUAUGUCAAGAUAUCGUGUGUCCACGGUACCUUAAAACUAAAUCCGUGGCUUCUAUGGAGCGUGGAUUUUGAGACUCCCGUGUUUGAAAGCCCUUUUAAAUUUCAAGAGCCUUUAUAUGGUUGGUAGGAAGAUUGACAUUGGGUCUGGAAAUAUUACUAAAAUCUAGAAAGACCCUAUCAAUGGUUUGCCUCCGUUCCAGGAUCAAUACCCCCUCGUAUUUGAAAUUUGUUAUGCUCGGGAUUACACCAUGGAGAAGUUCAGUCCAACUCGCACUACCAGUUUGUUCAGAAUAAGAUUAAGCAAUGACUUGCAAAGCUAGUGUGUGGAUAUUUGUAGAACCAUCUCUGGCAUCCAACUGACUGAGACUGGUGAUGGAGUGUUUUGGGGGCUUAGUAAAAAUGGCAAAUUUCCCACCAAAUCUAUGUAUGGAUAGUUGAAGAGCCCUUUUAGUGGGUGUCACUAUAGAUGGAUGUGGAAAGCAAAAAAUCCUCUCAAAAUAAAAAAAAUUGGCAACUGUCACAAGAUGUAGUGCUCACCAGACAUGUCAUGAAAAAGAGGAAAUGACCUCGAGAACCAAGUCGCUCCUUUUUAGCAAUGAGGAAACUUCUAAGCAUUUGUUAUUUACCUGUCUAGUGGCCAGCGUUGUUUGGCUAUUUGUUGCGGUGGUUUUGGGUACUGAUCGAUGUCCAAAUAACUACUCUCAGUAUUUUGCGUGGUGUCACACUUUUCUCCCUCGUAGAGAGAAGUAUUAUACAGUUGUGUUUGAAAUAUGCCCUAGAGGCAAUAAUAAAUUGGUUAUUAUUAUAUUUCCUUGUUCAGUAUAAUCGUUUAUUAUCCAUGCUAGAAUUGUAUUGAUUGGAAACUCGAAUACAUGUGUGGAUACAUAGACAAAAUACCGUCCCUAGUAAGCCUCUAGUUGACUAGCUCGUUGAUCAAAGAUGGUUAAGGUUUCCUAGCAAUAGACAAGUGUUGUCACUUGAUAACGGGAUCACAUCAUUAGAAGAAUGAUGUGAUGGACAAGACCCAAACUAUAAGCAUAGCAUACGAUCAUGUCAGUUUAUUGAUACUAUUUUCUACAUGUCAAUGUAUCUGUUCCUAUGACCAUGAGAUCAUGCAACUCCCGGGCACCGGAGGAAUACCUUGUGUGUAUCAAACGUUGCAACGUUACUAGGUGACUAUAAAGGUGCUCUACAGGUAUCUCCAAAGGUGUUUAUUGGGUUGGCAUGGAUCAAGACUGGGAUUUGUCACUCCGUGUGACGUAGAGGUAUCUCGGGGCCCACUCGGUAAUACAACAUCACAACAAGCCUUGCAAGCAAUGUGACUAAGGAGUUAUCCACGAGAUCUUGUAUUACGGAACGAGUAAAGAGACUUGCCGGUAACGAGAUUGAAAUAGGUAUGGAGAUACCGACGAUCGAAUCUCGGGCAAGUAACUUACCAAAGGACAAAGGGAAUGGUAUACGGGAUUAUAUGAAUCCUUGACAUAGAGGUUCAACCGAUAAGAUCUUCAUAUAAUAUGUAGGAUCCAAUAUGGACAUCCAGGUCCCGCUAUUGGAUAUUGACCGGAGAGUGUCUCAGGUUAUGUCUCCAUAGUUCUCGAGGAUGUUAUUCAUUGUAUCCAUAGUUCUCCACAGUAGGAAAAACUCGUAGGCAUUGUAUCGGUGAUGGAUGAUUAUGCCGGAUGUUAUUCAUCAUGCAACAGUUAUAACACGGAGAGAUGUGUAACUAGCUCCAGUACGUCAAUCUAAUGUAGGCAUGUAUUCCGUAUGUAGUCAUACGUGCUUAGGGAAAAGAACUUGCAUGACAUCUAUUGUCCAUCCGUCCCGUGGCAGCGGGGUCCAAAAGGAUACUACAUGAUAUUAAGGUUCUCCUUUUAAUAAAGGUCCUAAUGGAAACUACGGGAUAUUAAGGUUCUCCUUUUAAUAAAGAACCGGACCAACGCAUUAACACUUAGUGAAUACAUGAACUCCUCAUACUAUGGUCAUCUCCGGGAGUGGUUCUGGCUAUUGUCACUCCGGGGUUGCCGGGUCAUAACACAUAGUAGCUGACUACAACUUGCAAGAUAGGAUCAAGAACUCACAUAUAUUGGCGACAACAUAAUAGGUUCAGAUCUGAAAUCAUGGCACUUGGGCCCUAAUGACAAGCAUUAAGCAUGGCAAAGUAGUAGCAACAUCAAUCUCAGAACAUAGUGGAUACUAGGGAUCAAUCCCCGUCAAAACUAACUCGAUUACAUGAUAGAUCUCAUCCUACUCGUCACCGCCCAGCGAGCCUACGAAUAGAUUACUCACGAACGAUGAAGAGCUUCAUGGAAUUGGAGAGGGAAGAAGGUUGAUGAUGACGAUGGCGAUGAUUUCCCCUCUCCGGAGCCCAAAAUGGACUCCAGAUCUGUCCUCCAGAUGAAGAACAGGAUGUGGCGACACUUCCGUAUCGCAAACUCGACAAAAUCUUCUCUUCUUUUUUUUGGGUGAAAGUGAAUUUAUAGAGCUGAGAUUGGGGGCGGCAGAGCCACGUGGGCCCCACAAGCUUGGUUGCCGUGGCUAGGGGGUGGCCGCGGCAACAGGGCUUGUGGCCCACUGGCCCACCCCCUCUGGUGGAUCUUUGCGCAGGUAUUUUUCAUAUUUUCUAGAAAAAUUCUCCGUAAAUUUUCAGGACGUUCCGAGAACUUUCAUUUCUGCACAAAAACAACACCAUGGCAAUUCUGCGGACAACAGCGUCAGUCCGGGUUNNNNNNNNNNNNNNNNNNNNNNNNNNNNNNNNNNNNNNNNNNNNNNNNNNNNNNNNNNNNNNNNNNNNNNNNNNNNNNNNNNNNNNNNNNNNNNNNNNNNNNNNNNNNNNNNNNNNNNNNNNNNNNNNNNNNNNNNNNNNNNNNNNNNNNNNNNNNNNNNNNNNNNNNNNNNNNNNNNNNNNNNNNNNNNNNNNNNNNNNNNNNNNNNNNNNNNNNNNNNNNNNNNNNNNNNNNNNNNNNNNNNNNNNNNNNNNNNNNNNNNNNNNNNNNNNNNNNNNNNNNNNNNNNNNNNNNNNNNNNNNNNNNNNNNNNNNNNNNNNNNNNNNNNNNNNNNNNNNNNNNNNNNNNNNNNNNNNNNNNNNNNNNNNNNNNNNNNNNNNNNNNNNNNNNNNNNNNNNNNNNNNNNNNNNNNNNNNNNNNNNNNNNNNNNNNNNNNNNNNNNNNNNNNNNNNNNNNNNNNNNNNNNNNNNNNNNNNNNNNNNNNNNNNNNNNNNNNNNNNNNNNNNNNNNNNNNNNNNNNNNNNNNNNNNNNNNNNNNNNNNNNNNNNNNNNNNNNNNNNNNNNNNNNNNNNNNNNNNNNNNNNNNNNNNNNNNNNNNNNNNNNNNNNNNNNNNNNNNNNNNNNNNNNNNNNNNNNNNNNNNNNNNNNNNNNNNNNNNNNNNNNNNNNNNNNNNNNNNNNNNNNNNNNNNNNNNNNNNNNNNNNNNNNNNNNNNNNNNNNNNNNNNNNNNNNNNNNNNNNNNNNNNNNNNNNNNNNNNNNNNNNNNNNNNNNNNNNNNNNNNNNNNNNNNNNNNNNNNNNNNNNNNNNNNNNNNNNNNNNNNNNNNNNNNNNNNNNNNNNNNNNNNNNNNNNNNNNNNNNNNNNNNNNNNNNNNNNNNNNNNNNNNNNNNNNNNNNNNNNNNNNNNNNNNNNNNNNNNNCAUCAACCGCGUUAUAUACGCUUCCGCUUAGUGAUCUACAAGGGUAUGUAGAUGCACUCUCCCCUCUCGUAGAUGAUCAUCACCAUGGAUAGGUAUUGCAUGUCCGUAGGAAAUUUUUUGUUUCCCAUGCGACGUUCCCCAACAAGUUGGCCUAGCGGUUGCUUGUUGGGCAAUUUGGCUUGCUCGUAACCGUGCCACUUUUGAGAAAAAACAUACCAAAACCCCUUUUAAAUUUGUUUUUUCUAUGUGUUCCUUCUUACAUUACUGGACAUGGCUUCAACUUGGAGAUGUUGUUGGAGAAGUGCGCGCUGGUGCUGAGAUGACCAGAUCAAGCUCGAUGCAUCUGAUGAACUGUGUAACAAUACGAGGCGGACCAUCGUGGGAGAAUGAUUGUGCCUCAUCUAUGAUGAUGCUAGGGAUGUUCUUUUGGCUUAGUGCCUUGUAAAACUUUUGCUUUAUUUAGCCUAUAAUAAUUAGGCUAGUCUUGCAUAUUGUUAUUGUGUUGUAAGGUUUUCGCCCCAUGACGUUCGUCAUGAUUUUAGGCGAGCGUAGUGGGUUUUCCAGCAGUGUUCGAACUCGCUUCCCCUCUUCCCCGUGAAUGUUAUCCGAAAACUCUGUAUUCGUUCAUUUGUAAUGGAAAGUGGCAUAUCCCAGUUAGAAAAACGAGGCUCAAUCAAUACAUCAUCAGUUCCACCAAACUCUUUAUAUCCUUUCUAUAUUGAGCUAUGUUAUUCGAUUAGAGAAGUGCGGUAUCUUUUUUCUUCCGUUGAACGUGCUCUUUUGCUAGUAGAUAUUUUUUUACAGUUUUGCUAAGUCUCAGUCGACUGAGACUUCGUUAUGUCUCGGUCCAUGCUAUAUGCCUUUGAUUUUGCAUGGUGAUGCGCAUAUUUUUUUCUUGAUUUUUUAUUUUUAUUUUUAUAUACUAUAUCACUUGACUGGCUUGAUUAAAUCUCAGUCGACUGAGACGUAGCGACAUCCAAAAAUUUAUUUAAAAAGAAAAAAAAGAAUGAUGUAGAAGACCAUGAGGACAUGACAUACACAAAGGCAUUGGUCGCACUAGCCGUCUAGCCGUCGCCGUCGCUGGCCGCCUAGCUCGCUCCUCCUCCUGCGGCCACUGGAUCAAGCACAAGUGACAUAUCAAGAUUUCUAGCAGGAGGUGGUGUCGCAAACUUACUCAUAACUGAAGGUGAAUCAAGUGCAGAGAUAGAUGGCAGUUCCUUACCUGUCCUCGUAGUUGAGGGCAAGACUUUGGUUCUUGGAUCUUUCGGAUUCCUCAUAGUGACCAGCAGACGUAAAUCCCAAGUGACUCAGAGAAUAUAGUUGUGCUUCCCCGGCAACGACGCUAGAAAAUAGUCUUGAUAACCCACAAGUAUAGGGAAUCGCAACAGAUUUCGAGGGUAGAGUAUUCAAUCCAAAAUUUAUUGAUUCGACACAAGGGGAAGCCAAAGAAUAUUCUCAAGUAUUAGCAGUUGAGUUGUCAAUUCAACCACGCCUGAAAUAUUUAGUAUCUGCAGCAAAGUAUCAGUAGCAAGGUAGUGUGACAGCAACAGUAGUAGCAGUAACGAGUAGCAGCAAAGUAACAGCAGUAGCAGCAGAGUAAUAGUAGCAGCAGUAGCGACAAAGUAACGUUGCAAGGACCAGUAGGAAAAACUCGUAGGCAUUGUAUCGGUGAUGGAUGAUUAUGCCGGAUGUUAUUCAUCAUGCAACAGUUAUAACACGGAGAGAUGUGUAACUAGCUCCAGUACGUCAAUCUAAUGUAGGCAUGUAUUCCGUAUGUAGUCAUACGUGCUUAGGGAAAGAACUUGCAUGACAUCUAUUGUCCAUUCCUCCCAUGGCAGCGGGGUCCUAAUGGAAACUACGGGAUAUUAAGGUUCUCCUUUUAAUAAAGAACCGGACCAACGCAUUAACACUUAGUGAAUACAUGAACUCCUCAUACUAUGGUCAUCUCCGGGAGUGGUUCUGGCUAUUGUCACUCCGGGGUUGCCGGGUCAUAACACAUAGUAGCUGACUACAACUUGCAAGAUAGGAUCAAGAACUCACAUAUAUUGGCGACAACAUAAUAGGUUCAGAUCUGAAAUCAUGGCACUUGGGCCCUAAUGACAAGCAUUAAGCAUGGCAAAGUAGUAGCAACAUCAAUCUCAGAACAUAGUGGAUACUAGGGAUCAAUCCCCGUCAAAACUAACUCGAUUACAUGAUAGAUCUCAUCCAACCCAUCACCGUCCAGCAAGCCUACGAUGAGAUUACUCACGAACGGUGAAGAGCAUCAUGGAAUUGGCGAUGAAGGAAGGUUGGUGAUGACGAUGGCGACGAUCUCCCCUCUCCGGAGCCCAGAAGGGACUCCAGAUCUGCCCUCCAGAAGAAGAACAGGAGGUGGCGGCGCCUCCAUAUCGUAAAACGCGAUGAACUCUUCUCCCUGUUUUUUUCGAACGAAAGAGGCUAAAUAGAGCUAAGACUGGAGGUGGUGGAGCAACGUGGCCCCCACAAGCCUGCCAGGCGCGGCCAGGGGGGCCCGCGCCUGGUGGGCUUGUGGGCUCCACGCUCCACUUCCUCCGUUGAUUGCGCCGGUAUUUUUUAUAUAUUCCACAAAAAUUCUCUGUAAAUUUCCAGGUCAAUCCGAGAACUUUUAUUUCUGCGCAAAAACAACACCAUGGAAAUUCUGCUGAAAACAACGUUAGUCCGAGUUAGUUCCAUUCAAAUCAUGCAAAUUAGAGUCCAAAACAAGGGCAAAAGAAUUUGGAAAAGUAGAUACGACGGAGAAGUACAACUUGUCGGUAACGAGAUUGAAAUAGGUAUGGAGAUACAACGAUCAAAACUCGGGCAAGUAACAUACCGAAGGACAAAGGGAAUGGUAUACGAGAUUAUAUGAAUCCUUGACAUAGAGGUUCAACCGAUAAGAUCUUCAUAUAAUAUGUAGGAUCCAAUAUGGACAUCCAGGUCCCGCUAUUGGAUAUUGACCGGAGGGUGUCUCAGGUCAUGUCUGCAUAGUUCUCGAACCCGCAGGGUCCGCACACUUAAGGUUCAGUGACGUUUUCGGUAUAGUUGAGUUAUAGGUGUUGGUAACCGAAUGUUGUUCGGAGUCCCGGAUGAGAUCCUGGACGUCACGGAGCUCCGGAAUGGUCCGGAGGUAAAGAUUGAUAUAUAGGAAAGUGGUUUUGGAACUCCGAAAAAGUUUUGAACAUUUUCGGUAGUGUAGACGGUGUAACGAAUGAGUUCCGGGGGUCCACCAGGUGGGCCCACCCCCCAAAGGUCUCAUGGGCUGUGGGAGGACGUGGACCAUCCCUUAGUGGGCUGGGCGAAGCCUCCACUAAAGCCCAAGGCGGAUUGGAGGUGGGAAGGAAAGAAACCCAAAGGUGGAAAAGGUGGAAAGGGUUUCCAAGUGGAGAGGAGGAAUCCUACUCCUAGUAUGAUUGGAGUAGGACUCUUCCACCUCCAAUUUCGGCCAAACCUUGAGGGUUUGAGGCUACCCCCUCCCCUCCCUCCCUCCUAUAUAUACUAGAGGUUUUAGAGGUGAGGGCUAACCCUAAUUGCCACGUGCUCCCUCUACUUCUCUCUAGAUCUGUUCUUCCUCUAGAUCGGUUUUUCAGCAACGCUUAGGCGAAGCCCUGCUGGAAUAGAUCCACAACCAUGCCAUCGUGCUGGAGAACUAAUCUACCUCUCCGCCCCUCUUGCUGGAUCAAGAAGGCGGGGAUUGUCAUCGAGCUGUACGUGUGCUAAACGCGGAGGUGUCGUUCGUUCGGCACUAGAUCGGGAUGGAUCGUGAUGGGAUCGCGGGACGGGCUGCGAUUUGGAUCGCGAAGAUGUUCCACUACAUCAACCGCGUUAUAUACGCUUCCGCUUAGUGAUCUACAAGGGUAUGUAGAUGCACUCUCGCCUCUCGUAGAUGAUUAUUACCAUGGAUAGGUAUUGCAUGUUCGUAGAAAUUUUUUUGUUUCCCAUGCGACGUUCCCCAACAAGUUGGCCUAGCGGUUGCUUGUUGGGCAAUUUGGCUUGCUCGUAACCGUGCCACUUUUGAGAAAAACAUAUCAAAACCCCUUUUAAAUUUGUUUUUUCUAUGUGUUCCUUCUUACAUUACUGGACAUGGCUUCAACUUGGAGAUGUUGUUGGAGAAGUGCGCGCUGGUGCUGAGAUGACCAGAUCAAGCUCGAUGCAUCUGAUGAACUGUGUAACAAUACGAGGCGGACCAUCGUGGGAGAAUGAUUGUGCCUCAUCUAUGAUGAUGCUAGGGAUGUUCUUUUGGCUUAGUGCCUUGUAAAACUUUUGCUUUAUUUAGCCUAUAAUAAUUAGGCUAGUCUUGCAUAUUGUUAUUGUGUUGUAAGGUUUUCGCCCCAUGACGUUCGUCAUGAUUUUAGGCGAGCGUAGUGGGUUUUCCAGCAGUGUUCGAACUCGCUUCCCCUCUUCCCCGUGAAUGUUAUCCGAAAACUCUGUAUUCGUUCAUUUGUAAUGGAAAGUGGCAUAUCCCAGUUAGAAAAACGAGGCUCAAUCAAUACAUCAUCAGUUCCACCAAUCCCUUUAUAUCCUUUCUACAUUGAAAUAUGUUAUUCGAUUAGAGAAGUGCCGUAUCUUUUUUCUCCCGUUGCACGUGCUCUUCUGCCAGUUGAUAUUUUUUUACAGUUUUGCUAAGUCUCAGUCGACUGAAGACUUCGUUAUGUCUCGGUCCGUGCUAUAUGCCUUUGAUUUUGCAUGGUGAUCCGCACAUUUUUUUCUUGAUUUUUCCUUUUUAUUCUUAUAUACUAUAUCACUUGACUGACUUGAUUAAAUCUCAGUUGAGUGAGACCUAGCGAGAUUCAAAAAUUUAUUUAAAAGGUAAAAAAUAAUGAUGUAGAAGACAAUGAGGACAUGACAUACACAAAGGCAUUGGUCGCACUAGCCGUCUAGCCGUCGCCGUCGCCGGCCGCCUAGCUCGCUCCUCCUCCUGCGGCCACUGGAUCGUCCCGAUCCGAUCCGACGGCGUUGGAAAGGUAGCAAAUUGAUCUUGGUAGAUUGCGUAAUCAAGUACAGAAGACAGGCAUCAUAGAAGCUGCCGCCAGAACGACCAUAACGAUAAGGAAAACUCCAUUCCCGUCCCCUGCGUUUUCUUUACUCCCCUCUCCCCUGCUUCCUCCCCACUUCCACUCCUCCUCCUCCUCCUCCUCGGUUGGAUCUCCGAGAUCGAAUCCGAGGAAUUCCCGAUCCUCAUAGCCCCGCCAUGCGCUCCCGACAACCCCAGCCUCGCGCCCCCCUCCCAGCUCCCUGAUCCCAUCCGGCUUGUCCCCCAGGGCCGCUGCCGCCGUUGACGCCAAUUGGCGCCGGACGGCAUGGACUCCGGCGCCAACAGCGUCGGUUCCGUCGGCGAGUCUCCGCCGCCGGUAUCCCCUCCUGGUCGCCCGGUCGCCAAGGGCCGCGGCCUCCGCCGGUGGCGCCGUAUCCCCCGCGAGCACCACGACGACGAGGGCGGCUCCCCCGCGGGCCCCGUCGCCGCCGCAGCCCCCGCCGACGCUGGCGCUGAGGUGGACCUGGCGCAGCUCCAUAAGCGCCGUCUCCCCGUCGGCGCCGACGCGCCCAAGGGGAAGCAGGAGGUGGCGGCCGAGGAGGAUAGCCCGGUCGCGUCCGUCGAGUCCAGCUUCGUGCCGCCGGAGGCGCCUCCGUCGCCGUCCCCGGCUACGACUCCGGCUCCGGCUCCGACUAGUCUGGACCCGGAUCUUGGCCUCCUGAUCGCGUCCGCCGGCUUCUCGGUGGGCGCCGGCGGCGCCGACUCGGACAACAGCGACGACCGGACCAGCAAGUCCUCCACCGCGCUCCCGCGUCACGACUUCUCGCUUGCAGGCUUCGGCCGCGAGCGCGACAGGGGGCGGUCCCGAGCCCCUGGCGCCGCUGCUCACGCCAAGAACCUACGCACCGCACGCGCCCGUGGCGCCGGUGCGCGCGCCGUCUCUGUGGCCUCCUCCACGGUGGAACCGGAGAACUCGCGCUCCAGUGUCGAGUCUGACCUCCGCAGCACUGGCGCUGCUCACGCGCGUAAAUCAAGCGCUGGCAUCAGCAGUAAUGGCGUUCACAAGUUUCUCUACACCGAUGGCGACCACAGCGAGGAUGAAGCUCCAAGUGAGCACUUGGGGUCUGCAGCAGGAUCUUUCUAUAAGGAGAAUGGGAGUGCAGUAGGGAGAAUGGCAAUGGGGAAUGGUGAUUUGUAUGCCCAUGGUCAUGGAUUUCAUGAAGGGAGCAUCAGCAAGGGUGAGAAUGGAGGGAUCCAUUCAGGUCUUGAUCCGUACACCGAUUCAAUGUCGUUGCUUCAGUCAGCACAAGAAGCACUGGAGAAUGGUAUGAUCAUAUUCCUCUUUAGUUUAUUCUCGCAAAAUAUCCCUUUCACUUUAGCUUGAUGCCCAAACGAGUUUGUUCCAUUAGGUUGAGCAAGUUUUUGUUACUACUAUUUGACAUGCAAAUCUGCAUUUCACAUAGUCUACUUACUAUCUUAGACCUUAGAGGGUGUAGUUCAGAAUUUCAACUACUGCUGAGUAUUUUUUUUUCAGCUACCAUUUUGAGAUUAAACUGUUUGGUUUCCGAAAACAGGCUACUUUAUUAGCUGGAAACAUCUGAACACUUGAUGCAUUAUAGUGAUCAACAAUAAAUGGGAGAGCACAUGCAUCCAUUAUGUCUGUACAUGAUCCUAGAUACUAAUUUUUGUCAACUUUAAUCCACUUUGACCUCAUGCUGCGUUCAUACCAAGUGUUGUGGAUUCAGUAACAUGUCAAUUCUGAAGAAAACGUAUCAUCUUCAAUAACCAUUAUUAGAGCAGAAGUGCUCAUUCUCCUAACCUGUUGCUGCUGCUUCGCUCUCAUGUUGGAUCUGCAAGGUGUGGUUACAUCAGUCUCUUUCUCUUCUUGGUACUCCACCACCCCACCCAUAUGCUUGGCCCCUCUGAUGCAGUGACUUCUUGUCCAAUGUGCACACGCAUGCCAGUUAGAUGUGAGGUUUCUAGUUGUGCACAAGUCAUCUUUUGGCCAUUCCGAAAAAAGAAACCAGCUUUGCAUUUCCUGCCUAUUGAUUGCACAGAAAACCACAGUUGAAUUUAAUUUGUUAAGCCUUGUCAAGUGGGGAAUCUAAAUGCUGAUUUAUUUUCGUUUCUCUCAUGGAAGCGUGGCGAUAGUGAGUCAUAUCAUUAACAGAUUUGAGAUGGAAGAGAGGUUGAUGAUUUAGUAACCCAUUUUCAUCAACAUGUCCAGCUUGUAGUAAGAAUUGACAUGGAAGAGAAGAAGAGAAGUUGAUCUCUGAUAGGCCUGGUGAAGAAGAAAUUACUUGUAGUAACGGAGAUGAUGAACUUCCAGCUAAAUUUGGAGCAGACAUUAUUGCGAGCUAGAAGUUAGGACAAAUCGAUGCUACUUAGCGAUGUGAACGUGUCAGUUGUGGCGUGAAUACACAGGAAUGGUUUCGGAAGAGGGAAUGGAGGCUAUGGUUGUUAUAAUAAUAUAAUGGCCACAGGGGAGGGCACGUCUCCACUUUUCAAUGAGCUUGCUCCCAUGGAAAAAGCAAACCUGGUGUAGAACUUGGCUCACAUUAUGUUAGGACAUCCUGCCAAAAGAGUGCGUUCACGAUGAUAACAAUGCUUGUUUAAAAUGGAAUACAAUAUGCAUGUUCUUUUUUGCUGUUUAACACAUCAAACUAUCAACAGUUAAGUGGUGACUUGGUGAGUUGAUCAAUGCGUUAGCUCAAUGCUCUGGCAAUUAAUUACCGCCGUUGUGGACUUUCCCAUUUCGUGAGAAAAGAUCCCUUGUAUUUUACAUCAUUAUGUUCUCUGUGGCAUUUUUUUAAUGUAUAUUUCAUAUCAGAUCAAGUGGUCUGCUUCAUCUCCUAGUUUUAAGAAAGAAAAUUUGUACACUGCAGUCCGCAAGCUUAUUUCCUAGUAGUUUCAGUAGCAGCCAUUAUAGCAUAAAAAAAAUGUGUAAACGCAUCUGCUUACCCUGCAUGUUCUCGGAAGUUUCCUUAGUCCAUUUUCUGUUGAAAAUUCGUGAGUGCUCUGUUGCCGUAUCAUUGCAGUUGGACGAAAAUGUUAUGUUGAAAACAUGAAAUCUUUAUUUGCUUCAAUCAAAGUGUUGUUUUGCAAUAACUGUUUGCUUCUGCAUAUUUCUGCAGAGCUCCAAAUGUUUGUGGAAAUUGGGAAAGAAAGCAGUGACAAUUCCACGGACAUUUACAAUGAAAAUGAAUGGAUCAGUUCACCCAAUUGCGAAUAUUUUUCAGAAGAAAUAAGUGAAAAGUUGAAGCUUCUAGAGUCCAAACUGGAAGAAGCUUCCCUUCUUAUCGAUGAGAAGGAUUCAAGAAUACUUGAACUUGAUACACUCAACCAGACACAACCAAGAGAAGCAGCUCUAUACAAUAGCAAGCUGCUGUCCCUACAGUCUGAAGUUGAUCAACUGCUCAUGGAGAAGAUGGAGGCCGAGAUCCAGUGCUUCAUCCUGAAAAGAGCUUCAGAAGCUUGGCAACCCCAGACCGAGGGUCAGGGCACUCUUCAUGAAGCACAGAAGUCUCUGUCGGAGGACCAUAAACAGCUGGAGGUCAAGCUUCGGCACACCGAGAAUAGAGCAAGGACGCUAGAGGAGAUGGUUGAGAAGCUAGAGUCACAGUGCAAAGAGCUGUCGAACGCUUCAGAGGUCCUGAAGCUGCAGGCCGGAGCAAGUCGAGCUUCGCUUUUUUGUUCCGUUCAGUUAGUGCUGCUGUGCGUCGCCGUGUGGACAUUCGUGGCGCGGUUCUUGCCCACUCCUCCCGAAUUUGUACCUACUUGAUGAGGUUAGAAAGUUUCUCUGCGGAUGAGCCUCUGUGUAGACAUUAUUGAAAAGUUACUUCAUGUAAUCUAUUAGGCAUUUGGUGGCCUUAUAAAUUUUCUGUUUGUAACAUCAACUCAGAUUUUGUUAGUUACCAUCACUUUACUGUACUUAUUCACAAAUCUUCUUGCUGUUUCUCUCUUCUCUGUAUCCUGGAAAUGUUAAUGAAAAUUACAAUAUCCCAGUGUAAGAGUGUCCAUGCUGCCAUCAUCUUCUAUGCUCCUGUUUGGGUGUUCUGUGAAAGUCAUGAAGAUUGUUCCAAAUAUCGGCCAAGUAUUUGGCAUCUCAGUCAAUUGCCUCAGCACCCAACCAAUAUGGUAUCAGUUACAGAUAUCCUGAACAUUGCAUGAAGUAGUAAGUAGUACUUCCUUCGUUCAUAAAUAUAAGUCUUUCUAAAGAUUUUACUACACUCUAAAAUAUAUUUAUAUACAUCCAUAUGUAUUUCGUAGUGAAAUCUCUAGAAAAAUAUACAUUUAGGGAUGGAGGAAGUACAUUUUUUUCUAGGGCACACAUACCGAACAUAAAUAUUUCAUGACAAAAUAUAAUACAUUUUCCCCUCCACACUUUGGUACGUAAUCAAAUUGACAAUAAAAAGGAUGGUAAACUAGCGGGAUUGCGAACAGAAUAUGUGUGCCCUUGUUGUGACCCAUGUCAAUUGCCUGUAAAAGGAGGGGAUUUUUUUUAAGAGUAUAACUAUAGAUGUUGAGAUUGGUUUAUCUAACGUGCAUGGAUCCACUGUCCGUGGUUGCUUUUAAGAUUUAUGUAACUUUUUUGGUGUUGUCACAAUUUAUCUCAUUCCAAUAUAUUUUCUUUGAUUUUUUUUUCUUGUUCCGCUGUCUGUGCACUUUGCAACAAGAUAAAUUUUGUAAACAGGUUGAGUCAAAAAAGCAACACGGAUCUCAAAGCAAUCAUGGACGGUCGAUCUAUGCACAGAAUAUCCCGUGUACAGUAAAAUUGCUUUUUCUACUAUUGGUGUAAGAGAUUAGGGAUGUAAACGGCGCGAUAAACACCACCGAGUAGGGAUGUAAACGGCGUGAUAAACGGCACCGCAAAACUUUUCUACUAUGGGUGUAAGAGAUUAGGGAUGUAAAUGGAACGCCGUUUACGUACCUAAAAGAGAGAGAUAAAAUCAUUCAUGUGGCACUGAAUAAACACGCGGUUGCACUACUUGUCCAGAUCAAUCUUUCACCAUCUCACAUACAUACAUACUCAUGAUGGUACGUCAUCAGCGUAUACAGAACUAAUGAAAACACGGCGGAUUACAACAGCAAAGCCGCUCCGGCCGGCACGCAGGCAGGCAGGGGAGACGGACGGAUCAGCCGAAGAAGGGAGGGUCGUAUCCGUUGCUGGUGGUGGCGAGGAUGUAGUAGGCGACGAUGUGGCCGAUGGAGCCCCAUGCGAGGACGUCGACGAGGUUGAAGCCGACGGGGUCGUUGGACUUGAGGAUCCCGGCGAACUCCUUGGCGCGCUCGUCGCCGGCCUCGAAGUGGGUCUUGCCGUUCUGCUCGGGGACCUGCUUCGCCACGUUCUCCCGCUGGAAGUUGAAGAAGACGAAGCGGCCCAUCACGAGCGACAGCCCCGUGCUGAGGCUGAUCACCACCGACGGCUCCAGCGCGGCCCGCGCCGCCACGGACCGCCGCGCCGGCGGUGAGACCCCCCGGAACGAGGCCGCCGCGCGCGGGGACGGCGCUAGGCGGAGCCCGGCCACGGCGGGCGGGGACAGCACGGCGGCGGUGGAGGUGGCCAUGGUCCUCACUCCUCCUUCGGAGCUGGAGCUGUGUGGGUGGGUGGGUGCUCAGGGACCAACGCGCCGCGAGUCCUUGAUCUCGGUAGGGCGGGCGAUACGUACGUGGUGGUUGGCGGUGUGGGUAUAUAGGGGGGUGGUGACGUGGGGGAUAUGGUGGGGGCGCGGGAAUGCGAGGUUAGUGGUGCAGGGGAGCGGGAUUUCGUGGUGUGCUCAUGGCGUGUGGCCAUUGGAGGGUGCUGGAUAAGGUAUCUGAGCCAUGCUUUUUUCCUUUCUUCUCUUCUCUUCUCACGGUAAGUCAGCAAUGCAUCGUGUCACUUGUGUGCCCCUCGAAAGUUACAUGUGUAGAGGAACCAGAUGCAAUUCUCGAUGUAUUAAUCGGGUGCAAGCACACGUAUAUAUGAUGUAUAAAGUGGGUCAUAAUCUUAACUAUACAAGAAACUAGAAGGGGGUCAGGUAUACAAGAGACAUGUGAAACAUACUCCCCCCCCCCCCGGCAGUCGAAGCGUCACCGGUGCUGACGCAAAGACUAGACCGAAAAUCUUCAAACGACGCCGUAGGCAAACCCUUGAUCAUGAUAUCUGCAAAUUGUUGGAAAGUAGGGACCUCUGAAACACGGACAUGGCCAAGGGCCACCUGUUCCUGAAUAAAAUGAAUAUCCAGCUCAAUAUGCUUGGUCCGACGAUGAUGAACGGGGUUAACAGAGAGGUAGACGACAGACACGUUGUCGUAGUAGACCACCGUGGCCUUAUCAACAGGACACGAGAGCCCGAGAAGUAACGGGCGAAGCCACGAACACUUCGGCGACGACGUUGGCCAUGGCGCGAUACUCAACCUCCACACUGGAACGGGAGACUGUAGGCUGUCGCUUGGACGACCAAGAGAUGAGCGAUGGUACAAGGAAGACAUAAUACCCCGAGGUGGAGCGGCGAGUGUGUGGGCAGCCGGCCCAGUCGACAUCUGAGUAGGCAGUGAUGUCGGUGACGGUGGAGGCGUGCAACGUGAUGCCAAGAUCCAUAGACCCCUAAAUGUACCGAAGAAUCCGCUUCACUGCAGUCCAGUGAGCAUCCCGGGGACAUGCAUAUGAAGGCACACCUGCUGGGCUGCAUACUGCAGCUCCGGUCGAAUGAGGGUAAGGUACCGAAGAGCACCAACAAUAGUCCGGUAGAAAGGUGCAUCGGGAGCAAGUGACCGUCAGCUACAUGGAGCUUGGCCUUCGUAUCGACCGGCGUAGAUGCAGGUUUGCAAUUAAGCAUCCCGAGUGGUCUAGAAGCUCAUGAGCCUACUUCCGCUGAUGGAGAAAGAAGCUGUUGUCGCGACGCACCACCUCAAUACCGAGGAAGUAGUGCAAAGGACUGAGGUCCUUGAUGGAGAACUCAACGCGAGGAUGAUCAGUGAGCUAGCGGAGUAGGCCAGGCGUGCAUGCCGUUAGGAUGAUGUUGUCGACGUAGACAAGCAAUAUGCCAUGUCAGCGCCCUGGUGGUAGACAAACAACGAAGCAUCGGAGCGUGUGAGACGGAAGCCAAGUCGGUGAAGAAACGCCGCGAUGCGCUAGUACCAGGCACGGUGAGCCAGCUUGAGCCCAUAUAGUGAGCGUGAAAGCACGCACACAUGAUCCGGGAGGGUCGGACACAGAUCCCCUUAGGCUGCUGACAGAACACCUCCUCGUCAAGAUGACCAUGAAGGAAGUUGUUGGAGACAUCCAUGUGAUGCACUGGCCAUGCACAAGACACCGCAAGUUGUAGAACGGUCCUGAUCGUCGCUGGUUUGACAACGGAGCGAAGGUGUCGGUUAAGUCGAUGCCAACACGCUAUCGAAAACCACGGACAACCCAACGCGCCAUGUAGUGGUCCAGAGUGCCAUCCUGGCGGAGCUUGUGCUAGAAGACUGAUACGUCUCCAUCGUAUCUACUUUUCCAAACUCUUUUGCCCUUGUUUUGGACUCUAAUUUCCAUGAUUUGAAUGGAACUAACCCGGACUGACGCUGUUUUCAGCAGAAUUGCCAUGGUGUUGUUUUUGUGCAGAAAUGAAAGUUCUCGGAACGUCCUGAAAAUUUACGGAGAAUUUUUCUAGAAAAUAUGAAAAAUACCUGCGCAAAGAUCCACCAGAGGGGGUGGGCCAGUGGGCCACAAGCCCUGUUGCCGCGGCCACCCCCUAGCCACGGCAACCAAGCUUGUGGGGCCCACGUGGCUCUGCCGCCCCCAAUCUCAGCUCUAUAAAUUCACUUUCGCCUAGAGAAAAAUAAGAAGAGAAGAUUUCGUCACGUUUGCGAUACGGAGGCGCCGCUACAUCCUGUUCUUCAUCUGGAGGACAGAUCUGGAGUCCAUUUUGGGCUCCAGAGAGGGGAAAUCGUCGUCAUCGUCAUCAUCAACCUUCUUCCCUCUCCAAUUCCAUGAAGCUCUUCAUCGUUCGUGAGUAAUCUAUUCGUAGGCUCGCUGGGCGGUGACGUGUAGGAUGAGAUCUAUCAUGUAAUCGAGUUAGUUUUGACGGGGAUUGAUCCCUAGUAUCCACUAUGUUCUGAGAUUGAUGUUGCUACUACUUUGCCAUGCUUAAUGCUUGUCACUAGGGCCCGAGUGCCAUGAUUUCAGAUCUGAAAUUAUUAUGUUGUCACCAAUAUAUGUGUGUUUUAGAUCCGAUCUUGCAAGUUGUAGUUACCUACUAUGUGUUAUGACCCGGCAACCCCGGAGUGACAAUAACCGGAACCACUCCCGGUGAUGACCAUAGUUUGAGGAGUUCAUGUGUUCACCAAGUGCUAAUGCGUUGUUACGGUUCUUUAUUAAAAGGAGAACCUUAAUAUCAUGUAGUAUCCUUUUGGACCCCGCUGCCACGGGAGGGAUGGACAAUAGAUGUCAUGCAAGUUCUUUUCCCUAAGCAUGUAUGACUACACACGGAAUGCAUGCCAACAUCACAUUGACGAACGGGAGCUAGCCACAUAUCUCUCCGUGUUAUAACUGUUGCAUGAUGAAUGUCAUCCAAACGAAUCACCGACCCAUUGCCUACGAGUUUGUCCCACUGCUGCUGUUACCGUUGUUACUACUGUUGCUGCUACUGUUACUUGCUGAUGUUGUUACUUGCUUUGCUCUGCUGCUGCUACUAUUGUUGCUACUUGCUACUGUUGUUACUACUGUCGCUUGCUACUGUUGCUACUUGCUAUGGCUGUCACUACUGCUGUUCCUUGCCACUGCUGUUACUCGUUACACUGCUGCUACCUGCUACAAUUUUGAUUCGCUGGUCGUUGACGGGAACAUACAAUUUCCGUCAACGGGCAACUUCUGGCGCCAUUGAUACGACAGUUAGGAAUAGUCUACCAUCAACAGAUCGUUUCUGACACCGUUGUUAUCAUACUACUUUGCUGCUGACUCUUUGCUUGCAGAUACUAAUCUUUCAGGUGUGGUUGAAUCUGACACAUUCAGCUGCUAAUACUUGAGAGUAUCCUCUCACCUCCUUUUGGCGUAUCAACAAAUUUGGGUCGAAUACUCUACCCUCGAAAACUGUUGCGAUCCCACGCGCUGGUGGGCCAUCAACAACAUUCUUCUAGUUUCGUUGCCGGGGAGUGCUAGCAGCAUUCUUCUGGUGCCGUUGCAGGGGAAGGUCUGUUGUCACAGAGACAUCAUUUUUCUGGCGCUGCUGUCGGGGAGGCAUCAAGUCAGGAAUAGUUGGACGUCAACAACAUUUUUCUGGCGCCGUUGCCGGGGAAGUAUUGCUAUAUUCUCUGAGUCACUUGGGAUUUAUAUGUGCUGAUCACUAUGAAGAAUCUGAAGGAUCUGAAAACCAAAGUCUUGCCCUCAACUACGAGGGGAGGUAAGAAACUGCCAUCUAGCUCUGCACUUGAUUCACCUUCAGUUAUGAGUAAGUUUGCGACAUCACCUCCUGCUAGAAAUCUUGAUAUGUCGCCUGUGCUUCAUGAUGCUUAUGAUACUAUGCCUGAUGAUGCUAUGCUUGAUACUGCUAGAGAUACUAUGCCUGAUACUGCUAGAGAUGCUAUGCUUGAUACUGCUUUGCCUGAUGAUGCUAGAGAUGCUAUUUUGCCUGAUGAUGUUAUGCUUGAUACUGCUAGAGAUGCUAUUUCGCCUGAUGUGACACUAGGGGUAUUCCUUGAUGCUCAUAUUGCUAGAGUUACUGCCAAUGCUCGUGAUGCUUCUGAAACUGCCGAUACUAUUGAGAUAGAACCUGCUUUUGCUCCUGCUAGAUCUAGCUCUCCUAGAUAUUAAUUGCCUGAUAUACCUGAGGGUUACGUUAUGGAGGGAGUGAUAGCUGAGGAUUUUCUUGCGUGUAAGGAUGCUUAUGACGCUGAGAAAUUACUUCUCAAGUGGAAGGAAAAAUCUCUGAAAGCUAGGAUGAAAUACGACCCGAAGUUUGCCACUUCACCUAUCUUUAUCACCGAUAAGGAUUAUGAAUUCUUUGUCGAUCCUAAGAUAAUCUCCCUAGUCGAAUCUGAUCCUUUCCACGGUUAUGAGUCUGAGACGGUCAUAGCUCAUCUUACCAAACUACACGAUAGAGCUACCCUUUUCACUAGUGAGGAGAAGAUCCGCCACUACUAUAUCCUUAAGUUGUUUCCUUUCUCUCUAAAGGAUGACGCUAAAGCCUGGUUCACUUCUCUUGCUCCUGGAUGUGUGAGUAGUCCCCAGGAUAUGAUCUAUUACUUCUGUGAGAAAUAUUUCCCUGCCCAUAAGAAGCAAGCUGCCUUGCAGGAAAUAUAUAACUUUGCUCAACUCAAAGAAGAGAGUCUCCCACAAGCUUGGGGGAGGCUCGUCCAGCUACAGAAUGCUUUGCCUGAUCACCCUCUUAAGAAGAACGAGAUACUUGAUAUCUUCUAUAACGGACUUACCGAUGCUUCUAGAGACCACCUAGAUAGUUGUGCCGGUUGUGUUUUUAGGGAACGAACUAUAGAACAAGCUAAGACUCUACUGAAUAACAUCUUGAUCAACGAUAAUGCUUGGACUAUUCCCGAACCACCUCCUAAGCCAACCCCAAAGAAAAGAGGUAUUCUAUUCCUCAGUCCCGAAGAUAUGCAAGAAGCCAAGAAAUCUAUGCAAGAGAAAGGCAUUAGAUCUGAAGAUGUCAAAAAUCUACCACCUAUCGAAGAGAUCCAUGGUCUCGAUAACCCGAUACAGGUAGUGGAAGUAAAUUCUCUGCGUACGUUUGAUGAGAGUGGUAUUCCUUUUGAUAAACCUGCUAGCCUAUGUUUUGAUGAAUUUGAAACUUUGUUGCCAAACAAUAGAGUUUCAAUGAUUAUGUUAGCAGACAUUUGGAACAAAGUACUCGUAUGCUUAGCCACUUAAGUGCUUGUGUAGACAGAAAUGUCAAUGAUUUGAAGCUUCUGAGUAAACAUGCCUUUAUGAUUACUACUCAGGUAGAACAAGUACUUAAAGCUCAGAAUGACCUGCUCAAUGAAUUAAAUGACAACUCCGUCAAAGUCAUUACUAGAGGAGGCAAAAUGACUCAGGAACCUUUGUAUCCUAAAGGUCAUCCUAAGAGAAUCGAUCAAGAUUCUCAAGGAAUUAAUGCAGAUGCACCCAGUCAUCCUAAGGAGAAGAAGAAGGAUGAUAGAAACCUGCAUGUUAGUUCACCAAAUACUGUCGCACCUGAAGAACCAAAUGAUAUUUCUGCGUCUGAUGCAGAAACACAAUCUGGUGAUGAACAUGAACCUGGUGACAAUAUGGACAGCGAUGUUCAUAAUGAUGUUCAACCUAGCAAUGAUAAGGAUGUGGAGAUUGAACCUACAGUUAAUCCUGAUAACCCACAACCUAAGAGAUAUGAUAAGAAUGACUUCACUGCUAGGAAGCAUGGUAAAGAAAGAGAGCCAUGGGUCCAGAGACCUAUGCCCUUUCCUCCUAAGCCAUCCAAGAAAAAGGAUGAUGAGGAUUUUGAGCGCUUUAUUGAAAUGAUAAGACCCGUCUUUUUGCAGAUGCGGUUAGUUGAUAUGCUCAAAAUGUCUCCAUAUGCCAAGUACAUGAAAGAUAUCGUGACUAAUAAACGGAAGAUACCAGAUCUUGAGAUCUCCACCAUGCUUGCCAAUUACACUUUCAAAGGUGGAACUCCUAAGAAACUUGGUGAUCCCGGAGUGCCCACUAUACCUUGCUCCAUUAAAGGAAACUACAUAAGAACUGCCUUAUGUGACCUUAGAGCUGAAAUUAGUGUUAUGCCUCUCUCUCUGUAUCGUAGACUUGAAUUGGAUAAGUUGACACCCACUAAAAUUUCUCUGCAAAUGGCCGAGAAAUCAACUGCUUUCCCUGUCGGCAUUUGCGAGGAUGUGCCUAUUGUGGUUGCUAACACCACUAUCUUAACAGACUUUGUUAUCUUGGAUAUUCCCGAGGACGAUGCCAUGGCAGUCAUUCUCGGAAGACCCUUUUUAAACACUUCAGGGGCUGUUAUAGAUUGCAACAAAGGCAAUGUCACUUUCCAUGUCAACGGUAAUGAGCAUACCGUGCACUUUCCGAAGAAACGAUAUCAAGUACAUUGCAUCAAUGCUAUCGAAAAAACUUCAACGAUUCUUAUUGGGAGCUUUGAAUGUCCUAUUCCUCGUGUCAAGAUGAAGUAUGAAUUGCUUGUUGGGGAGAUUCAUAUCCCCAUUGAGGUGACUUACUGGCUAUUCGAAAAUUCUCCGUUCUCUUUUGCGAUUCGAGAAAGUUUUGUCAUAAGGAUUUCAUCAACCCCAUUGACGGAUUUCUUUCGAUGUCCAUGAAAUGGAUGAACCAAAGAGUCACAUACCUCUGUUUAAAGCUUUCACUUUCUUUUGCUUAGAAGAAAAAUGAUAGAUUUAGUUUACUUUUUCCUAUUUUCUGUUUUAGCGUCCCGGAGAAAAAUACCUCGAAAAUAAAAGUUCUCCGAUGGUCCUAAAAAUCUAGUAUGAUUUUUUCUGGAAUAUUUGAAAAAUACUAAGACAAAGAGCUGGCCUGGGGGACACCCUAGUGGGCCACAAGCCCUGUCACCGCGGGCUACCCCCUGGUCGCGGGGAGCAAGCUUGUGGGGCCCACAGGGGCCCCCUCCACUCAUUCCAGCUCCUAUCCUCUUCUUCUUCCUCCAGAAAAAAUUGUUUCGCAGCUCAAACCCGUGUUCUUGCUCAUUUGGCUGUGAUUUUCGAUCUCCUUGCUCAAAGCACCAUUCUCCGAACCGUUUUGGGGAAAUUACUCCUUGGUAAGUGACUCCUCCAUUGGUCCAAUUAGUUUUUGCUCUAGUGCUUUAUCCUUCGCGUAUUCUUGCUACCUUGGUGACCUUGUUCUUGAGCUUGAAAUGUUGAUUUUAGCUGGUUCCAAGUAGUUUUAGCGCGUGAUACGGUCUCUAGGCACUAGUAGGAGUAGUUGCUACGAGUUGGGUUAAUCCUUACUCACUUUUCUUUCGAAGUCUCUAAAAAUUUCAGAAUUUUUCAGAGCUAGAAAAGGAAAAAGAUGAGGAGGUUCUUGAGAGGAUCUUCAAGCCGUAACCCCAAGGAGGAUGAGAAGAACCUCCCCAAGUACGUGGUUCCUCGAGUCACGGAAGUUCGAGCGUGCGAAUGGCCAAGUGAUGAAUUUUUACGCGCCGCCGGGCUUUAUGAAGACUUUUAUCACUCGGUGGAGAACGCAAGUCUUACCGCGUUCGUUGAAGAUAAGUGCUCUCAAUACCUCCUCCUCACCAAUAUUUUCGUUCAAAGCUUCAACUUUUAUCCGAGGAAGAAUCCUCCCAUGGUUGAGUUCAUGUUGUACGAUAUCCCCCAGUGCAUGACACUACAGGAUUUUUGCAAUGCAUGCAAAUUACCUUAUGUUGGGGAUAUUCAUGAUCCUCGUCCACGGGACUUGGAGGAUUUCAUUGGUACUAUUGUUGUUGGAGAGGAGAGAGGAGUGUCUCGCGCUAGAAUUUCUAGCAUACAUUUUCCUGUGCUUCGGUACUUCUCAUUGUUUGUGGGAAAUGUCUGAUUGGCCGUGGGGAGGCUGGAUCACUUAGCUCUCCAGACCUUGCGGUUCUGCGCGAAAGCCUUUAUAACACUAAGACCUAUAUCCUAGGUGCUAUAGUAGCUCAACGGUUGAACACAAACCGUUCCAAAGGUGUCGUCUAUGUAGGUAUCUAUGCUACUCGUCUUGCUAGACACUUUGAGAUACCCAUUAGACUUCGCGAGGAAGAAGAGAUGCUUCUUCCUGGGAAAUAUAUGGAUUAUGACAGCAUGGUUCGCCAUGAUUUUCUGGAUAGAGAUGCUAGUAUACGGAUGAUUUAUAACCUGGUAUUUAGUCAGGGUACCCGAGAGACUAUUACUAUGCCUGCUCCUUCUUUGUUCGAUCUUCAUGCAGGCAUGUACAUUAUUAUGCCCUCGGACAUCUACGCAUAUUGGGGCUUGGCCCAACCACAGGUGCCCGUGCCCGAGCCGCCAGUCGAGUACCAGACACUAGUUUAUCAGUGGGAGCCAGAGGAGCUCACACAACAGUGGCAUCCACAGUCUGCUCCAGAGUACCCCGGAGCUGGAUAUUUCCCACCUUGGGAGUAGACCAAGCUAGGCCAAAAGCCUAAGCUUGGGGGAGUACGUGUUCUCACCGACCUUACAUUCAUGCUUAUGCUUUUACUUUGUUAGUCGAUGCUUACACUUUGCCACUGUAUUAUCCAUGCUAGUUUAUUUUCGUCUUCUUGUUUUCUUGUUUUGUGUCCUUUUGAGAAAACCAAAAAAAAAAUCUUUCUUCUUUUGCUUGUUGGGAGCUUUCCCGUGUAAAUAGUUUUCUUUUUCUUUGGAUCAAGGUAGAAGAUAUUGGUUACAAUGUUUAUUGGCCCUUGCAUGCAUACCUGUUCAGCUUUCAAAGAGCCAUAUUACUUUGUCUUCUCCUUUGUGUUUGCAUGCAGAUUCAGCUUAGUCCAUUGCACGAGCACGCUUAUUAUUGUUUACAUUGUUUGAUCGUGCAAGUGAAAGGCAAUAAUGAUGAUAUAUGACGAAGUGACUGAGACUGGAAAAGUUGGUAUGAACUCUAUCUAUUUUGUUUUUGUAAAUAUGACUAGCUUGUCGUCCCAGAUUUAGCUUUGUUGCGAGAGAACCAUGUUUGCAAUGACAACUUAGAGAUCAUAGUUUCUGAUGCCAUGCUUAUUUAGCUAGGAGCUUAUAAUGGUUUGUCUUGAAUACCAACAUAGAUUUUGAGAUGACUAUGAUGUAGUAUGAUAGGAUGGUAUUCUCCUUUGAAUGUUUCAAGUGGCCUGACUUGGCACAUGUUCAUGCAUGUAGUUGAAACAAAAUCAACAUAGCCUCUAUGAUGUUCGUGUUCAUGGUGAUAUAUAUCCUGUUCAUGCUUGCACUCUAUGUUAGUCAAACUCAUUGCAUCUUGAUGACCGUUGUCGCUCUCUAGUUGGUCGCUUCCCAGUCCUUUGCUAGCCUUCAUUUGUACUAAGCGGAAUACUGCUUGUGCAUCCACUUCCAUAAACCCAAAAGUUUUUCCAUGAGAGUCCACCAUACCUACCUAUUUGCGGUAUUUACCUGCCGUUCCAAGUAAAUUUGCAUGUGCCAUUCUCUAAACCUUCAAGAAAUAAUCUGUUUUGCAUGCCCGAACCGCCCAUGUGGUGACAGGGGGCUAUUGGUAUCUUCCAUGCUAGGCGUGUUAUCCUCGACAUGUGUUUAUUCACUGUCAUUCACGAGAAAGGGGUCGGUAAUUGGAAUGCCCAGUUCCACGCUUAAAUCGAAAACAUAACUAUAAAACAAGACUCCCCCCGGAUUGAUGUUAGUAUGGACGGUACCCGAGGAUUCGGCUAGCCGUGGAGUGUGAUUGAUUGGUGGUGGGGGAGUUAAAACUUUACUUUUCUGUUUGGGAACCGCCUAUAGCAUGAGUAGCGUGGAAGAUAUUGAGAACUCUUGGUCAUUGCAUUGACAAUGAAAGCAUGCCACCAAAAAUUAUUAUCUCUGUUUUCAAAGCUUGAGCUGUGGCACCUCUGCAAAUCAAUGCUUCCCUCUGCGAAGGGUCUGUCUAUUUAUUUUCCUGUUGAGUCAUCCUCUUCUUAUAUAAGCACCAAUUAGAGAGCACCUCUAUCAUUUUUAUGCUUUGCUUUUUAUUGAUAUUGAGUAUGACUAUGACUGGAUCUUUGUUGCUAUGAAUUACAAUGUUUAGUCAGCCCUUGAUCUUUGAAAGUGCUCUGCAUUUAUGUAUUGCGGUCUCAGAAGAGCUAGCAAGAUACCACCUAUUCAUAUUGCUUCACGCUUGUUUUGAUUGAAUUGUUGGUAUCUGAAACUCAUUAUUAUUUGCUCGCUAGCUGAUUAUGCCAUUGAUAUUAGUUUACCGUGAGACCUUUGUGUCACUUGCUUAUGUGGGUAACUUGUGAUCUUGCUGAAAUUCUGGUUAUGAGUUAGACAUAGUUGCAACAACAAGAUCAAACAGAGUUUGUCAAAGUUUUUCUUUCUCUUUCAGUUUGUCAACUGAGUUGCUUGAGGACAAGCAAGGUUUUAAGCUUGGGGGAGUUUGAUACGUCUCUAUUGUAUCUACUUUUCCAAACUCUUUUGCCCUUGUUUUGGACUCUAAUUUGCAUGAUUUGAAUGGAACUAACCCGGACUGACGCUGUUUUCGGCAGAAUUGCCAUGGUGUUGUUUUUGUGCAGAAAUGAAAGUUCUCGGAACGUCCUGAAAAUUUACGGAGAAUUUUUCUAGAAAAUAUGAAAAAUACCUGCGCAAAGAUCCACCAGAGGGGGUGGGCCAGUGGGCCACAAGCCCUGUUGCUGCGGCCACCCCCUGGCCGUGGCAACCAAGCUUGUGGGGCCCACGUGGCUCUGCCGCCCCCAAUCUCAGCUCUAUAAAUUCACUUUCACCCAAAAAAAAGAAGAGAAGAUUUUGUCGAGUUUGCGAUACGGAAGUGUCGCCACAUCCUGUUCUUCAUCUGGAGGACAGAUCUGGAGUCCAUUUUGGGCUCCGGAGAGGGGAAAUCAUCGCCAUCGUCAUCAUCAACCUUCUUCCCUCUCCAAUUCCAUGAAGCUCUUCAUCGUUCGUGAGUAAUCUAUUCGUAGGCUCGCUGGGCGGUGACGUGUAGGAUGAGAUCUAUCAUGUAAUCGAGUUAGUUUUGACGGGGAUUGAUCCCUAGUAUCCACUAUGUUCUGAGAUUGAUGUUGCUACUACUUUGCCAUGCUUAAUGCUUGUCACUAGGGCCCGAGUGCCAUGAUUUCAGAUCUGAAAUUAUUAUGUUGUCACCAAUAUAUGUGUGUUUUAGAUCCGAUCUUGCAAGUUGUAGUUACCUACUAUGUGUUAUGACCCGGCAACCCCGGAGUGACAAUAACCGGAACCACUCCCGGUGAUGACCAUAGUUUGAGGAGUUCAUGUGUUCACCAAGUGCUAAUGCGUUGUUACGGUUCUUUAUUAAAAGGAGAACCUUAAUAUCAUGUAGUAUCCUUUUGGACCCCGCUGCCACGGGACGGAUGGACAAUAGAUGUCAUGCAAGUUCUUUUCCCUAAGCACGUAUGACUACACACGAAAUGCAUGCCUACAUCACAUUGACGGACGGGAGCUAGCCACAUAUCUCUCCGUGUUAUAACUGUUGCAUGAUGAAUGUCAUCCAAACGAAUCACCGACCCAUUGCCUACGAGUUUGUCCCACUGCUGGUCUUACUGCUGUUACUACUGUUGCUGCUACUGUUACUUGCUGCUACUGUUACUUGCUUUGCUCUGCUGCUGUCACUAUUGUUUCUACUUGCUACUGCUGUUAUUACUGGCGCUUGCUACUGUUGCUACUUUCUACCGCUGUCACUAUUGUUUCUACUUGCUACUGCUGUUAUUACUGGCGCUUGCUACUGUUGCUACUUGCUACCGCUGUCACUACUGUUGUUCCUUGCCACUGCUGUUACUCGUUACACUGCUGCUACCUGCUACAAUUUUGAUUCGCUGGUCGUUGACGGGAACAGACAAUUUCCGUCAACGGGCAACUUCUGGCGCCAUUGAUACGACAGUUUGGAAUAGUCUGCCAUCAACAGAUCUUUUCUGACACCGUUGUUAUCAUACUACUUUGCUGCUGACUCUUUGCUUGCAGAUACUAAUCUUUCAGGUGUGGUUGAAUCUGACACAUUCAGCUGCUAAUACUUGAGAGUAUCCUCUCACCUCCUUUUGGCUUAUCAAUAAAUUUGGGUCGAAUACUCUACCCUCGAAAAAUGUUGCGAUCCCACGCGCUGGUGUGCCAUCAACGACAUUCUUCUAGUUUCGUUGCCGGGGAGUGCUAGCAGCAUUCUUCUGGUGCCAUUGCAGGGGAAGGUCUGUUGUCAUAGAGACAACAUUCUUCUGGUGCCGUUGCAGGGGAAGGUCUGUUGUCACAGAGACAUCAUUUUUCUGGUGCUGGUGCCGGGGAGGCAUCAAGUCAAGAAUAGUUGCACGUCAACAAAGACCCACUUCUCGAUGAUCACGUUGGCGUGCCGAGGACGGCGGCCAAGCUGCCAGGUCCGGUUUUGCAAGGCAUCAAACUCCUCAUGCAUGGCGGCGAACGAGAGAGGGUCACGAAGCGCCACACAGGCGGACAUCGACAGGGGCGACAUCGCCGAAGUGGAAGCCAUGCAUGCAUACUCGUCUGAGGCAUAACAAGUGCUUGGGGUGGUGCCGGAGCCACCGUAGGUCGAGGUGAUGAAGGACCCACAACCGGCUCAUCGACCACCACCAAGGGCGACGAUGGUAGAACUGACGAAACGGUCGACCCGCCAAUGGUCGGUAGGUGCCUUUAGGGACGGCAAACACGCCGGAAGCCGUGAUGGUCGACGAAGGAGCAUCACCCGACGAAGGCAUGGCAGCCGACGAUGCGGCAGCCAAGGCACACCUAGGGCCGACGUGAUGCGGUGACUCCCCGCUGAUUUACGUUGGUUUUGCUCCAAGCUUAAAGGGUGAUGUAGCACAACGAUGGCAAGUAUUUCCCGCAGUUAUGAAACCAAGGUAUCAAUCAAGUAGGAAGAUCCACAAGACUAUGUAAGCGGUACCUGCACACAAAUAACAAAUCCUCGCAGCCCAACACGUGUAGGGGUUGUCAAUCCCUCAUGGGUAAAGAAAAAGAUAGAUUGAUAGAUGCAAAUAAUGUGAUACAAAUAAAAGGUAGCAAGGUAUUUUUGGGUUUUUUGAUAAUAUAGAUCUGAAAUUAAACAAGCAAAUAAAAUAGAAACGUGAAUAGCAAAGUAGAGAUUGCAAAUAGAUGAUGUGAAAUAGACCCGGGGGCCGUAGGUUUCAGUAGUGGCUUCUCUCGAGAAAAUAGCAAACGGAGGGUAGACAAAUUACUAUUGGGAAAUUGAUAGAACAACGGAUAAUUAUGACGAUAGUCAAGACAAUGAUCAUGUGUAUAGGCAUCCCGUCCAAGACAAGUAUACUGACUUCUGCCUGCAUCUACUUCUAUUACUCUACACAGCAACCGCUAUCCAACAUGCAUCUAGUGUAUUGAGUUCAUGGAGAAACGGAGUAAUGCCUUAAGAACGAUGACAUGAUGUAGUCAAGAUCUAUUCAUGUAGGAAUAGACCCCACCGUUUUAUCCUUGAUAGCAAGGAUACAUGCGUGGCAUGUCUCUCUCUGUCACUGAGAUUGAGCACUGCAAGAUUGAACCCAUCACAAAGCACCUCUUCCCAUUGCAAGAUAAAAGAAAAAGUUGGUCAGACAAAAACCAAAUAUCAGAGAAGAAAUGCGAGGCUAUAAUAAUCAAGCAUGAAUAUAAUUUCAUAGAUCUGAUCAUAAACUCAAAAUUCAUCGGAUCCCAACAAACACACCGCAAAUGAUAUAGUUACAUCAAAUAGAUCUCAUAGAGACCAUUGUAUUGAGAAGAAAAACGAGAGAUAAAGCCAUGUAGCUACUACCUACGAACCCGUAGGUCUCAUAUGAACUACUCAUGCAUCAUUGGAGGAGCACCAAUGAGGAUGAUGAACCCCUCCAUGAUUGUGUUCCUCUCCGAACAGGAUCUAGAUUGGAUUCCGUGGCUUCUGGAACUUUCAGUGGCUGAAACAAUUUAUAGAGCUCAGAGGCGGUGGAGGAGGCGUCCAAGGCCCCCACUAGACAUCAGGCCACGCCAGGGGCCCUAGGCGCGGCCUGGUGCCUAGUGGGCUGCCCGGGCCUCCCCCCGUGAUCAUCCUUGACUCCCAAGUUUCCUUCUGGUCCAAAAAAAAUCUUCGUAAAGUUUCGUGGCAUUUGGACUUCAUGUGAUAUUGAUUUUCUGCGAAACAAAAAACAUCAAGUGGCACUAGGCACUAUGUCAAUAGAUUAGUCCCAAAAAAUGAUAUAAAGUGGCUAUAAAAUGAUCAUAAAACAUCCAAGAACGAUAGUAUUACAACAUGGAACAAUAAAAAAUUAUAGAUACGUUGAAGACGUAUCAGCAUCCCCAAGCUUAAUUCAUGCUCGUCCUCGAGUAGGUAAAUGAUAAAAAUAGAUUUUUUGAUGUGGAAUGCUGCCUCACGUGUUCAUCAUAUUCUUUUUCUUUUUAGCAUGGACAUAUGGACUUAUAGAUGAUUCAAAACAAUAGUCUAUAGUUUGACAUGAAAAUUUCAAUACUCAAGCAUAUCAACAAGCAACCAAGUCCUUCAAAAUAUAAACGCUAAAGAACAUUGUCCCUAGCCAAUCAUGCUCCAUCAUUGAUCCAUUCAUGCAACACACCCAAAUAUUAACUACAUCCAAUGCUCAAGUAUGAUAAUGGUGUUCCAUAGUUGGUGCUUUAUUACGGAAGAUGGAGACUCAAAUUCAAAAUAAAAAUUGCAUAAAGUAAAUAUAUAGGCCCUUCGGAGAGGGAAGCAGGGAUUUGUAGAGGUGCGAGAGCUCAGAGUGAAAAAUUUAGAGAUAAAAUAUUUUGGGUGGUAUGCUUUUUCUCUCAACAAAAACAACUAAGAGUUUCAAUAUCCUCCACGCUAAACAAAUUAUAGGCGGUUCCCAAACUAAAAAGAAAGUUUAUUCCUUUUUCCACCAUUCUUUCACACUCCACGGCUAGCCGCAUCCAUGGGUACCGUCCAUACCAACAAUUUCCAAGGAAUUUAUUAUUUGACAACAUAAAAUAAAUUUUCUUUUCAUAUUGGGACUGGGCAUCCCUAUUACCGGCUUACCGCCAUACUCUUGUGCAAUGACAAGUGAAUAAACACUCAUCUUGUGAAUAACCUAUUUAACAUGGAAGAUAGAGGCCACCCCUCGCCGUUUCAUGAGCGACACGGGCACACAAAACAGAAAUUUAUUUUCAACAUUAGAGUUGGCACUUGGAAAUUUACUUAGGACGGCGUUGAAAUACCACAUAUAGGUAGGUAUGGUGGACUUAUUUGGCACAACUUUGGGUUUAGGAUUUGGAUGCACAAGCAGUGUUCUCGCUUAGUACAAGUGAAGGCUAGCAAAUAGAUUGAGAAGCAUCCAAUGAAGGAACGAAAAUCAUCAUAAGUGAACAUUAAACAUAACUAACACCGAAUAAUGCAACACAAGUAGGAUGUAAUUUCAUAGCAUAAUUAUUGACUUCAUGUGCAUGCAUAGGGAAUCACAAACCUUAACACUAAUAUUCUUACUAAAGCAUAAUUACUCAUCAACAUAACUCACAUAUCACUAUCUUCACAUCGCAAAACUGUUGCAAAGAAUCAAGUUUAAUAUACAAUGAUCUUCGUGAAUUUUUUUAUUAUAUCUUUCGUGGACAUACAUCACUUUGGGACUAAUUUCAAUUAAAACAAAUUGUCAUUCCAAAUAACAAGCUCCCAAACAAGUAUAAGUGAAGAACGAGAGCACAAGUUUCUUUAAAAUAUUCAACUCUCAAAAUAAUAUAAGUGAAACAAGAGAGGAUUUCUUCAAAAUUUCUACUACUCUCAAAAUAAUCUAAGUGAAGCAUUAGAGAAAAUUUCUUCAAAAUAAAAGCACCACCAUGCUCAGAAAGAUAUAAGUGAAGCAGUAGAGCAAUUCCAUGGCUCUAAAACAUUGAAGUGAAGCAUGAAGAGCGAUUCUAACAAAUCAUAGCAUAAUUUGAUUCUUUCAAAUAGGUGUGUCGAGCAAGAUUUAUUAUGACAAACUAACCAGCAAAGAAAGGAAAUACACUAAUGAUACAAGAUGCUUGAAAAAAAACUCAUGAUAUGUGAAGAAUAAAAAUAUAGCUCUAAGUAAAAUUACCGAUGGUUGUGAGAAGAAAGAGGGGAUGCCUUCCGGGGCAUCCCCAAGGUUAGUUGCAUGUUACUUAUUGGAUAUUACCUUGGGAUGCCAUGGGGAAUCCCCAAGCUUAGUCUUUUAUAACUCCUUAUUCCUUCAUCCAUCGUGAUCUCAUCCAAAACUUGAAAACUUUAAUCGCACAAAACUCAACAAAAUUUUUGUGAGAUCCAUUAGUAUAAGAAAACCAAACUUUAGUUUAGGUACUAUUGAAAACCAAUUCCAAUUUUAUGUUUGCAUUAUACCUACUGUAUUCUAAUUUUACCAUGACUUAUACCCCCUGAUACAAACCAUAGAAUCAUCAAAACAAGCACAUAACGCAAAGAAAGCAGAAUCUGUCAAAAACAUAACAUUCUGUAAAGACUCGAAUUUUACCCAUACUUAUAUAACUCCAAAAAUUCUGAAAAAUCAGGACAACGUAUUGAAUUGUUUUACAAAUCUUGCGUAGAAAAAUCAGACACUUUUGACGCAUCUAUGAUUUUUAGGAUGUUUUCUACUCGAUGCAAAAGUUUCUGUUUUUCAACAGGAUUAAAGCAACUAACUCCCCACAUGAUCCCAAAGGCUUUACUUGGCACAAAAACUAAAUAAAACAUAAAAAACACAAUUAUAACAGUAGAAUAAUUGUGAAAACACUCAAUAACAGAAAGCAAGAGUGAAAAAUAAAUUUUAUUCAUUGGGUUUCCUCCCAACAAGCACUAUCGUUUUACGCCCCUAGCUAGGCAUAUAUCAUAGAUUUCAGGUAUUGUCAUCCUUACCGAUUGAUCCAUAGCUUGCCCUCAUGAUUGAUUCAUAUGGUAAUUUAAUACUAGUUCGAGGUAAGUGUUCCAUGACUUUUCUUAGUGGAAACUGAAAUUUAAUAUUCCCUUAUUUCAUAUUAAUUAGAGGCCCUAUAGUAUGCAAGAAUGGUCUACCAAGAAUUAUUGGACAAGACGGAUUGCAAUGAAUAGCAAGAACAAUAAAAUCUAUGGGCACAUAAUUCCUAUUUUCAAGAAAAAGAACAUCAUUAAUUCUUCGCAUAGGAUUUUUAAUAUUAUAAUCCGCCAAGUGCAAAUUGAGAGAACAUUCUUCAAUAUUGGUAAGACCAAGCACAUCACAAAGAGAUUUCGGAAUUGUGGAAACACUAGCACCCAAAUCACAUAAAGCAUAGCACUCAAAAUUCUUAAUCUUCAUCUUAAUGGUGGGUUACCAUUCAUCAUAUAAUUUUCUAGGAACUGAAAUAUCUAGCUCUAACUUUUCUUCCAAAGCUGUUAUUACCACAUCCGAAAUAUGUUUAGUAAAAGUUGUAUUUCGUUCAUUGGCAUUGGGUGAAUUUAUCACAGAUUUCAGCAUAGAAAUACACUCAACCAAAGAGCAACUAUCAAAAUUAAAGUUUUAUAAUCCGACAAAGUGGGUGCAUCACUAGCUAAAGUUUUGACCUCUUCAAUGCCACUUUUAUCAAAUUUUUAAUAGGAUUUUCACCCUUCGAAUCAUGAGAACGCCUUCUAGCUAAAGUUGACUCUUGUUCAGUUCCAUCAUCAUUAAUUUUAGCAUUACUAAACAUGGAAUCAAUAGAAUAAACACAAAUCAUUGUAAUCUCUUCAUCAUUUUUCUCUUCUAAAGAUUUUGGCUUGGCUGCCAUUUGAUUCAGUAACGUAGCUUGCGCAUCAUAUAUCUUUCUAGCAAAUUUUCGAUAAGGGAUAUUGAGAUUGGAGAUUAGCAACUUAUUUACUAACACGAUCAAGUUGUUUUGCUAUAGCAUCAAGAAAAAUAGAAUGCUCCUUAAGUUCUUUGGUAAAAAAAUUAUUUUUCUCAAAUUCCAUAGUCAUGUACUCAUUGGUACUUUUAUCAAUCUCUAACAAAAUGUUUGGAUACGGAAUAUCAUAAUACCUUCUUUGAGGCAUCAUGUCCACGCAAGCAAGAACACAAGCAAACAAGAGAUCCGGCAAGAAAACGGCAAACGAAUAGAAGGAAAAUAAAAAGGCAUAUUUUUUUGAAGUGAGGGAGAGGAAAACGAGAGGAAAAUGGAAAAUAAUGUAAUUGCAAGGAGAUGAGAGUUGUGUGUAGGAACCUGAUAAAUCUUGACUCCCCACUGAUUUGCGUUGGUUUCCCUCCAAGCUUAAAGGGUAAUGUAGCGCAACGACGACAAGUAUUUCCCUCAGUUAUGAAACCAAGGUAUCAAUCGAGUAGGAAGAUCCAAAAGACUAUGUAAGUGUUACCUGCACACAAAUAACAAAUCCUCGCAACCCAAUGCGUGUAGGGGUUGUCAAUCCCUCAUGGGUAAAGCAAAAGAUAGAUUGAUAGAUGCAAAUAAUGUGAUAGAAAAGAAAACACAUCAAGGUAUUUUUGGGUUUUUUGAUAAUAUAGAUCUGAAAAUAAAAUAUCAAAUAAAAUAGAAACACGAAUAGCAAAGUAGAGAUUGAAAAUAUAUGAUCUAAAAUAGACCCGGGGGCCGUUCACUUGUGGCUUCUCUCAAGAAAAUAGCAAACCGUGGGUAGACAAAUUAUUGUUGGGCAAUUGAUAAAACAAUGAAUAAUUAUGAUGAUAUGCAAGACAAUGAUCAUAUAUAUAGGCAUCACGUCCAAGACUAGUAGACCGACUUUUGCAUGCAUCUACUUCUAUUAAUUCACACAUCGACCGUUAUCCAACAUGCAUCUAGUGUAUUGAGUUCAUGGAGAAACGAAGUAAUGCCUUAGGAAUGAUGACAUGAUGUAGACAAGAUCUAUUCACUUAGGAAUAGACCCCAUCGUUUUACCCUUGAUAGCAACGGUACAUGCGUGUCAUGUCUCUUUCUCUCACUGAGAUUGAGCAUCGCAAGAUCGGACCCAUCACAAAGCACCUCUUCCCAUUGCAAGAUAAAAGAUCAAGUUGGCGAGACAAAAAACAAAUAUCAGAGAAGAAAUACGAGGCUAGAAUAAUCAAGCAUGAAUAUAAUUUCAUAGAUCUUAUCAUAAACUCACAAUUCAUCGGAUCCCAAUAAACACACCACAAAGGAUAGAGUUACAUCAAAUAGAUCUCCAAGAGACCAUUGUAUUGAGAAGAAAAAUGAGAGAAAAAGCCAUAUAGCUACUGCCUACGGACCCGUAGGUCUGAUAUGAAGUACUCACACAUCUUCGGAGGAGCACCAAUGAGGAUGAUAAACUCCUUUGUGAUCGUGUUCCUCUCCGGAACGAGCUCUAGAUUGGAUUUCAUGGCUUCUGGAACUUGCGGCGUCUGAAACAAUUUUUCGUCGACUCGUCUAAGGUUUUUGGAAUACUCGGGUAUUUAUAGAUCUCAAAGGCAGUGGAGGACACGCGUGAGGCCCCUACUAGACACCAGGUCGUGCUAGGGUGCCUAGUGGGUUGCCCGGGCCUCCUCUAGUGAUCAUCCUUGGCUCCCAAGUUUCCUUCUGGUCCAAAAAAAUCGGUGUAAAGUCUCGUGGCAUUUGGACUUCAUCUGAUAUUGAUUUUGAUUUUCUGCGAAAGAAAAAAUGGCAAAAAACAACAACCGACACUAGGCACUAUGUCAAUAGGUUAGUCCAAAAAAAUGAUAUAAAGUUGCUAUAAAAUGAUCAUAAAACAUCAAAGAAUGAUAGUAUAAUAGCAUGGAACAAUUAAAAAAUUAUAGAUACGUUGGAGAUGUAUCAUGCGGCAACGCGGGAAGCCCACCGCGGGAGAUGACUCCUCAUGUGUUUGUGCAAACGGAAAACAAUACUCGUCAAAGUACACGUGCCGAGAGGUGAUGAUGCGAUGAGACACCGGGUCAUAGCAACAGUAGCCUUUGGUGUUAGCCGGGUAACCGAGGAAGACACAAGGGACUGAGUGGGGAGCGAGUUUGUGAGGACUAGUAGACGUGAUACUAGGAUAGCGACGACAACCAAAAAUACAGAGGCCGUCGUAGGAGGGUGGAGUACCAUAAAGAAGAUGAUGGUGGGAGUAAUGCUAGAACGAGCAACAUGGGCAAAGGUUAACGAGGAGUCUGGCCGUGGAUAGGACAUCAUGUUAGAAAUAUGGAGGCAUGUAGGCGUGAAAGAGGAGAGUGUGAAAACACUCGUUAAGGGUGUGAAGGAUGCAUUCAGCGUGAUCGUUUUGUUGAGAUGUGUAUGUUAGAAAUACGCCCUAAAGGCAAUAAUAAAUUGGUUAUUAUCAUGUUUCCUUGUUCAUGAGAAUUUUUAUUAUCCAUGCUAUAAUUCUAUUGAUUGGAAACUCACAUACAUGUGUGGAUGCAUCGACAACACCGUAUCCCUAGUAAGCCUCUACUAUACUAGCUCGUUGAUCAAAGAUGGUUAAGGUUUCCAAGACAUAGACAUGAGUUGUCAUUUUAUAACGAGAUCACAUCAUUAGGAGAAUGGUGUGAUGGACAAGACCCAACCGUAAGCAUAGCAUGUGAUCGUAUCAUUAAGUUUAUUGCUAUUACUUUCUAUUCCCUCCGUCUCAAAGUAAGUGUCUUAAGCUUAAUACAACUUUAUACUAGAGCUAGUAUAAAGUUAAGACAGUUAUUUUGGGACAGAGGGAGUACAUGUGAAGUAUCUCUUCCUAAGACCAUGAGAUGAUGCAACUCCUUAACACCAUAAAGACUCCUUGUGUGUAUCAAAUGACACAACAUAAAUGGGUGAUUAUAAAUACUCUCUACAUGUAUCUCCGAGGGUGUGUUUUGGGUUGGCAUGGAUCGAGACUGGGAUUUGUCACUCCAUAUGACGGAGAGGUAUCUUUGGGCCCACUCGAUAAUACAACAUCACAAGAAACUUGCAAGCAUUGUGACUAAGGAGUUAGUUACGGGAUCUGGUAUUAUAGAGCGAGUAAAUAGACUUACCGGUAACGAGAUUGAACUUGGUAUGGAGAUAGAGACGAUCGAAUCUUGGGCAAGUAUCAUACCACUGGACAAAGGGAACUGCAUACGAGAUUGAUUGAAUCCUUAGCAUCGUGCUUCGACCGAUAAAUAUAUUUGUAGAAUAUGUAGGAACCAAUAUGUGCAUCCAGGUCCUGCUAUUGGUUAUUGACCGUAGAUGUCUCUCGGCUAUGUUUACAUAGUUCUUGAACCCGCAGGUUCCACACGCUUAACUUUCGAUGACAAUAUAGUAUUGUUGAAUUGUAUAUGUUGGUAACCUAAGGGUGUUUGGAGUCCAUAAUGAUAUUCGUACAUGAUGAGGGGCUUCGGAAUGGUUCGGAGGUAGAGAUUCAUACAUGGGAAGUUGGUAUUCGAGUUCCGAAAAAGUUCGGGGACUUACCCGUUGUGUGACAAAGUUGUUGGAAGUGUUCUGAGGGUCCACCUGCCCCCAAAGGGCACCUCACCUAAGGCCCAGGCGGCCAAAGGGCUAGGGCAGCCCAAGGGUGGGCACCACCCCUUGCCUUGGGUGGCAAGCCAGCCCCACCUUGGCCGCCACCCCUCCUAGGGAAAACCCUAGACUAGCCUGCUCCACCCUCCCCAAUAUAUAUGAGAGGAUAGGGAGGCAGCCAACACGCCAAUUCUUGGCGGCGCCCUCCCUCACUCUCUCUCUCUCUAUGAAGUACUUCUUCUCCUUACUCGCGUUGCGGCAGCGCUUGGCGAAGCCCUGCCGAGAUCUCACCACCACCACCGUCACCAUGAUGUCGUUCUGCCAGAGAACUCAUCUACUACUCCGCCCUCGCUUGCUAGAUAGACAAGGCAGAGACGUCAUCGAGCUAUACUUGUGCUGAAUACAGAGGUGUCAUCCAUUCGGCGCUAGAUCGGGACAAAUCGUGAUUGGAUCGAGAAGAUGUACGAGUACAUCAACCGCGUUUCUUAACUCUUAAGCUUAGCGAUCUACAAGGGUAUGUAGAUGUACUCCCCCUCUCAUAGCAAUACAUAUCCAUAGAUAGAUCUUGGGUGCGCGGUUGAAUUUUUUUUGUUUCCCAGGCAACGUUCCCCAACAGUGGCAUCAGGAGCUAGGUUUAUGCAUAGAUGAUAUACACGAGUAGAACACAAAGUGUUUGUGGGCAUUGAUGUUCAGAUUGCCUACUUCCUUAGUCUUAUCUUGAUUCAGCAGUAUUGUGGGAUGAAACGGCUCAGACCUACCUUACUUGUCCACGUAUAAGAGACAGGUUCCACCGACUAACAUGUAACUUGGUUGCAUAAAGGUGGCUGGCGGGUGUCUCUCUCUCUCUCCCACUUUAGUUGAAUUGGAUUCGACAGAGGCGGUCCUUGUAGAAGGUUAAAUAUCAACUUGAAUAUUUUUGGAAAUAUGCCCUAGAGGCAAUAAUAAAUUGGUUAUUAUCAUAUUUCCUUGUUCAUGAUAAUCGUUUAUUAUCCAUGCUAUACCUGUAUUGAUUGGAAACACAAAUACAUGUGUGGAUACAUCGACAAAGUGUCCCUAGUAAGCCUCUACUAUACUAGCUCAUUGAUCAAAGAUGGUUAAGGUUUCCUAGCCAUAGACAUGAGUUGUCAUUUGAUAACGGGAUCACAUCAUUAGGAGAAUGAUUUCAUGGACAAGAUCCAAACCUUAAGCAUAGCGUUUGGUCAUAUCAAGUUUACUCCUAUUGGUUUUUGCAUGUCAAUGUAUCUGUUCCUAUGACCAUGAGAUCAUGCAACCCAUUGACACUGAAGGAAUACCUUGUGUGUAUCAAAUAUCACACCAUAACUGGGUGAUUAUAAAGGUGCUCUACAGGUAUCUCCAUGCGUGUCUAUUGAGUUGGCAUGGAUCAAGACUGGGAUUUGCCACUCCGAAUGACGGAGAGGUAUCUUGGGGCCCACUCGGUAAUACAACAUUAUAGUAAGGUUGCAAGCAGUGUGACUAAGGAGUUAUUCACGAGAUCUUGUAUUAAGAAACGAGUAAAGAGACUUGUGAGUAACGAUAUUGAACUAGGUAUGGAGAUACUGAUGAUCAAAUCUCGGGCAAGUAACAUACCGAUGGACAAAGGGAACUCCAUACGAUAUUAAGUGAAUCCUUGACAUCGUGCUUCGACCGAUAAAGAUCUUCAUAGAAUAUGUAGGAACCAAUAUGGGCACCGAGGUCUCUUUAUUGGUUGUUGGCCGUAGAGGUGUCUCGGUUAUGUCUACAUAGUUCUCGAACCCACAGGGUCUACACACUUAACAUUCGGUGACGAUAUAGAUAUAGUUGAGUUAUUGUGUUGGUGACCGAAGGUUGUUCGAAGUCCUGGAUGAGAUCCCGGACGUCACUAGGACCUCUAGAAUGGUCCGGAGGUAAAUAUUUAUAUAUUGGAAAGUGGUAUUCGGGUUCCGGAAAAGUUUUGGGUUUUUUCGGUAUUGUACCGGGAGUGCCGAAAGGGUUUUGCAGGUCCACCGACGGGGUACACCCACCCCUAGGGCCUACGUGCGCUGAGGAGUGAGUCAAACCAUCCCCUAAUGGGCUGGGCACCCUACCAUAAGAGUCCCAUGUGCCCAAGAGGUAGGUGUGGAGGUGCCUUCAGGAGGAGGGACUUCUCCCCUUGGGCGCCCACCUCCCUUGUGGGAGGUGGACUCCUCCCACUUGGUCGGCGAGCCCUCCCUUGGCGAAGGGGAUAAGUUUGCACCCUACCUACCCCUUCCUCCUAUAAAUAGAUAGGGAGAGGGAGGCAACCAACACACCAAGCCUUGGCGACACCCUCCCUCUCUCUCGCUAGAUUGUUUUCUCCUCUGUUGCAUCGUGGAAGCGCUUGGCCAAGGCCUGCACAGAUCACACCACCAUCGCCGCCACCAUGCCAUCAUGCUACCGGAGAACUCAACCUGUACUUCACCAUCUCUUGAUGGAUCGAGGAGGUGAAGGCGUCAUCGAGUUGUACGUGUGCUGAAUGCGGAGGUGCCAUCCGUUCGACACUUGAUCGGGGCGUUCGUGAUUGGAUCGCUAAGACGUUCGACGACAUCAACCGCGUUUAUUAACGCUUCCGCUUAGCUAUCUACAAAGGUAUGUAUAUGCACUCCCCGUCUCGUAGAUGUUGAUCUCCAUAGAUUGAUCUUGGUGAGCGUAGGAAAUUUUUUGUUUCCCAUGCAACGGUCCCCAACACUAGCAUCAUGAGCUAGGUCUAUGUGUAGAUAACAUGCACGAGUAGAACACAAAAGAGUUUGUGGGCACUGAAUUUCAGAUUUCUUACUUCCUUAGUCUUAUCUUGAUUCGGCGGUAUUGUAGGAUGAAGCGGCUGGCACCAACCUUACUCGUCCACGUACGAGAGACCGGUUCCAUCGAAUGACAUGCAACUUGUUGCAUAAAGAUGACUAGCAUGUAUUUGUCUCUCCCACUUUAGUUGAAUCGGAUUCGAUGGAGGUGGUCCUUGUAGAAGUUUAAAUAGCAACUUGAAUAUCAUCGUUGUGGCUUGGCGUAGGUAAGAACAGUUCUUACUAGUUACCCAUAGCAGCCAUGUAAAACACACAGCAACAAAGUAGAGGACGUCUAACUUGUUUUUGCAGGGUAUUCGGUGAUAUGAUAUGGUCAAAUACAUGAUGAGAUAUAUGUGAUGUAUGAGAUGAGCAUUUUUUUAUAGAUUAUCAUGACUUGCAUGUCGACGAGUAUGGCAACCAGAAGGAGCCAUAGGGUUGUCUUUACUUAAUUUGUGCAUUUUUGCUUACUUUAUCACUAUGAAUUAGCAAUAGUUGUAGCAGUGUAGCUGGUGCAGCAAACCAAUGGAGACACGAUGAUGGAGAUCAUGGUGUCAUGCCGGUGACGAUUGGGAUCAUGUUGGUGCCCAAAGGUCGAACAUGGGUCAUAUAGUAGAUAUGAUCAACAUGGAGAUGCUCACCAUUGAAACCACCUCAUCUCACAUGUUGAUCGGACUUGGGUUGGUGGAUUUGGAUCAUGUUACACUCGAACAACCUGAGGGAUGUUUAUUUGAGUGGGAGUUCUUAAGUAAUAUGAUUAAUUGAACUCAUUAUCAUGAACAUAGUCCAAGUUGUUUUUGCAAAGUAUGUUGUAGAACAAUAGCUCACCCUAUAGCUCCCUUGUAUUUUUGAUAUGUUCCUAGAGAAAACUAAGUUGAAAGAUGAUAGUAGCAAUUGUGCGUAAUGGUUAUGUAAACUAAGGAUUGUCCUCAUUGCUACAUAGAAGGCUUAUGUACUUGAUGCACCGCUAGUUGUGCCACACCCUCAAGCGUCAUAUGUGGAUGUUGUGAACAUCCGGUAGACACGCUUUUGAUGACUACUUGAUAGUUCAGUGUGUCAUGCUUUACGGCUUUGAAUUGAGGCUCCAAAGAUGUUUUUUAACGUCACAAAGCAUAUGAGAUGUUCCAAGAGCUGAAAUUGGGAUUUCAAGCUCGUUACCGUGUUGAGAGGUAGGAGACCUCCGACAAGUUCUUUGCCAGCAAGAUGAACGAGAAUAACUCAAUCCGUCAGCAUGUGCUCAGAUUGUCUAGGUGCUACAAUCGUUUGAAUGAAGUGGGAGUUGAUGUUCCACAUAAGAUAGUGAUUGACAUACUUCUCCAAGUCAGUGCCACCAAGCUAUUAGAGCUUCCACAUGAGCUAUAACAUGCCUGGGAUGGAGAAGAUGAUCCUGAGUUAUUCGUGAUGUUUUACACCACGAAGGUAGAAAUCAAGAAGGAGCAUCAAGUGUUGAUGGUUAGUAAAACCACUAGUUUCAAGAAGGGCAAGGGCAAGAAGGGAAACUUCGAGAAUGACAAAUCAGUUGUCGCUCCAAUGAAGAAACCCAAGGUUGAACCCAAACACGAGACUGGGUGCUUCUAUUGUGAGGGGAACUGUGACAUCCUCAGCUUUUGCAACAGUGUUGUAUGUAAUUAAGCUAUAGUGAUCCCACGCUAAUGAUGCCACGUCACCAUGGUUACUAUUGUUAAACUUGCGUCGGUUCAAUCCCCGUCCAAUUUCAUUGCAAAGUUAAUUCGUCCAAAAAGUGAAUUUAAAAGUUUUGCGAAACGGAAAAUAAAAACGUUCGAUGGGUUGCAAAUAUUCUCUAGGAUUUUAAAAAAUUGGAUCGGGUAUUUUUAGAAAUAAUUUAGAGCCUUUAAAUAUUUAAUACAUGCACUAUUUAAUAAAAAAGGAAAACCCCCACCCCAUUGGGCCGGUCAGCCCAACCCAACACUUAAACUGGCCCAUCUACACGACAGGGCAUAAGACCCCCUGGAAACCCUAGCCCAAACCGCCCUCACCCCACUCCCUGCCGCCAGACACCCACCACCCAUGAGGGGGGUGGCUCCCCUCGUCAUCCCUCCCCUCGCUCACCCAACACCCGAGCCCCUCGCUUGAUCCCCAUCGCCAGCUCCCACGGCCCCACGUCGCCCCGCUCCUUCGUCAUGUUGCCCUCGCCAGCCUCGUCACCCCGAGCGCCGGCCUCCACCUCGCCUCCCUGCCUCGAACCUCCCCGGCGCCACCCACCCCGCCGGCCGGCCUCUCCAUCAACCCGGCCGGACACUACCUCUCCUUCCCCCGUCGCCCCUCCGAUCCACUGGGACCGAGCCCCUGGAUCCACCUCCUUCCCUCGACUUCCUCUCGCCGGCCACUGACGGGCCACCCCGCUCGAGCUUGCGGCCUCCCUCGCCGGAUCCACCAACGGUCGGUGCCGCCCGCCGCCGCUAGGGCUCCUCCACGCCUCCUCCUCACCUUUUUCUCCGCUGGCCCCGACCACUCCAUCGUCGGAACGCCGUUGUCGCACCUCCUCGCCGACCUCCUCACCCCGUCCUCGACAGCUCCAUCGAGCCUCGCCGCCCCCGCUCCCCAGCAACGUCGGUGAGGCUCCGGCCUCCUCUCCUUUUCCCCAUCCGGCGCCUCCCUUUCCCUCGCCGCACCGCGCUCCGGCCGCGCCAUUUUCCCAGUGGCGUGUGCUGGCGCGGUCGCGACCGCGCCCACCCCUACGUUGUCCACCCACUCGCUCACUGCCUCGCUGCGGCUCCUUCCUCGCCGCGGCCCUGCUCGCCGUUCCGGCUGCCUCGCCGUGCUAGUCGCCACCGGCCGCCCCGUGAGCCCAUGGCGCCUCUCGCCCCUGACCCCCGAGCUGAUCUGGUUAGUGGGGGGUUAACCUUCCCCACUAACCCCCCUGUGUAUGACAACGGGGCGCACCCCCUAAUGACGUUUUAGAAAUAAAAAUAAUAAAUAGAAAAUAGAAAAUUAAUUAAAUAAUAAUAAAUCAGUGAAUGACAGGUGGGUCCCCCAUUAAUUAAAUUAUUUAAUUAAUUAUUAAACCUAAUUAAAAUUGUGUCAAUAACAUGUGGGGCCCACUCGCUAGUUGACCAGUCAACAGAUCAUGUUGACUGCUGAUGUCAUGAUGACAUCGUGAUGAUGUCGUAAUACAAAUAUCUAAAUUAAUUUAAUCUGUUUUAAUUUCUGAAUUUUGGUUAAAUCUUUGAAAAUUAAUAUAAAAUAAACCGCAGCUCACAUGAAAAUACAUUGAACAUGAAAGUUGAUCAGCAAAACGAGACGAACCAGCAUACGCUAUCCGUUCGUGUGUCACGCGUCCCUAGCAUAGCAAACGUGGAACUUUUCCACCGUUUCUCGUCUGAAGGUAGUAGCCAGAGACCCGGGAAAUAUCAUCUGACAUUUUUCUGACCCGUCUAUGAUGGAUAGAACUGCGUUAGCUCAUGCCUAGACCUGCAUAUUGCCAUGUCAUGCAUAGUGUUUCAUCUGUGUUUGUAUUUAUUGUUUCUUCCCCCCCCCCUCUUCUUAUCGGUAGACCCCAAGACUGACGUUGCUGCCGGGUUCAUCUACCCUCCUGACGACCUGCCCUUUGCCGCAGAGCAACAAGUCAAGCAAACCCCGCUUGAUCAUUCCGAUAUCGCCUAUUCUUUCUCCCUCAUGUUUGCAUUAGAAUUUUUCUACUGUCGUAGUUACCUCCUAUAUCUGAUGCAUAUCCUAUUUUUGAUGAACUGCUACUUUCAGUAUCGUACCUUUAAACUAUUUAGUAUAGGUGGAGCAGUCAUCCCCUCUGAUCCCGUAGUCCAGUUGCCCCGCUUUAUUGUCGAGUCUCGAUCCCUGAUCGACGAGCCAAGAUCCGACACAACACUUACACCCCCUUAGUUGUACGACGCUGCAGGGCUACUAUCAGGUACCGAGGGUGACACCUCGCGAAGUACUCAGGAUGAUAUCUCUUUAGUACAGCUAGUCGUCGUGGUUAUCGAGAGUGAUUCCUCCUUCACCACUCCUGAUGAUCACUCUGUCAUGCAACCCCUCAAGUGUGAGACCCUCGAGGGUGAUUCCUCUAAGUCCACCUUGACGGUUACAUCGUUCGAGAUGCAAUGAGGGUGAUACCUCAGAUCCCCCUGAUGUUACAACCACACAGUUAGUUGACCAUGUUACUGGGAUCUUUGAUGAAUAGAUGUUAGGCGGGUGGAUUCCCGCGUGGAUGCGUCGAUGACUUAAUUAAAAUGAUAAUGGAUUUAGGUAUUUGAUCUUGGUUGGACGGAAGGCCUUAUUACGCACUAACCGUCUGCGUGGGAAGAAUUAUGGGCACUCAACGUCGUAGUAUCAGCCGAAGCUCUGCAAACGUCGGCAAUGGAGCGGCGUGCGCCCGAGUGGUCCUGAGAUGCAUCGCGCUUGUAUUAAGGGGUGCUAGGGCUCACAUUGACUGCCCUUGCAUCGUGCACGAGCGUAGAGGGCAAGUGGGCUCAUGACCCCUUUGUGCUUAGGAUUUAGACCAGCGGGCUGGCCUCUCUGUUGAACUUAGGUGGGACUGCGACGUGUCGAUAUUCCGAGGCCGGGCAUGCCCCAGAAAAGUGUGUCUGACCAGAGUGUUAUCGAGCGUGACGGGGAAUAUGUUGUGCACCCCUACAGGGAAGAACUUAUCUAUUCGAAUAGUCGUGUCCAUGGUUACAGGACGACUUGGAGUUGUGUCCUGGUCUUAUACAACUACAACUGUUACUUAACUGGAUUGUUUCCCUCGGUUGCUUCCCCGCAGGGAGUCGACGAAGGAUCUCUGGGCGUGACCUCAUAUUAAUAUUGCUGCAACAAUAUGACUAUUAUUUCUGUUAUAUGUUCUACACUCGUCUAUUGCUGCAUGACCCCCUGAAGAUGCUAGUCUUCGAUAGGACUAGGCUUUUCCUCUCUUUCUCGCAUUGCUGCAGUCAUUCCACAUAUAAAUCCCUUCUUUGAUACUGAUGCAUACUUAGCAUAGUUCUGAUGUCAGUCUUGCGAGUACUUUGGAUGAGUACUCACCGUUGCUUUGCGCCCCUUUUUUCCCUUGAUCCGUUGCUGCGACCAGAUGAUGGAGCCCAGGAGAUGGAGUAUCCUUGUCACGCCCAAGAUGCGACCCUAUCCUCAAUUUGGCACGAAGGCCUCGUCAGGGAUAGAACCGCAUCUCGUCGUGGCGCGAGAAUGGAUAUCGUUACAAGUACAUGUACUGAAAAGAAGAGAUAUAUAAUAGAAUGGGCUUACACUCGCCACAAGCUACAUCAGAGUCACAUCAGUACAUUACAUAAUCGUCAAGAGUAAGAGCAGGGUCCGACUACGUACGAAAACAAAUGACAAAAGAAGAACAGCGUCCAUCCUUGCUAUCCCAGGCUGCCGGCCUAGAACCCAUCCUAGAUCGAUGAUGAAGAAGAAGAAGAAGAAGCAACUCCAAAUGAACAAGCAACGCGCUCGCGUCAAGUAACCUUUACAUGUACCUGCAACUGGUGUUGUAGUAGUCUGUGAGCCACAGGGGACUCAGCAAUCUCAUUUCCAAAGGUAUCAAGACUAGCAAAGCUUAAUGGGUGAGGUAUGGUUAAGUGGUGAGGUUGCAGCAGCGGCUAAGCAUAUAUUUGGUGGCUAAACUUACGAGUAGAAGAAGUAAGAGGGGGGAUGAUCUACGCAUAACGGACGUGAACUACUAAUGAUCAAAUGAAUGGUCCUGAACACCUACCUACAUCAGACAUAACCCCACCGUGUCCUCGAUCGGAGAAGGAACUCACGAAAGAGACAGUCAUGGUUAUGCACACGGUUGGCAUAUUCUAAUUAAGUUAACUUCAAGUUAUCUAGAACCAGUGUUAAACAAAGUUUCCAUGUUGCCACAUAACCGCGGGCAUGGAUUUCCGAAAGAUUUAACCCUGCAGGGGUGCUCCAACUAGUCCAUCACUAAUUACCACAAGCCGCAUAGAAAUCCUCGAUCACGACACUCGCGAUCUCGUCAGAUUCCUUUGUGGAAAACCUCAACUUUGAGAUUACCCAAAGCAUCACCGGAAUACCGAUGCACAAGAUAUCCCGUCAAAGGUAAAAAUAAUCUAGCAAGGCCACCCGGUAUGUCGACGAACCCGAUAGGAGCCGCGUAUAUCGUUCUCAGGUCACACCGUCUAUGCAUAGUGGACGGUAGCCAAACCUCGAGUUGCCCCGAGGUGGCACCGCCGACUGCUAGGUGGGUGUACCAACACUCAUACGGAGCAUUGGCCCGGGGGUUGAUUAAAUUAUCCUCGGGGUCCGGAAAGUCCCUAUGCAAUUUUAUUAGGUUAUUAGGCAAAUGUAGUACCAAUGUUGGGCCUUGCCAGACCAACUUUAAUCUAAAACAAAUUAUCAAGGGGGUCCCCAUAACAACCCCGAUUGUGUUAGGAGCGCUCAAUUAUGGAACAUAACACCGGUAGCCGAAAACUAAGGGGGCAAAGGUGGAACAAAACACCAGGCUAGAAAGGCCGAGUCUUCCACCUUUUACCAAGUAUAUAGGUGCAUUAAAAUAAAUAGCAUUUAAUAUGGUGAUAUAACAAGGAACCCAUGCUUUCACAUGGAAGCAAAGCACCUGCAACUCUAACACAGGGUUAAGCAAGCGGUAACAUAGCCAAUCAGUGGUUUGCUAGGUCGAACAGGUAGAAGGUUUUCAUGGCAUUGUUGAGAGGCUAAUAUUUAACAUGUGGUAGGCAACGAGACAUAAUCGAUAGAAGCGACAAAACUAGCAUGGCAAUGAUAGUAAUGGUAUCUGGGGAAAUGGUCAUCUUGCCUGAGAUCCCGCUUGGAAGAAGAAUGCCUCCGUGAAGCAGACGAACCGACGUAGUCGAACGGGUCCUCACAAUCCGACACGCUUGCGAAACUCUAUCGAAACGGAGGAAACCGGAAACAAGAAUCAACACAGGAUAUACACCACACGAUGCACAACACAUAUGAUGCAUGAGUAGCUGGUAACAUGCAAGUCACGGCAUGACAAUUCACACAAACAAACACUACACCUUAAGUGAAGUUCAAUAUGCAACGAGUUGCAUAUUGACGAAACUCCACAUACAAGUUAUUUAGUUCUAUCCCGAUUAUAUACACGGCAAUAUUAAAUGUGGUUAAGCAUGGCAAGAGGUGAAGCGCAAUUAAACUACCUAUCUAGGCAUUUUAAAUGAGGUCGGAAAUGACAUAUAGCACCUCCGAGACGACCUCACAUGUUAAUUUACAAUUAUGUCCAGAUCUGAACUAACACAUUUAAUUGGUUGUUAAACAGCAAAACAAAUAGGUUCACGUGAUUCUACGCAUCGUUACAAGCAAUCCACACUUAGAGAACAUCUCCAACGGAGCUACAGUUCAAAAGAUACAAGCACCGCAAGAUAUGAUGUCAUGAAUGCAAUAUGUGUGCAACGACGGUCACGAGCACUUCAAAACAUACAAUCAGCAAGAGCAAAUGAAACUACACGAGAUUCUAAGCAAGUUCCAUAUAGGACAUGAUCAAAACGGGGCUACGGUUCAACAUCUACGAGCAAAACAAGAAAUCACUACAACCUGCCAAAAUCAGCCACAUAGCAUUUUCUACGCCCCACAACUACGAGCUACACAAAACCAAACUACUCAACCAAGGCAUGACAUGAAAGAGGGCAAGAAGCACUAUUACAAACAACUAACAACAACUAACAAAAGAGCUACAGAUCACAAGAUAGAAGCAAGACAAGACAUCAACAAAGUAUAACAGAUUUUAGACUUGAAAUAUUUCAGCACCUCCAAAUCAGCACUAUUUCUAGCAACUUGAGAGCAAGCAAACCACACCUAAACAUGCAUUUCUAUUGCAACUAAAAUUACCAGGGGCUAGACUAAACAUCCAAAAACAACUCCCUAGUUAACAACUCCUUCAAACGAAGCACGGAAUAAAUCCUACGAAAAAGACAACAGGGCAACAUGGCAAAAUAUCGUGUGAACUAACUUGCUCAAAAGCUAAAACUAAUUGCACAGAAAAAUCCAAUGAAUUUUUCUACCCCGAAAACAUAUAAAAUAUGUGGGGUUGCACAACAAAAAUAAUGCCACACGUAAAUGCGAGAUAAUGUCCUAAACACGGGAAAUAAACUAGCGGCAAAUCCCUACACUCAAGAAUACGAAUGACUACUCUAAAAUUCAUGGCAAAUGGGUCCCUAGAGCAUGAACAUUUUAUCUAAGGCAUUCGGGCAAACCGGACACGCGCAAAAAAUAAAUACGGGACACAAACAUAUUAGGACAGCACGUUAAUCUAUGCAUACGGCAUGCCAAACAACGUCAAACAAAUAUGCAAGUUGUGAAAUCGUGUUCUACGCGCAAAACUACACGAAAUCCAUAUACUACACGUCGCAAACCGAUUAACGGUUUAAAAGAUACACGCGGGUUUUACUAAACGUCUAAUUUCUGGAAUUUAUUAAUUCCUAAAAGUACCUAAAUAUCUAAUGAGCCUACAGGGGGUGCAACCUAACUAAAAUGUUUUCAGGCGGGGGAUAGAGGCAGGGAAAAAAGAUAAAAGGAGUGCUUACCUAUGGGCCGGAUCUGGCAUGGGCGCUGGAGAGGAGGAGCCGGUUGGGCCGGGGCGCUGGAGGCGCGUAGCUGGGCCGAGGCCUCGGGGGUUGGUGUUGGGCCGGCUGCGCAGCUGGGCCAACCGCUGCUGGCCACGCGCGGGCGAGCGCUGCAGCGGGGCGAUGGGAUCGAGCACUUCCGCUCGAUCUGGCGGGCGGCGUCGGCUGCGGUCCACGGGAGCUGGCGGCGGCUGAUCUGGGAAAGACCGUGGGGUCAACGCGGGGGGGGGGGGGNNNNNNNNNNNNNGAGGGGGGGGGGGGGGGGGGGGGGGGGGGGGGGGAACGGAGCGCUGCGGGAGCCCACGCGGGGGUGCAGCGAGCGGGAUACCGCGGCUGCUGGCGCUCUGUAUAAGCACGGGGAGGCCUGACCUCGGUCAACGCGGGGAGGCCCGACUCUCCUCCCGAUCUGGAGGCCCGAACCAGAUCGAGGGAAGGCGGCAGCGCUCCCGAGGGCGACUGUCGGCAGGGGAAAACGCACCGAAGGACUCGAGAUCCGAGCGAAGCUGCCGGCUGGCUGCUCGAGCAGACCGAGGGAAGGGGCUGCACGCGCGAUUGGGGCGGCGGGGAAAACGAGGAAGGGAGACGGCGGCGAUGGGACUAGGGUAGGAUGGGACAGAUUGCUAGGGUUUGCCUGCUUAAAUAAUUAGGUGGGUUUGGAUAGGGCUGAUCUGGACCCUCCGAUUCGAAUGGACGGUUGAGAAAAAUAGGUUCGGGAGUGCAAUGGACAAACCGAUGACUGUUUGCGGUAAAACGGGGUUGAUCCGGAUCCAAUGGUCACGACCGCCGGGUUUGGGUUCCGGGAGGUUUUCGGACUGGGCUGCGCGUAGGGUCGAUGCACUGUGUAGAGGGGCUAGGCGGAGAUGAGAGGGAAAACGGGCACCCAGCAACAUGUUUUAAAAACACCGACAACCUUCCGACGGUAGUCCGAAUACGGUGCCGCUACGGUCGACCGUUCGGGUACCAGACAGACUCCGAUCGCGACGAAAUUCGACAGGCAGCCUAGCUAUAACUAAUCACGACCGCAUGCCAAGUUUCACCUCGAUCAGAGAAAGUUUUCAACACACUUUUAUAACACAGUCUGACGAUGCCGUGGGCGCGUGCGUGUGUGGUCGGGCUCCGAACGGGCAACGACGAGAACCGGCAACUAACAACGGAUGCAAGUUUGAAAACUGGCGGCAACGGAGAUGCCGAUGCAAUGAAGAUGAUGCGAAUGAUGCGAUGAUGAUGCGACAAAAUAAAAUAGACACAUAGAAGGGGAAUCUUCUGGAACGUCGGCAUCGGGCUGUCACAAUCCUGCCGGCGACGACUGCUACACCGACGGUGCCCUACUAUGUGGAGGCCGUUGAAGACCAGGAAUAGUUAGGAGGUUCCCAGGUAGGAGGCCUCGCCUUGUUCGGUCGUUGUAUCUUUUGUGCUAGCCUUCUCUAAGGCACCCCAUGUUUAAUGUCUGUACUCAGAUAUUUGCUGCUUUCGUUGACUCGUGUGUUUAUCGAGCUUCUGUAUUCUAGCCCUCGAGGCCCAUGGCUUGUAAUAUGAAGCUUGUAUGUUUUAUUUGUGUCUAGAGUUGUGUUGCGAUAUCUUCCCGUGAGUCCUUGAGCUUGGUCGUACGCAUUUGCGUGUAUGUUUAGCAUAUGAUCAAAUCGAGGGCGUCACAAGUUGGUAUUAGAGCCGACUGCGUGUAGGUAGCCCCCUUUCCAACUCCUUGGCCGAAGUUGAGUUUAGUACUUGAAAAAAACUUACUAACUUUGAUGUUGUGGCUUACGGGCCCACAUCUCAAUCGGGUGGUAUUAGUAUCUUUUACUCCUUUCCUAUACUCUGGGUUCUACCCUCUCUUCUCUUUCGGGUUAAAGAUUUUUCUAACUCUAACUCUAGGUUCUCGUAACUAUUUCCUCCCGGAGAGCCCCUCAUCCCAGAUGAUGACUUGAUUCAUCAAAAGACUCCAAAGAUACUCUCCGAUGUUCUCUCAAGAGCUGGUGCCCAUUGCUUCAGCGAUUUUCCCUUCCUCCGCCAACCCUUAUGGAUGACUGCAUAAAAUGUCCUUCAUACUUUCUUUUCCAAUUUCUCUUGUUUUACAAGAUGCAACGAAUUAUCUUAUCGGGUUUUCAUCCAUCAUCAGUUGUCAUGGGUUUCGAAAGUUCUUCGAAUUGCUAUUCGAUUUUUCGGAAUCCCGAGUAGCCUAUCGCUCCUGACCUUUCUCACCUGCUUGCAUUAUGGUUAAAUCAAAUGUCUAGUCGCAUUCAUUAAAAUCCUUUGUGAUUUUCAUGUGAUCUUAUUGAUUCUACCUUUGUGUGAAUGAACACAAUCAUCUGUUGAUACUCAUAUAUUAUCUUUCCGGCUCAGACGUCCUUCGAGACAGAGCUGGUUCUCGACAAAUCAACUUUGGUUGGUUGUCCAUCUAAGUCCAUUCAACUUACCUGUAUUUGAUCGGAGCAUCUAAUUAUGAUACACCAACCUAGAAAUCCUAAUUACUUUAGUAAUUAAGUAUCGAUAUUUUUCAGAUGUUCUAUAACCCAAUGCAUUGCAUCCUACCUCGCUCUGAUUGAGUACUGACACUCACAUGAGGUCCUUUGUGAACCAUCAAACCCAUUGUUUUGUUAUUAUCCAAUGACAUUCUUUGCUUUCAAAAAUUCUUGUGAUAUGCUUCCCCUGACACAUGAUGCCAUUGGUAAAUUGUGUUUUCUCCCUCUAAUAAGUUGUAUCCUAUGCUUUUGUCAGUCAUGCUCUUCAAGCAUGUGUUAAUUACUCUUGGAGUUUGCGGUAUAUAUUCCUAAGAUGCCCCAACGGGUUAAACCUAUGCCUUUCUAAAUCAAUAUUAUCCGAAGAGUUUUUCACGAGUCUUGCUCUUCUGGUCUUUUCCCAGAUAAUCUUUCCAAGCUACAACCUCAUGAAAGGCGAGGAGUAAAUGGAAGGUGAUGCAUUGAUGAAGUGGGAUUCGACCUUGAACUUUGUGUUCAUGAUCCUAUCAUAGAAGCUUAUCGUAUCAAUAAUCAUUCAUUAUAUGAUUUGAUCUGGUAUUUGUGGUUUGGUACUUUUCAACCGUGGUUUGGACCAUGAUUGUUCUUCUUUGAUCCCAUAUGUAGACAAAUUAAGGUGCUUGUCUUCCACAGAUCAAUACACCAGUUUAACCUCUAUUCUGAUCUACCUUCGAGUGUAUCCCGAGAAUAUCGCGGAGCUACAUAACUUCUUAUGAGCUCCUCAUCAACCAUGACAUCUCGCUGAUUCUAGUUUCCUCGUGUUUUGAGUUGCUGAACACUCAAGGACACGGAUGACUGAAUCCCGUACGUUUUGCGAUUCCACAACUCUUAAUAACCUUAUUUGCUUAUGAUUUGUACUCGAACAUGUCUUUCCAAUGCUGUUAGGCUGCAUCAUCAUCAGCAUUCUGAGCUCCUUCAGGGUAUCAGUUGAAUGCAUGGUGAGAAAUACCAUCCUUGCCCCUCGAUGAUUUGUGUUUUCAUCGUCAACCUUUUUGCCUUCCCUCCAACACAAACGUGAUCAUGUUUUGUGUUGUCCCUUGAGUUCCUUGCUAUCUAGCUUAUGUUAUCUUCUAUCUUGGAGUAUUACCAUCUUUAUGUCAAGAAUGUCGUGAGAAUUGCACACGUCUUAAGAAUUCUUGAUAUAGUAAUACUUCUCACCAUCAACAUUCAUUUCUUGGUCCCGUGUUGUUUCAAACCGGAAUACCAACAAGCGAACUUUGAUGUGUGAUCCCAAUGCUUCUGGCAACCCUACUACCUUGAGGUUAACAACUGAUUGUGUCAUUCUUGGUGUGUUGGUUCUUAACUCACCAUUCUAGCAUUGGUCGUGCUACUCAUUCAGUAUUUCCGAGUGCACCCUUUUACCAAUGUUUAAUUGUUGUUGUUCCCUCGAGCAUUCGACACUAUACCAUUUGAUUUGACAAAUGAUAUCUCCUUGAUAUUAUAAUUUUGGAAAUUCAUCCCUCUCAAAAUCUUGAGGGAUUGCUUUUUAUCCCAUCAGCCACACCCUCAACCUCUCCAUGUCCCACGAUGGAGCUCUUGAAAGCAUUAUACUUGUGCCUAGCUCAUGAAGAAUGUGUUUGAUACCAGGAAUGUUUUCCCAAAGUUCAUGUGUGUUCUUAUCGUCUAGGAUCAUCCCAAGUCAUUCACGCUUGUGCAAAGUGUUACAUGUUUUGAAGAUUUGCUAUCUUCACUUCAUAUAAGAUCUCUUAGCACCCCAAGCCACUGACUGAUUUGAUCAAGGAAACUAAGUUCCGUCAUACGAGCUAAUCGAGUCUUGCCCAAGGGCCUUGAUAUCCUCGAUGAUAGUUCUCAAAUCAGAACUCCCUUGCAUUUCGUUGUAAGAAUUCCACGUGGGAACGAAUGUCUUGACAUGGUGUUCAUGUGUAUUACAAUCUAACUCGUGAUUCAAGGAUUGCUUGUGUAGUUCAUAUCCCGAGAAUCUUGCAUCAUCGUCUCGUCUGUUUUUGGUGGUCCCCUUUUCUUCUCAAGCACCCUGAGACUGAGGUGUCCUGACACCAAUCAGAUAUCAAUCUCGGCAUAUAUGAUGGUUGGAACAUUUCCCAAUAAUUAUAACUUUGGUCUUUAUGUAACCCGGUACGGUGAUGUCUUGUCUAGCACACCUAGCCAAAGGACCUAUUGUUAUAGCAUCUUGUUCAACAAGAUUCUCCAUUCUUCCCCGCGGAAAUUGUAUGACUUAUUAUAUAAGUUGUUUUUGAUGGAUCCUUUGUGUAUCCAAACUCCAACCUUUAUCUGAUGACCAUGUCGAUGCUACCUCGGAGCAUGAAUGUGGUACUUGAAUUGUCAACAGGAACAUUGGAAGCGCAAUGCUAAAUUGUUCCUGAUCAAUUAUCCAAACCGUAUGUUAUGGGUAAACAUCAUGAUUCUUCUGCCCUUUUUAUCAAAAUGGUUAUGUACUUGAUGACCUAUCAUGUAUACCAUACUCUAUGUUUUCCUCGGGGAUGGUAUACUUUAAUACUUGUGUGUGUGAACACAUUUCCUUCCCAUUGAUCUGUUUGACCUUUCUUGUGGCAUAACUUAUCUAAGCAGUGUUAAUUCCCUGCUUAGGUAAAAAUCUCAAUAUACAACUCUAUCACUGAGACUCUGUUACUAUUGUGGAUAACAUUUCGGUAGCCGACGGUGGACAAGAACUUUGCCUAUUGGUCUGCCUCGUUCUAACGAGCAGGAGAAUGGUUCUAUCUGUUCCCUGUCCUUGGUACCGACGUUGUUGCCAACAUAACUGACAGGCUAUCCUCUGACAUGUCUUGCUACCAAAAUCGUACAAGGUGUCACCCCUCUGCCUACUCUCGGCCCACAUGGUGGACCCAUAACCCAAAGUUCCACAGGAUUGAAACCUAACUCUCUUGUACAUCCUUGACUCCAAGGUAUCCUUUACACUUGGCUUCGUGUGGAAUUCUAGAGCCACCGUUCAAUGGACGAUCACUCUUCGGUCCGUAUAUUAGCCAACAUGCUAAAGAUCAAGUCCGCAUUAUUCAUGACAAUCUGAAGGCUGCUUAGUCUCGUCAGAAGAGUCGGUAUGACCGUCAUCAUCAAGAUAUGGUCUGUCAACCUGGCGAAAAGGCUUAUAUUCGUGUCACACCAAUGAGAGGCGCACACCGUUUUGGGAUCAAGGGCAAGUUAGUUCCUCGCUAUAUUGGUCCUUUCACUGUUCUCGAAAGGCGUGGUAGAGUGGCUUAUCAAUUUGUCGGGGGGAUAACCCCGGGGUAGGCUCAUCAAGCCUGUUCCUUCAUUUCCGGCCCAAAGGACAUGAAUGUAUACAGAUUCCCAAGGCCCAAGUCUUCUGGCCGGCUAGGCUGCACCUACCGGCUAGAAGACGAGGCGGCCGUCCCUCUGGCCGGCCCGGCAACCCCCGCCGGCUAGAGUCAAGGCGGCUACCUCUUUUGAGCCGGCCUGGUCCCGCCAGCCCGGCCAGGAAGAGGCGGCCGCACACAAACCGGCUAGCCAAGCAGGCUAGCCGGCCGAAGAUCACAAGUCACAUCAGAUCGUAGGUCAGGAUAAGACCUUAUGAUUAAAGGUAGCUUCGCGUCAGCAAAGGUACAGGAUCGGGGCGCCCGGCAGGUACGAGCGUCAGCGGCCACGCCGCUGACCUACCCCGGCUGUGAUCCAUCACCUAGCAUAGUGUCAGACCAUCACACUCCCACUCCAUUACUGCACUCGCCGUGGGGAACAGUGGAGGCGGUUGUACUACCUGCCCAUGAUGAAUCUCGCGGGGCGACGCUUGACGUACAACGCGUGCUCAGCAUCAACCUCACGCGAGAGCCUCAUUGGCCAGCCGGCGGGUCCCACUGCCAAACGAGACCAUGCAACCGGCGGGCCCCUCAAGCGACAAGACAAGACUCUCGUGGGCCCCUGGCCAGCCGGCGAGGCUGCCAGCCGGGUCCCACACUUAUACCCUUUAUCCAUAUUGUAGGCCUACGGGUUCGUCUAUAAAACCCCCCGGUCGCCCUCCAUGCAGGGGGGCGAUCAUUCAACAAUCAUACAACACAACACAUUCACCAAACACAGAGAGAGAGGCAGAGACGAGCCGGCUGCUCCCCUCUUCCUCCUCCCAACACAGCUCCAGGAGCAGCAUUGUACUCUGUUCAUACACAUCAAACACUCCGGCAGGAUUAGGGGUAUUAUCUCUACGGAGAGCCCUGAACCUGGGUACAUCGUGCGUCCCAUGCGUGUACCAACCUCGUUCCCAGCGUCCACCAUUGUCCCUUCGGUUCUCACCGACUUUAGCCUACCUAUGGCAUAUGUUGUGAGUAUUCACCGACACAAUUGGAACUACCGGCGAACCUUUCUCAGGUUCAUGAUGUCUUCCAUGUGUCUCAGCUCCGCCGCUGCUUCAAGGAUCCUAUUCGAGCAGUGGAUCAUGAUAUGCUUGAGCUGUAACAAGAUCUCUCUUAUAAAGAGCAUCCGGUCCGCAUUCUCGACUAGGCUGAACGUCAGACUCAUCGCAAAGUCACCAAGUUCUUUAAAGUGCAGUGGUCAAAUCGUUCUAAAGAUGAAGCCACUUGGGAACGCGAGGAUCAUCUUCGUGAUGAAUACCCCGAGCUCUUUCCUUCUACCUCUUAAUUCUCGGGACGAGAAUUCUUGUUAAUAGGGGAGAGUUGUGACAUCCUCAGCUUUUGCUACAGUGUUGUAUGUAAUUAAGCUACAGUGAUCCCACGCUAAUGAUGCCACGUCAUCGUGGUUACUAUUGUUAAACUUGCGAUGGUUCAAACCUCGUUCAAUUUCAUUGCAAAGUUAAUUUGUUCGAAAAGUGGAUUUAUAAGUUUUGCGAAACUGAAAAUAAAAAUGUUGGAUGGGUUGCAACUAUUCUCUAGGAUUUUAUAAAAUUGUAUCGGGUAUUUUUAGAAAUAAUUUAGAGCCUCUAAAUAUUUAAGACACGCACUGUUUAAUAAAAAAAGGAAAACCCCCACCCCACUGGGCGAGUCAGCCCAACCCAACACGUAAACCGGCCCAUCUAGACCACGGGGUAUAGGACCCCCCCUGGAAACCCUAGCCCAAACCGCCCUCACCCCACUCCCCGUCGCCAGAAACCAACCACCAGCGAGGGGGCUGGUUCCCCUCAUCAUCCCUCCCCUCACUCACCCAACGCCCGAGCCCCUCGCUCGAUCCCCAUCGCCAGCCCCCACCGCCCCACGUCGCCCCGCUCCUUCGUCCUAUUCCCUUCGCCAGCCUCGACACCCCGAGCGACGGCCUCCACCUCGCAUCCCUGCCUCAAACCUCCCCAGCGCCACACACCCCGUCGAAUGGCCUCUCCAUCAAACCGGCCGGCCACCACCUCUCCUUUCCCAGUCGCCCCUCCCAGCCACCGGGACCGAGCCCCUGGCUCCACCUCCUUCCCUCGCUCCCUCUCGCCGGCCAUUGACGGGCCACCCCGCUCGAGCCUGUGUCCUCCCUCGCCGGAUCCACCACCGGCUGGUGUCGUCCGCUCCCGCCAGGGCUCCUUCCCGCAUCCUCCUCGCCUUUUCUCUGUCGGGCCCCACCACUCCAUCGCCGGCCUCCUCACCUCGUCCUCGACGGCUCUAUCGAGCCUCGCCGACCCCGCCCCCUGCAACGCCGAUGAGGCUCCGGCCUCCUCUCCUUUUCCCCGUCCGGCGCCCCCUUUUCCUUGCCGCAUCGCGAUCCAGUUGCGCCCUUUUCCCAGCUUGUGCGCGCAGCUGCGGUCACGACCGAGCCCACCCCUGCGUCGUCCCUUACUCGCGCACUGCCUCGCUGUGGCUCCUUCCUCGCGGCGGCCCUGCUCGCCCCUGUGGCUGCCUCGCCAUGCUAGUCGCCACUGGUCGCCCCAUGAGCCCCAGGCGCCUCUUGCCCUUGACCCCGAGCCGAUCUGGUUAGUGGAGGGGAUUAACCUCCCCCCACUAAUCCCCCUAUGUAUGACAACGGGGGCCCACCCCCCUAAUGACUUUUAGAAAUAAAAAUAAUAAAUGGAAAAUAGAAAUUAAUUAAAAUAAUAAUAACAAUNNNNNNNNNNNNNNNNNNNNNNNNNNNNNNNNNNNNNNNNNNNNNNNNNNNNNNNNNNNNNNNNNNNNNNNNNNNNNNNNNNNNNNNNNNNNNNNNNNNNUAAUAAUUGUAUUAACAUUCCAAAAUUUAUAAUUUUGGGAUGUUACAGAUCCCGACCUCAACACAAAGGAUGACAAUCAAUAGAUCAAUGAUGCUCCGACUUCCUAACAUAGCGGUUCACCAUACGUGCAUGCUACGGGAAUCACUAACUUCAACACAAGUAUUUCUAUAUUCACAACACCCUACUAACAUAACUCUUAAUAUUACCAAAUCCAUGUCUCAAAACUAUUUGAGAGGAAUCAAAACUUCUCUUUCUACUCAACGCACAUGAAGAUGGAGGUUUUUGCAUCCUCUUUGGGACCUAUCACAUUUGGGACUACUUUCAAAGCAUAAGCCAACUACCAAAUCACGCACCGCCGUGUUCUAAAAGAUAUAAGUGAAGCACAUAAAGAAAAAGUAUCUAGCUCAAAAGAUAUAAGUGAAGCACUAUGAGCAUUCUAGCAAAAAUCACCAUGAGUGCAUGUCUCUCUCUCUCAAAAAGGUGUGCAGCAAGGAUGAUUGUGACACAACAAAAGGAAAAGACUCCUACGAUACAAGACACUCCAACCAAAAACACAUAUCAUGUGGUGAAUAAAAAUAUAGCUCCAAGUAAUGUUACCGAUGGAUUGAAGACGAAAGAGGGGAUGCCUUCCCGGGGCAUCCGAAACUUAGCCUUUUUGAUGUCCUUGAAUUUGGCUUGGGAUGCCUUGGGAAUACCCAAGCUUGAGCUCUUUCCAAUCCUUGUCUCUUUGUCCAUGAGAACAUCACCCAAAACUUGAAAACUUCACACCACAAAACUUAAAUAGAAACUCGUGAUAACAUUAGCACAAGAAAACAAACUACCACUUCUUUUGGUACUGUAGCAACUUGAAUUCUAUCUAUAUUGAUGAUAGGCUACUAUAUUCUCACUUUUCCAUGGCUAGUACCCCCGAUACUAACCAUAGUUUCAUCAAAACAAGCAACCAACUCAACCAAAACAGAAUCUGUCAAAAACAGACCAGCCUGUAGCAAUCUGUAUACUUCGUAUACUUCUGGUACCUCAAAAAAUCUGAAAACUUACGAAGGCCUGGGAAAAAGCAUAUAAAUCAGCAGCAAAAAGAAUCAACUCAAAAUCUCUUUCUGAGUAAAAAUGAAAAAUCAUCUCGUGAGCGAAACGUUUCUGUCUUUUUCACGCAAGAUCAAACAACCAUUACCAAGACUAGUCAUAAAGGCUUUGCUUGGCUCAAACACAAAAAGAAACACAAAAAACACAAUCACAACAGAAUUGUGAUGGUGUAGACGCAAAAAAACACAAAGAAAAAGAUAAAUUCAUUGGGUUGCCUCCCAACAAGCGCUAUUGUUUAACGCCCUUAGCUAGGCACAAAAGUGAUAGAAUCACGUAUCGUCGUCUUUGGUGCUCAAACCAUAAGUGGCCCUCAUCAUGGAUUCAUAAGGCAAUCUUAUUUUCUUUCUAGGAAAGUGUCCCAUGCCCUUCCUUAAAGGAAAUUGAAAUCUAAUAUUCCCUUCCUUCAUAUCGAUGAUAGCACCGAUAGUCCUUAGGAAAGGUCUACCAAGAAUAAUAGGGCAUGUAGGAUUGCAAUCAAUGUCAAGCGCAAUGAAAUCCAUGGGUACAUAGUUCCUAUUUGCAAUAAUAAGAACAUCAUUGAUCCUUCCCAUGGGUUUCUUGACAGUAGAAUCAACAGGAUGCAAAUUAAGAGAACACUCUUCAAUCUCAUUAAAACCCAGAACAUCACAUAAAGACUUUGGAAUCGCAGAGACACUAGCACCCAAAUCACACAAAGCAUUGCACUCAUAGUUUUCGAUUUUGAUUUUGAUGGUAUGUUCCCACUCAUCAUGAAGCUUUCUAGGGAUAGAGACUUCCAAUUCAAGUUUCUCUUCAAGAGAUUUUAUCAUAGCUUUGACGAUAUGAUCGGUAAAGGCCUUGUUUUGGCUAUAAGUGUGUGGAGAGUUCAACAUGGAUUGCAUCAAGGAAAUGCAUUCAAUCAAGGAGAAACUAUCAUAAUUGAAUCACUUGAAACCCACGGUAGUAAUUUCAUUACUACUCAAAGUUUUAACAUCUUCUAUUCCACUUUUAAUGUUUUUAGUUUCAAGAUAGAUGGACUCCGAAUCAUUGGGGCACUUUUCAACCAAAGUGGAUUCAUAUCCAGCCCCAUAAUAAUUAGGUUUGACACAAGAAAACAAGGAUUCAAUGGGAGUCACACCAAGCACUUUAAGAUCUUCGUGAUUCUCAUCACGAGAACACGCCUUUUUAAGCCAUUCAUGUCUAGCACGAAUUUGGGCGGUUCUUUCUUGGCUCGCAAUCAUGGGAACACGCAUAGCUUUCAAAGUUUCAUCCAUGUUGAUUUUGGGAGGAGCAUAUCUAACUUUGAAAGCAUCAACAUCACUAGAAAUUCUAUCAACGCUCUUAGCCAAAUCGUCAAUUUUGAGUAGUUUUUUCUCUAUGGACGCAUUGAAAAUCUUUUGAGAGUUGAUGAACUCUUCGAUAUUACUCUUUAGAUGAGAGGGUAAUCUAUUGUAAUUUCCAUGAGUAUUGUUAUAGGAGUUGCCAAAGUUAUUAGAGGAGUUACUAGGAAAAGGCCUAUGAACAUAGUUUCUUCUAAAAGCAUUGUUGUUGCCAAAGUUAUUCCUACCAACAAAAUUAACGUCCAAGCUAGCGUUGCUACUCUCAAUCAAAGAAGACAAGGGCAUAUCAUUAGGAUCCAAAGGAGAACUUCUACUAGCAACCAAAUUCAUUAACUCGUCCAUCUUAGCACUUAACGAGUUAAUUUCUUCUAUAGCAUGUACCUACUUACUAGUAGGCGACCUUUCAGUGUGCCACUGAGAGUAGUUUGUCAUGAUGUUGUCUAAGAGCUUUGUGGCUUCCCCUAACGUGAUUUCCAUGAACGUUCCACCUGAGGUGGAGUCCAAGAUAUUUCUAGAAGCGAAAUUCAAGCCAGCGUAAAAGAUUUGAAUAAUCAUCCAAAGACUCAAGCCAUGAGCGGGACAAUUUCUAAUCAUUAAUUUCAUUCUCUCCCAAGAUUGUGCAACAUGUUCAUGAUCAAGUUGCUUGAAAUUCAUGAUAUCAUUACGGAGAGAGAUGAUCUUAGCCGGCGGAAAAUACUUGGAUAUAUAAGAAUCUUUGCACUUAUCCCAAGAAUCGAUACUAUUUUUGGGCAAAGAAGAAAACCAAGUUUUUGCGCUAUCUCGCAAUGAGAAAGGAAAAAGCUUCAAUUUAAUCACAUCAUUAUCCACAUCUUUUUUCUUUUGCAUAUCGCAAAGCUCAAUGAAGGUAUUGAGAUGGGAUGCGACAUCUUAACCAGGAAGGCCAUAGAGUUGCUCUUUCAUAACAAGAUUCAGCAAAGUGGCAUUGAUUUCUUAUGACUCCGCACUAGUGGUCGGAGCAAUCGGAGUACUAAUAAAAUCAUUAUUAUUAGUAUUUGAGAAGUCACAAAGUUUGGUGUUUUUGUUCAUGGUGACUUCAGCAGGCAAGCAAGCACACAAGCAAACAAAGAGCAGGCGAGAAAAGGCGAACGAAAAAGGCAAACGAAAAAGGCAAAUUGGUGAAGUGGGGGAGAGGAAAACGAGAGGCAACUGGCAAACAAAGUAAAUGCAAGAGAUGAGUUUGCGACACCUACUUGGAUGAGUUCUUGACUUGAUCUUCCUCCCCGGCAACGGCGCCAGAAAUUCCUCUGUUGCGGCAACAAAAGUCCUUCCUUGGCGCUAGGAAUUCUUCUUGUUACUUCUCUGGUUUGCGUCGGUUUGUCCCUUGAAGAGGAAAGGGUGAUGCAGCACAGGACUAGUAAGUAUUUCCCUUAGUUUGAGAACCAAGGUAUCGGUCCAGAAGGAGGGCCUCGUCAAGUCCAUAGUACCUGCGCAAACACAAACAAGCUUCCACCCAACGCUUCAAAGCGGUUGUCAAUCCCUUCAAGAUUGUUUGCAAAGUGAGAUCUGAAGGCGGAAAGUGCAAUGAAGUAAAAAGUGUAAGGAUGAAAAUAUGGUGCGGAGUAGACCCUGGGGGCCAUAGUGUUCAUUAUAGGCUUCUCUCAUAAUAGAAAAUAUCACGGUGGGUGAACAAAUUACUGUCGAGCAAUUGGUAGAACCGUGCAAAGUCAUGACGAUAUCUAAGGCAAUGAUCAUACAUAUAUGCAUCACGUCCGAGACAAGUAGACCGAUACUUUCUGCAUCUACUACCAUUACUCCACACAUCGACCGCUAUCCAGCAUGCAUCUAGUGUAUUGAGUUCAUGAUGAAAAGAGUAACGCCUUAAGCAAGAUGACAUGAUGUAGAGGGAUAAUCUCAAACCAAUGAUGAAAACACCAUUUUUUACCCUUGAUGGCAACAACACGAUGCAUGCCUCGCUACCCCUUCUGUCACUGGGUGAGGUCACCGCACGGUAUGAACCUAGAACCAAGCACUUCUCCCAGUGCAAGAAUCAUAGAUCUAGUUGGCCAGACAAAACCCACAACUCGAAGGGAACUACAAGGAUAUGAAAUCAUGCAUAAGAGAGAUCAGAAGAAACUCAAAUAAGAUUCAUAGAUAAUCUGAUCAUAAAUCCACAAUUCAUCGGAUCUCGAAAAACACACCGCAAAAGAAGAUUACAUCGGAUAGAUCUCCAUGAAGAUCAUGGAGAACUUUGUAUUGAAGAUCCAAGAGAGAGAAGAAGCCAUCUAGCUACCAGCUAUGGACCCGUAGGUCUAUGGUGAACAACUCAUGCAUCAUCGGAGAGGUCAUGGUGUUGAUGAAGAAGCCCUCCGUAUCCGAAUCCCCCCUCCGGCAGGGCACCAGCACGUGCCCCAGAUGGGAUCUUGAGGAGAUAGAAGCUUGCGGCGGCGGAAAAGUACUUUCGAUGAUCUCCUGAUUUUCUCUGGAAUUUAUGGGAAUAUAUAGGCGAAAGACCUAGGGCAGUGGUGGCCCAGGGAGCCCACAAGCCUGGGAGGCGCGGGCCUCCCUGGCCACGGCUAUGGGGCUUGUGGGGUCCCUGGCGGCCCCCUGCCUUGGUUCUCAAGCUUCCCGAUCUUCUUAUGUUUCAGAAAAAAUCUUUCUGGAAGUUUCAUUCCGUUUGGACUCCAUUUAAAAUCCUCCUCUGAAAGGGGUUAAAANNNNNNNNNNNNNNNNNNNNNNNNNNNNNNNNNNNNNNNNNNNNNNNNNNNNNNNNNNNNNNNNNNNNNNNNNNNNNNNNNNNNNNNNNNNNNNNNNNNNCGGAGGGUACUCGUCACCAUAAACAUCUUCAUCAGCACCAUCUCAUCUGCAAACCCUAAUUCAUCUCUUGUAACAAAUCUCCGUCUCGCGACUCCGAUUGGUACUUGUAAGGUUGCUAGUAGUGUUAAUUAAUCUUUGUAGUUGAUGCUAGUUGGAUUACUUGGUGGAAGAGUUUAUGUUCAGAUCCUUGAUGCUACUCAUUACCUCUCUGGUCAUGAAUAUGAUUAUUCUUUGUGAGUAGUUACUUUUGUUCCUGAGGACAUGGGAUAAGUCUUGCUAUAAGUAGUCAUGUGAAUUUGGUAUUCGUUCGGUAAUUUGAUGUGUUGUAUGUUGUUUUUCCUCUAGUGGUGUUAUGUGAACAUCGACUACAUAACACAUCACCAUUAUUUCGGCCUAGAGGAAGGCAUUGGGAAGAAGUAAGUAGAUGAUGGGUUGCUAGAGUGACAGAAGCUUAAACCCUAGUUUAUACAUUGCUUCGUAAGGGGCUGAUUUGGAUACACUAGUNNNNNNNNNNNNNNNNNNNNNNNNNNNNNNNNNNNNNNNNNNNNNNNNNNNNNNNNNNNNNNNNNNNNNNNNNNNNNNNNNNNNNNNNNNNNNNNNNNNNGUGGGGCCCCUGAGGCUCCCCUGCCUUGGCUCCCAAGCAUCCCGAUCUUCUUCCUUUACGAAAAAAAUCUUCCGUUUGGACUUUGUUUCAAAAUCUCUUCUGAAAGGGGUCAAAAACAUGGAAAAAACAGGAACUGGCACUUGGCAUUGAGUUAAUAAGUUAAUCCCGUAAAAUAUAUAAAAGGCAUGCAAAACAUCCAAAGUUUGACAAGAUAAUAGCAUGAAACCAUCAAAAAUUAUAGAUAUGUUGGAGACGUAUCAAGCAUCCCCAAGCUUAACUCCUGCUCGUCCUCGAGUAGGGAAGUGAUAAAGAAUGAAUUUUUGAUGUGGAAUGCUACCUAGCAUAGUUGUCCUUUGCAACUUCUUUCACGUGACAUGAAUGUUCAGAUCCGUAAGAUUCAAAACAAUAGUUUGCUAUUGGCAUGAAAACAGUAAUACUUCAAGCAAACUAGCAAGGUAAUCAUGAACUUUGAAAAUAACAAGGCCAAGGAAAGUUAUCCCUACAAAAUCAUAUAGUCUGGCUAUGCUCCAUCAUCCUCACACAACUAAUGUAAAUCAUGCACAACCCCGGAAUUGGCCAAGUAAUUGUUUUCGCGGUCUUACUUUCUCAAACUUUUUAUAACUAUCACGCAAUACAUGAGCGUGAGCCAUGGAUAUAACAUUAUAGGUGGAAUAGAGUGUGGUGGUGGUUGUGAGACAAAAGGGAGGAGAUGGUCACAUUGACUCGGCAUAUCAAAGGGCUAUGGAGAUGCCCAUUAACAGAUAUCAAUGUGAAUGAGUAGGGAUUGCCAUGCAAGAGAUGCACUAGAGCUAUAAGUAUGUGAAAGCUCAAAAGGAAAACUAGUGGGUGUGCAUCCAACUUGCUUGCUCACGAAGACCUAGGGCAAUUUUGAGGAAGCCCAUCAUUGGAAUAAACAAGCCAAGUUAUAUGAUGAAGAUUCCCACUAGCAUAUGGUAGUGACAAAGCAAGAAGCUCUCAAUCAUGAAGAACAUGGUGCUAUUAUGAAGCACAAGUUUGGAAAAAGAUAGUAGCAUUGUCCCUUCUCUCUUUUUCUCUCAUUUUUUUCAUUUGGGCUCUUAGGGCUCUUUUUUCUCUCUUUUUUUGUUUUUGGGCUCUUUGGCCUCUUUUUUGUCCUCACAUGGGACAAUUCUCUAAUAAUGAUGAUCAUCACACUUUUAUUUACUCACAGCUCAAAAUGGUGAUGACUCUAUAGGAAAUGCCUCCGGCAGUGUACACGGAUGUGCGACGAUCUAUCAUGGCGUAUGACGUUGAGACAUCUCGCUAGCUAUCUUACGAUCAUGCAAAGGAAAUAUAAGAGUGAUGGCACAAGUCAUGAGACGGAACGGUGGGAGUUGCAUGGCAAUAUAUCUCAAAAUGGCUAUGAAAAUGCCAUAGUAGGUAGGUAUGGUGGCUGUUUUGAGGAAGGAAUAUGGUGGUUUUGUCCACCGGCGAGAAUUGCGCGGCACUAGAGAGGCUAGCAAUGGUGGGAGGUGAAAGUGAAUCUAUACCAUGGACUCACAUUACUCAUGAAGAACCCACAUACUCGUUGCGGAAGUUUUUAUUAGUAAUCAAAACAAAGUGCAAAACGCAUACUCCGAGGGGAAGGCUUGGUAGGUGUUAACCAUCACGCGAUCCCGACCUCAACACAACGGAUGACAAUCAAUAGAUCAAUUAUGCUCCGACUUCCUAAGAUAGCGGUUCACCAUACGUGCAUGCUACGGGAAUCACUAACUUCAACNNNNNNNNNNNNNNNNNNNNNNNNNNNNNNNNNNNNNNNNNNNNNNNNNNNNNNNNNNNNNNNNNNNNNNNNNNNNNNNNNNNNNNNNNNNNNNNNNNNNGUAGUUAUCCAAAGGGAUAUGAAAACUUCCACCUUCAUGUGCAUUGAAUAGUUAGAGAAGUUUGAUUCAUCUCAAUUAGUUUUGAGUUGUGGUUAUGGUAAUAUUGAAGUUAUAUUAGUAAGGUGUUGUGAAUCUAGAAAUACUUGUGUUGAAGUUAGUGAUUCCCGUAGUAUGCGCGUAUGGUGAACCGCUGUGUGAUGAAGUCUGAGCAUGAUUAGUCUAUUGAUUGUUAUCCUUUGUGUGGCGGUCGGGAUCGCGCGAUGGUUUAUACCUACCAACCCUUCCCCUAGGAGUAUGCGUUGAAUGUUUUGUUUCGAUUACUACUAAAACUUUUUGCAACAAGUAUAUUUGUUCUUCAUGAAUAAUGUUGAGUCCAUGGUUUAUAUGCACUUUCACCUUCCACCAUCACUAUCUUCUUUAGUGCCGUGCAAUUUUCGCCGGUGCACGAAACCCACCAUUAGCCUCCCUCAAAACAGCCACCAUACCUACCUACUAUGGCUUUUUCAAAGUGAUUCCGAGAUAUAUUGCCAUACGACUACCACCAUGACAUGUCCCACCACUUCCACAUUGCCGUUGCAUGAUCGUAAGAUAGCUAGCAUGAUGUUUCCUUUAAUGUCUAUGCGAUGCUAGAUCAUUGUCAUGGUACACUACCGAAGGCAUUCCAUAUAGAGUCAUCAUUGUUCUAAGUUUUGAGUUGUAAGUGUGAUGAUCAUCAUUGAUGGAGCAUUGUCCCAUGUGAGGAAAUUAAAGACGCCAAAGAUGCCCACCAAAAUAAAAAAAUAAAAAAAUAGGCCAAAUAGCCCACAAAAAAAAGAGAGAAAAAGAGAGAAGGGACAAUGCUACUAUCCUUCCACACUUGUGCUGAUUAAGCACCAUGAUCUUCAUGAUUGAGAGUCUCUCGUUUUGUUACCACCAUAUAGCUAGUGGGAAAUUUUCAUUAUAUAACUUGGCUUGUAUAUUCCAAUGAUAGGCUUCCUCAAAUUUGCCUUAGGUCUUUGUUAGCAAGCAAUUUGGAUGCACGCCCACUAGUUUUCUUUAAGAACUUUCACAUACUCUUAGCUCUAGUGCAUCAUUUGUAUGGCAAUCCCUACUCACUGACAUUGAUAUCUAUUGAUGAGCAUCUCCACAGCUCAUUGAUAUGCCUAGUUAAUGUGACCAUCUUCUCCUUGUUUGUCUUGCAACCUCCACCACACUCCACACCACUUAUAGUGCUAAAACCAUGGCUCACACUCAUGUAUUGCGUGAGAGUUGAAGAAGUUUGAGAAAGUAAAGGUGUGAAAAAAUUACUUGGCCAAUACCGGGGUUGUGCAUGAUUUAAAUUCGUUGUGCAAUGAUGAUAGAGCAUAGCCAGACUAUAUGAUUUUGUAGAGAUAACUUUCUUUUGGCCUUGUUAUUUUGAAAGUUCUUGGUUACCUUGCUAGUUUGCUUGAAUUACUAUUGUCUCCACGUCAAUAGCAAACUAUUGUUUUGAAUCUAAUGGAUCUAAACAUUCACGUCACAUAAGAGGAGUUACAAAGGACAUCUAUGCUAGGUAGCAUGAAAGCAUCAAAAUUUCAUUCUUUAUCACUUCCCUACUCGAGGACAAGCAGGAGUUAAGCUUGGGGAUGCUUGAUACGUCUCAAACGUAUCUAUAAUUUUUGAUGGUUUCACGUUGUUAUCUUGACAACUUUGGAUGUUUUGCUUACCUUUUAUAUCUUUGGGACUAACUUAUUAAUUCAGUGACAAGUGCCAGUUCCUGUGUUUUCUGUGUUUUUGACUCUUUUCAGACGUGAUUUUGGAACGGAGUCCAAAUGGAAUAAAAUCCCCUAAAUAAAUUUUUCCAGAACGGAAGAUGGUUAGGGGACUUGAGGGCCAAGGCAGGAGAGCCACAGGGGGCCCACAAGCCCUGUAGCCGCCACCAGGGGGGCGGCGGCUACGAGGCUUGUGGCCU